rnacentral:lncRNA from 1 species
UAGGAGUUGAGUCCAAAGUACCAUGAUUAGGGUGUUUGAGUAAAGUACGCCAUUCAUCAAUAUAUAUUGAUUGGUCAAGCGAUAGAUUAGGAAUUUCAUACUUCUGAAGAGCUUUCAGAAUUUCUUGAGUCUCUCCGAGAAGGUGAGUUGUUUCCUUUAUAAUUUUAUCCCGUUCUUCUAUGGCGCUAUUGUUGCAUUUCUUGAGUAUAGCAUGAGGUAAAUUGGUCAGACACGCAGCAAAUAUAUCUGCAACAAUAACUGAAAAUCUCUCAAAUACUUGAGUAUCUGAUGCUGAAUGAUAGCUUUCCUCAUGGACCAACAGCAAACUAUUGCUUAUUUUGUACAUUGAAUUGGCAAUUAUGAUAUUUUCAGGCAAGUCAACUGAGCUUUCCAUAGCAUUUCCAUUCAUUCUACUAGUAAAUUCCUUCAAAAUUUCUUCACUUAUAUUUGCAAGAUUCUGAAGAGUUUCUUUGGAGGAUUUUGAUACCCUGGCAAUUUUUUGGAGAUCCAUGUCUAACCACUUGCGCCUCAAUUCAAAUAAAACCCAUGCAAAAUCUGCAGCUCUCGUGCUGCUCAUCAAUUUUUUAUGAACAUCUAGACUUUUCUCCGUUAGGCGCACAUACUUAAAACCUUCAAUGACACCUCUCAACAACUGAUUCCUCUUCUCAUUUUGAACAUUGGGAAGAGCAAUCGUGAUGCUUGUUAGUGUUGCCACAGCUAGACUCCAGCAAUUAAGAGUUUCUGUGCAAAUAAUCGAAGAGACUUGAUCACUUUCAAAUUUUGAUACACCCUCGAAGCUGGUGGAAUUCUCCAUAAGCUCCAUUAGAUAUCUAGGUUGAUGCUUUGUGCCCAUCUUUAUGGAUGAAUUAAUAGAAGUGUUAAUGAACGUCAGGUAUCCAUCAUUUAUUGCCUCACUUUCUAGAUGUAAAACAAAAUUUCUAAGAUCUUGGUCAUAACCAACCGUGUGUUCUGCUUCAUUGGGAUUGGCCAAGGCUUCAGAUUGCCUUAAGAAAAAAUUUUUUACCAUCACCAAGCAUCUAAUGAUUCUCAUCCUUAAGAUACCAAAAAAGAGUACGAUGGUGAUGGCACAUGGGAGAAUUAGUAUGGAACUGGCAACUGCAUCCCUGGCAAAUAAGAGGAUAAUUCCACCAAUUGAGAUGGGAAGAAGCAACUUAUUCAAGAUCACAAUCACUAUCUGACUUCCAAUACAAAUGUUGAUAAGUAGAUUUCUGAUGUGAUAAAUAAUUUUUCUACGCUUCUGGCCUCGAACAUAUAAUGGUGGGAGUCUCCUUUUCCACUCUACCAAUCUUUUAAUCCUGUAAUUCUUUAUUUCUAAGGAAAUGCUAGAGAUGGUACAUUGUCUAAUAUUCCGUACAGUGUGAACUAAAGCUACUGAAAAUCUUCCCAAAGACAUGACAGUGCAAAGAUUCGUGCCUAAAAGUUGAGUCCAAAAAAGAAAAUAUACUGACCAUUUAUAAUCAGAAGCAGCACUUGUCUUAUAGGCUGUGGAAUACAUUCUUCCGUUUAAAGUAUAACUUAUGAUGCAUAUCAUGAAUAAAAUAACGCUAGCCUCAGAUCGUGCCAUCACAAACUGAGGGUUACCUGUUUCUGUCAUCACCCAGUACUUCUUCACACACAACUUUAACUUGUCAAAGUCCAUUAUUUGGUCUCCUUGUAGUUCCGGUGCCAAAAUUCCUGUUUGCAAUUCUGUGUACUUACGUUCCAAAUACCUUUUACUUGUAAAUACCGUUAAAGCAGCAGAACUCAAUACAAUGAACGCGUAAACAUUCAUGCAGACAAUCACCACUUGGAAAACAUCGUCAAUCACGCCUGUGAAUGCUUGGAUGAUAACAUUUACGGUAAGCGUCACUAUAAGGAUACCCAAUGCUGUCAAGUUCACUAUUAUAUCUCUAUCACUCAUGGAUCCUAGAGAAGGCAUGAAAUGAGUGGUUGAAACACAAAAGAAAGCAGUGCUACUAUUUUUAGCGGCUUGAUUAUACCCAUCUUUCAUCGGGGUAGUUAGAUCCAUUGACAACUUCACUGCGACUGCUAACACAGUCAAGGAAGCGGCGUUGAGAGAAGAAAAUCUGCAAGGGAACCAUAACUUUCUAUGGCGGACAGAGAUCACUGCAUCAAUGAAUAGUGAAACAGUCCAUAUUAGAGAUGCUACAGCAGCGUAUAGGCCUAUCCAUGGCAUUGGUGCUUUAGAGUCCAUCAUUUUGCUCAAUUAUUCAGCUCUCUUCCCACGCUGCUUUACUUUUGAUUUAAGAUGAGGAUAUGCUCGAGUGGUGGAAAUUUCUUUACUUUUGAUUUAACAUGUAUUAAAUUUUUAUUGACUUUACCUUGUGAUCUAUAUAAAAAUGAUUAAACCAGCUUUAUGUUCAGUGGUUUAAGUUUGGUGGUUAGAGAUACGGACAUUUCAUGUGCUGAAAAUAUGAAUAGUAAUCACUUUCACCAUAAAGAAUCCUGUCGGCCAUUAAUGUCUCACUUUCACCUCACCACCAUUACUGUCAGCCAGCAGUAAGACUAAGAGUUCUCCCUAUGAAACCAUAUACAUACCAUCACCGCAGUUAUUCAUCCGUGAGAACUUGAAAUUUAUAUAGCCAGCAUCCGCAAGUCUCUUAUCAUAUAUACGAGUAAUAAGUUCUUGAUUACCGACCCAAAUUCCUGACAAUGCCCAAAAAAUAAAAAUAAAAAUCAUCAAAAUCACAUCUUUAUAAGAAAACUAGUAGGGUGAACGUGCAUAAGUGUAUGUAAAAAUGAUAGGAUGACAUGGAUAGAACUUUGAGCUAUAUAAAUAAGAGGUUGAUGUGUUACUUUCAACAUUUACUACCAUUUAUGAUUCCUCGAUAAUAAAAUGAGUGAUUUUUAACUAUAUCUUGAACAAUUCAAUUUAAACUUGAUCCUAUUUUGACCUGCUUCCACCUUCAUUUUAUUUUUUAUUUUUUUAUUUUUAUUUUUAUUUUUUUAUUUUAUUUUUUAUUUUUUGUGGAUGGGUGGAGGCAGGGGCAGACUUGGGGGGGUUUACCGGUUCAAGUGACCCUCUAGAUUUUACAAAAAGAAAAAAAUUAGUUUAGCCUCUUUUUUUUUUUUAUUAUAAGGUACCCUAUAAAUUCUAUUUGUGACCCCCUAACCCAAGUCGUCUAGGUCCGCCCCUGGGUGGGGAUGAGCUGCAUAAAGGAUUUUGAGUUUUAUGAAGUUGCAUACCACAACUAUAUCGGAUUUCUUUUUGAAUGGGACAAAUAGAUAUGGAAUGAUAAUUGUAUUUUGUCGUCUUUAUUUUUUCUUACUUCUCCUGUUUUCCAUUACACAAAUCAUUGACAUAACAAAAAUUAAUGAAGACAAUAUAAAUAAAACAAUCUCGCAACCAAUCAGUUUUCUUUAAGUUGUUGCGAUGGCAAGACAUGUUCAAUAUUUGCAUAUCCUUCAUGCCUAGACGCUACGAUUGAGCUGUUUUCGUUUAGAAACGAUGCAUCACAGAUUAGGCUCCCAAAGAACUUUGUCUUGCUCCAAAGUUCACGCCAAGACCAAUUGCACUUUAUUAUGAUUAGCUUAUCAACCAAAAAUAGAUCAUCGUAGCAUUGCAUUCAGCAAGAGUCUGAACCUGCAAGGCAAAUAAAAGUGUAUAUGUGAAAACUACCAAACUGGAAAAAUAUCAAACUCUGAAACUUGAAGCAAAUUCAUGUCACUAAUCAACAUAAAAAAAAAAUAUAUAUAUAUAUAUAUAUAUAUAUAUAUAUAUAUAUAUAUAAAAUUUAAAUUUGGAAAGUUGGCGGACUAAAGUGACAUAUGGAAGAACCUCUCAAUGGAAGAGGUAUAGAGUCUUAUUAAAUAUCAUUGAGCAUAUUUUACAUGGUACCACCAGACCUAUUUUAAAAAAUAAUAAUAAUAAAUAAAUAAAAUCUCUUUUUCUUGGUUGAGUUUUCUUACUAUGGGAGGAGCCUCUUCCUCUUUAAUUUAAUUGUUCCCAUACUUCUCUUUCAGCCUCAUAAACUUAUUUUGCAAUUGAGUCCUGGUCAUAUCCACGUGUAGGUUCUUCUUAAUAAAAUCAUUCGAAUCAGCAACUAAUUGAGAUUUUUUUCUUAAGGACAUAAUCAAUCAUGCCUUUGAGAACCACAAUUUCAUCAUCUUUGCUCCCCAGCCUCUUUUUCUUUUGCGGGGCGUUUAGCACCCUCGGUAGCCUUCGACGACAGGCUGGUCCGGGAAGCUUUAGGCUUGCAUCUAGGCAGCGCUAGUAGUGGGCUUUUGUGGCUCUUCCAUUGGCUUGGAGACUAGGGGCUUUACAUUUGGGUUGACUGGUUCGGUGUGGCACUCUGGUUCAGCUCCGGACUCUUCAUCUUCCUACUCGGAUUAAGAGGAAGGAUACGGGAGCUUAGAAAUUUAUUAAAAUUAUAAUCUAUUUUGAAAUAGUGAAUAUUAAUGUCCUGGCAUUCAUCUUGACCAUUAUAGAAAAAAAGUCAUGAAAUUUAAAAUUUACAACAUAUCCAACCCCUUAUAUUUUAUCAUAGGUAAUUAAUGGGCAAGAAACAAAACACAAUAAAACUAUCUUUAUAUUGGAUUUUAAAUGGUUUUUCUUGUUUCACCACAUUUGAGUUAUAGAAUUAAUGCCAACCUGCUUUACUUUUUUUGGUUCUAAAAGUUGGAAGUUGAAAAACUUCUUGAGAUCUUUUGGUAGGAAGGGAAAAAAAUUCAUCUCGAUUCAUAUAAUUGUCCUUUUGACGUUUAAGCUUUCAGAUUCACAUUUCAGAUUAGAAGAAUACAUCCUCGAUAAUGUGACAUGAAGACUGUCAAAUUCAGGCUGUGAAUAUUUGUAUAGCAAGAAUUUUCUACAGAUUACCAUAAUGAGGGUUCCUUGUACUACCCUUCACCUCAUAUGAAAACAACAACUUACCCCUCUUGGGGUAGCCGAGUUGGUGGAGUACGUGACUGCAGAGACAUUUGGUUCGAUUCCCCCUACCAACACAUUCUCGAUCAAACCUGUCGCACCGGACUUGCCUAGUGCGGUUUACUCGGCUGACGUGGUUUGCAGACUAUUGCGUCAGCCCGAAGGUUUACCUAGUGCGCACUCGAAGAGUAAUGGCUGGGUUUCCCCAGUUAAAAAAAAAAAAAAAAAAAAAAAAAAAAGGGGAAAAAAAAAACAAAAAAAAAAGGCCAGAGGCAACAACAACAACUGAAAUAGUGCUCAACUAUUGUCAUCCUUCUAGUAUCGGAUAUGGGGCUCACAUUCUUGUCGGCACCCACUUCAGUCACACCAAUUGAGCCAACCAACUACAAAGUCCAACAAUAUGAGAAUCAUCCAUUGAAUGUUCUACAAUAUCUCUAUAUGUAUGCAACUAUGGUAUGCAUGAAAAUUAAUAUGAUAAUAAAGCAACAUGAAUAUGAGGGAGCAAUAUGUGGCAAGAACUCAAUCCCUGUAAUGGAAUAUUUUAAAAAACAAGAACAUUGUAAUGAUUUUGUCGACUUAAAAAAAUCGAGUUUAUUUUUGUAUUUAUAUCAAGAUGCUAUACAAUCUUUGAGUUAUUGCACAUCUCUCUUUGACCAUCAUGUUCCUUCUUCGUUUGGAUACCUUGAUUUUUAAUUCUCAAGUAAUGAAAAGAAGUAAUUUUUUUUUUUUUUGAAAUUCAUUCGUAUAUAUUUUAGGUAAAUAAAUCAUAGACGAAUGUAUACAUUUCCUUGUUCUACUUAUCCACUGGAAAUUAAUAAUUCUUUUCAUUAUAUUAAACAUUCAAUAGAAAAAUAAUCAUGGUUAUCAUUCAAGAAUGUGUUUCUUCACAUUCCGCACUUAGUUCCACAAACGAUGCCUGCGAAGUGCUUACAUGCUUCACUCAUGGUGCACAAGUGCUGCAAAUAUGUGAAAUCUUUUUAUUUUAAGAUUUUCCCUCCAAAAUUAAACUUUUGUAGGAAAAUUUUUACUACGGCUCCCCAAGAUUUUGAAUAAAUUACAAUUCCGCCCCAACUCAAUUUUUAUUCCCUCCCAUCUCCAACCUUUCAUUAAGGAAAAUGGCACUUUUUAUGACGUGAACAUUUGCAAAAUGUUACUAGUCGACCCUCAACCUUUUUUCUCACCAGAUGUUGCAUUUUGUUUUGUUUCUUUUUUGGAAAUGUUCAGUUUUAUUUAAUUGUGGUCACUUAUCAUCUCUUUGUUAAUUUAUCUCCACCAGGUUUUGAUGCUCCUUUUAGCCAAUAAAUACAUGCCCGGAUAAAGAUCAGUUAUAUUAUUUUCGCCGUUCUCUUUAAAAGUGAUCUUUAAUCUCUUCUCGAUAUAAUCAAGAGUUAUUCUGUAUGCCAGAUUUCAAUUGCAGACUCGUGAAUCUAUUACAUGAAUUGGACGACAGGUAGAAAAGUGACAGAGCAUCCAAGGAACAUCGCAGCAUACAGAAGACAUUGGCGGGCGGUAUGACAGUGAAAGGGUCAUCAUCAGAAUCUUCUCCUCCAUCUUCAAAUCAGCAAGAUCGUUUCAUGGAUAAAUUCAAUUUACUUGUGGCUAUAGGAUGCAAAGUCUGUUUAAUUUACUUCAUGGUGCCAAAAUAGGUGGAAUCCAGACUUAAAGAAAUUUACGUACUCGUGCAUCUCUUCGAGAAGGAUAGACCUUACAUAAUACAUGCUGAAUCUAUAUUGUGUUGGAAAUAAAAAAUAUGGAAAGAAAGACUAGAGAAAAAAUUCAGAGAUUUCUCCAAAAUUUAUUUGUAUUCUAUGGCUUGGCUCUAUAAAAUGUCUCAAGCACAAGGCCUUUUAUAGGUACAAAUGAUCCCAAAUACAUUGCAUAAACUUAAGAGAUCAAUUAAUGACCUUUCCUACAUACUAUGAAUAAUACAAUACAAACAACCAUUUGGAUACAUGAUUUAAAAUAAAUGCAUGAAUAUUAAAUAAACUAAUUCAUGUAUCAAAUUUAAUUUUACAUCAUUCAUGAAUCAAGUUUAGUUUCCAACGCCCCUUCUUAAACUUGAUUCCCUCUUGAUAACUCCAUUCCAAGUACGCAAUCUUGCAAAAUCAUCAUUCUUCAAUGGUUUGGUAAAAAUGUAUGCUACUUGAUCAUUGGUCUUCACAUAAGCAAGCUCAACUUCUUUGUUCUCAAUGCACUUUCUAAUGAAGUGAAAUCUCAUAUCUAUAUGCUUGCUUCGAUCAUGGAACAUAAGAUUUCGAUCAUGGAACAUAAGAUUUUGGGGCAUAUGAAGCAUCUCCAAUAACUUCUAUAGCCAAAUGGCACGACAAAUACACGAUGCAGCGAAAACAUAUUUAGUUUCACAAGUAGAAAGAGUCACAAUGGGCUAUUUUUUUGAACACCAAGUGAAAGCGGUGUUACCCAUGAAAAACAAAAAUCCAGUGGUGCUUUUUCGAUCAUUAAUAUCACUAGCCCAAUCACUAUCACUAUAACCAUGAAGCUUGAGAUUUGUAGAAGAAGAAUAAGCUAUGCCAUAAUCAAGGGUACCUUCAAUAUAGCGAAGUAUACUUUUAGCAAUCUCCAUGUAAGUUAACGUUGGUGACUCCAUAUAACGGUUAACAAGACCAAUACCAUAAAGAAUAUUAGGUCUUGUACAAGUCAAAUAUCUCAAGCUUCCAACAAGUUGUCUAUAGAAAGAUGUAUCCACUUUCGUACUAUCGUCAUAUUUUGACAUUUUUGUUCCGCACCCAAUGGGAGUACUCACCGGAUUGCAAUUUUGCAUUUUGAACCUAUCAAGAACUUUCUUUGCAUAAGCUUCUUGAAAAAUAAAAAUGCCAUUUUCAUUUUGUUUUACCUAAAUUCCAAAUUCUUGAGCCAUCAUUUUCUUAGAUUAGUCAAACAUGUUUUCAUUGUUGCCAGUGAUGAUCAAGUCAUCAACAUACAAGCACAUAAUCAAAAAACCUCCAAAUGCAUCCUUUUUAACAUAAAGAGCAUCCUCAUGUGGACAUUUGGUGAAUCCAUGAUUUUGCUGUUGAUCUGACUAUUCCAGGCUCUAGGCGCUUACUUCAAGCCAUAUAGCGCCUUCUUCAACUUCAAGAAUUUAUCUUCAUGUUCCUUGACAACAUAACCUAAUGGUUGUUGAAAGUAAACUUCCUCUUCAAGGUAUCCAUUCAAGAAAGUGGAAUUGAAGUCUGUUUUAUAAAUUUUCCACUUAUUUUGAGCUACGAAGGAAAUGAUUAAUCAAAUGGUUUCCAAGCGGGCAAUGGGGGCAAAGGCAUCAUCAUAGUCAAUGCCAUGCUUUUGGCUAUAGCCUUUGGCAACAAGUCUUACCUUGUAUUUAUCCAGUUCUCCUUUAGCAUUUUUUUCACUUUGUAUACCCAUUUCACGCCAAUUUCUUUUUGUCCUUUAUGACGAGACAGAGCUCCCAUGUAUUGUUCCUUUUUAUUUCUCGAAUCUCCUCAUACAUUGCAUGCCUCCAUUUUUUAUCUUUCAUUGCCUCUUCAAAUCUCAAUGGCUCGGUAUUAGGCAAGAGACAAAAUAAAGAUGGAUUAUCAACUAUUUCAGUUUCUUCAUAAAUCUUUGCAAAAUUUCUAAUACGACUCGGUCCUUUGGAUGGACUAUCAUGAGGAGAUUGAGCAGGCGAAUGCAGUGGAGUAGCAUCUUCACUUGCUUCUUGGCUAGAGUCUCCUUCUUCAAAAGGAAAAAUCACGUAUUCUUCAUUUUUCGUAACAUUUCAAUCCUAUGAGCUUCCUUCAUCGAAUUUCGCAUCUCUACUAAUAACAAUCUUCCCAUUGCAAGGAUUAUAAAACUUGUAGCUUUUGGAGCUUGGAUCAUAACCUAUGAAAACAAACUUCUCACUUUUCUCAACAAGUUUUAAUCUCUUCUCGUCUGGCACAUGAAUAUGGGUAAUACUACCAAAAACACGUAAGUGAGAAACACUAGGUUUCUUACCACUCCAAGCCUAUUGUGGAGUCAUGUCUUGAACACUCCUUGACCGAGAAAGAUUAGAUAAAUAUACGGCACAUGCAAUAGCUUCAGCCCAAAACUCUUUCUCUAUACUCUUGCUCUUAAGCAUACUACAAACCAUGUUGAGAAUAGUUCUAUUCUUCUGCUCAACAACACCAUUUUGUUGUGGUGAUCUUGAAACUGUGAGAAAAUGCUGAAUCCCAUUGGUAUAACAAAAAUUGUUAAACUCCUUGGAAGUGAAUUCUCCAUCACGAUCAGUCCUUAAUGCUUUAAUAGAGUUGCCACUCUCAUUUUCAACAAGAGCUUUAAAUUUUUUGAAUGCUCCAAAAACUUCAUCUUUCAUCUUCAAAAAAUAAACCCAAGUUUUGCGAGAAAAACCAUCAAUAAAUAGCAAGAAAUAAUUUUCUUUAUCAUGAGAAGGUGGUUUGAUUGGUCCGCACAUAUCCGUAUGAACAAGUUAGAGUGGUUUUGAUGCUCUUGAGGUGGAUUCUUUUGGAAACUUCUUCUAGCUUGCUUGCCAACGAGACAUCUGAUAAGUGCAAUUUGUGUACUUAUUUAUAUCAUUUUAUUAAACCUUUAUGUAAUCAAAUUAAUUUAGGUUCAUUUUUGUUCGUUUCAGUGUUCGACCAUUUUGAAGCAAUUAGAAAAGAAAAGGAUCAAUUGGCUAUUAAAUAGAAGUUGUGGACCAAAUAUAAAUUGAAAAAAAAAAGGAGGAGAAUUCAAGGAGUUGGAAACUUUAAUUUCAUUUGGACCUUUAUACUAGUUGGGCUGCCAACCAUGGUUUAUGUGUGUGUGUAUAUAUAUAUACAGCCAAACGUACAUGAACAAAAAAAGGGCAGGAAUAAGGUAGUCUUAGCCUUGCUGGCAGCCGCAGUGUGAGGGUUCGAUUCCUGAAAUAUGAAAUUGGACUCUUUGUGGGCACCAGUGUACAGGUAAGCUAUUGUUCCUUGGCCUGUUGGGACAUAUCCCGUGAGUUAUCUCCCUCAUGAUGCUCUAGGGGCCAGGCGGUCGGGGUUCAACCUUUUAGAAAAAAGGGCAGCCACUUGAGAUACACAUUGGAGAUUCGGGUUGCUAAAUUUGAGAUUGAUUUACACACCAACUAGGAGCAAAAAAAGGGGGACAAAACCUGGAGAAAGACAAAAAAGGCUGACCUGCUAUUGGAAAAAAAUACAAGGGUUGGCUGCUGAUUUUAUAUAUAUAUAUAUAUAUAUAUAUAUAUAUCACAUACAGAAGACAAGGAACGGAGAAUUGGGGUCAAACAUUGUGGCUGGGCUAGAUUUCAUAUACAGAAAAAUAAUUGAAGAUAUAGAAAACAACGACUGUUGGAUGAAAAAAUACGCACAGAUAGAAAGAAAAUAGUGGGUUGUUGCUGGAGAAAAACACGCAAAGCCGAUGAAAGUACGAAAUUGAGGAAUUAAUCACGUUCUGUCAAAUUUUGGUGAUGUUAUUCUACUUUAUGUAUUUAAUUCCAACAUUAUGUUGGACUAAUUUUUCUUGUGUAUUGGAUGAAAAUGAAAUCCAUUAUUAUUUAUUUUUAAUUCAAGACACGUGAUUUAGUUAAAUUCUUGCAAUUCAUAUUAAUCUUGCAUGCGUAAUUUUAUUAUUUGAUUGCUUAAUUACCAAUUAAAUAUAUGAUUGCUUGUUGUAGUAUUGAGAGGCUCACAAAAGGUUUAGAACACUGCUUGAUUAACAUGUAUGCAAUAAAUUUUCGGAAUAAUAUUUGCCACAUGUGCAAUCUCUGAGAUAAUUGUGAAAUUGAAUGCGUUUUAUUCAUUCGAAUUCGGACAAGAAGUAGAUUUGGAUCAUGAUUAUGACAGAUUUAAUUUGUCUUGAAAAAGAAAAUUAAUCACAAUAGAAUUAUCUAUUGUCAAAAAUGCAUAAACGAAGUAGUCAAGAAUUGGAAUAGAAAAUAAUAGGUGGACUCGUAAUUCAAUACAAUAUUCCUAUACUUUUUAAAUUCACAUUUUACAAGUUUUUGUAGAUUAAGUUAGAUUAAUUAAAAACCGUAGUUCACUUUUAUUUGUUUACUUUGAACCUAAUUAAAUACUAGUGCACUCAAUUAAAUUUUAUUCCUCAUGGGACAAUACUCUUAACUCACAAAAUCUAUUGCUUGUCAACGAUCCUGUGCGCUUGCGGUUUUCGCACGAACAAGUUUUUUACGUCGUUGACUGAAAAUAGUUUAUUUAAUUUGAGUUUAUUAGUUAUUUUUAGAUUUGAAGUUUUUAUUCCUUUUUUCUUUACUUUAUUUGUUUUAGGCUAUUCAUUGAACGAUCUAAGUCUCUUGUGUUUACUCUUCUCAGGAAAUCGUAGUUUAUGCAAAAUUCUGACGAGAUCGAACUUCUUCUAAUAGAUCCCGAAAUCGAAAGAACUUUUAGACAACGAAGAAGAGAACAUAGACAAGCAAGAGAAAAUGGCAAAAAAUCAACAUCCAAAUCAAGUUCAAAACCCUUUUCCACUACCCUAGCCAAUUCAGCCAAGGGCAGUAGCAAAUCAAAGAGAAGCUUUAGUGAGGGAUAAUGUAAAAUGUCAUGCCAGCUCUAGUGCAACUGACUAUCAUAUAUCCACCUUUUGGACUGGCCAACUUCCGUAUUAGGCCUAACGUUAUCAACUUAUUCCAAAAUCAUCAAGAUAUCAGGUUCUUUGGAAGAUCAACCAAAAAUCCUGACGAACAUAUUCUGGCAUUCUCGAUGCUCUGCGAUAUGAUCAACCACGAGAAAAUGUCUAUGGAUAUUUUUUGACUAUGCCUAUUUCCUCAUACAUUAAAGGAGGGCGCAAGAGAAUGAAUAAAUUCCUUAACUCCUGGGAGCAUCGUUUCACGAAAUUAGAUGGUACAGAGGUUCACAUUGAAAUUUUUCCUGCCAUCUCGAGUCCAUCAUAUCCGAAAUGAAGUCCAUACUUUCAGGCAAAAGGACCUCGAGAGCUAUCCAGAAGCAUGGAAAAGAUUCAAAGAGUAUUUCAGAAAGUGUCCUACUUUGAAUAUUCUAAAAGAAUAAAAAAUAUGCCUAUUCUAUUAAAGCUUGAGACCUGAAUUUCACAACAUCCCAAAUGCUUCUGUAGGAGGGUCGAUAUCGGAUAUUUCGUUGGAUAAUGCCUUGGAACUUUUUGAGCGAAUUGUAGAAAAUCAAUCUAGUGGCCGAGGGACAGGGAAGUCCAGAGGAAAACAAAUGGUAUAUAUAAUGUGGACGCAGUGAUAGGGUUGACAGCACAGAUGGAAACAAUAACAAGAAAGCUUGACACUUUGACCCAUCCUAUGAAUAUAUUACAAAAUCCAGCUCUAAAAUGUGAAGGUUGUAGGGCAAAUCACAUUACUGUAAGUUGUCCUUUGGUUUCUACUCACAUAGGUCAGCCAGUAAAGAUCAGUUAUGCGCAGAACUAUUAGAGGCAAAAUAGACCUUACCCACACAACUACCAUCUAAGUUUGAACAAGUAUCCCAACUAUGCGUGGUUUAACAAUUCGGAUUAAGUAAAUUAUAUGAGGAGCAAUCCACCAAGAUUCAGCAACAAGAAGAAAAGAGGCAAUUAUUGGAGGAUCUACUUGUCAAGUACAUCACUAAGUUUGAGACGGUGAUACACAAUCAGCAAGCCUCUAUACAUAACAUAGAGAAACACGUGGGACAUAUAGCAGUUGCAUUAGCCAAAGACCACAAGGUACCUUACCCAGUGAUAUAGAAAAGAACCCAAAGGAAUAGGUAUUAGCAGUUGAAGUUGUGAAUUAUGCAACUAUCGAUACACCAUCGAUCAAGCCUGCUACACCUGUUCAAGCUUAUGUACCGCCUAUCCCAUUCCCUCAAAGGGUUCAAAGACCGUCUAAAAAGGAACAAAGCUAGGCUAUCACAACGAGAAGCGGAGUUCAGCCGCCAGAAACCACAUUGAAGAAGAAAGAGACUGGGGAGAAUCAAGUACAUAUCUCGAAGGAAGAACAAGUGGGCCAGUUUAAAAAAUCAUCAAAUGUUAAUCAAGAAGAACAGUUACAGAAUAAUAAACUGGACAAACAAUUCAAAAAUUUCUUGGAUGCCUUUAGAUAACUUCACGUCAACCUACCUUUCAUUGACACCAUUUUAUAAAUUUCAAAUUAUGCUAAGUUUUUGAAGGAGAUGUUGACAAAGAAGAGAAAACUGCUAAAAGAUGAAACAGUAACAUUGACAUAUGAGUGUAGCGUGAUCAUUCAGCGUAGGAUCCCUCCGAAACUUAAAGAUCCAGGGAAUUUUACUCUACAUUUCUCCAUAGGAAAUUUACAAGAUAUAAAUUGUUUAAUUGACUCAGGAGUAAGUAUUAACUUAAUUCAUUUGCCUCUUUACAGGAAACUAGGAUUGAGAGAUCCUAAGGCUGCUUCUAUCAUCCUUCAACUGGUAGAUCGAUCACUGAAACACUUCUAUGGAAUAGUUGAAGACAUGCUUAUCAAGGUGGAAGAGUUUAUUUUUCCAGCUGACCUCAUCAUCCUCGAUAUAGAAGAGGCAUAUCAGAUGUCAAUAAUCUUGGGAAGGCCAUUCUUGUCUAUAAGCCGAGCAUUGCAAGAUUUCGAUGCUAAUGAGAUAGUCUUGAGGAUGAAGGAUAAGCAAUAGAGCUUUACAUGGAGAAUCCAAUUAAACAACCAUCGUACUUUGAGGAUUGCCAAUAAGUUGGUCAUUGGGAAAGCUACAAAGGCAAGCCAAAUGAAGGUGGAAUUGUUGGUAGAGAUAGCGAUGGAAACAUAAUUGUUUGGGGGAUGAAAGAUGAAAGAAGGAAGUACAAUCAGUGCAUAAAAUGCAGAGCUGAAUAUUCCCUCUUCCAACCACCAUGAAUACCAAAACAACAAAGUCUAACUAAAUACUAUAAAUUAAGCGCUUAUUGGAAGAUAACCUAAUUUCAUUACCAUUUAUUUAUUUUGCUUUGUUGAUCGUAUUGCAUAUAAACUUGUUUUGAUUAUUAGUAUGCAUUAGAUUUAGGCACGUUUAAAUUUAUAGGGUAUCAUCAUCCGAUAAUGUUUUCGCUAAGGCUCUUAAAUUUAAUGUUGGUUAUUUCGAGUGUUUGGGCUAAGUAAUACACGUUUUAGAUUAUUUGAUAUCUAAUGUUUGAUUUGAUUGUCAUAUGCAAAAACAUAACGUCGUCGAACACCCAAACCCAUAUAGACCAAGAAAAAGCAUGAUGAGAAAAAUUGUCUGGCCGUCACCCAUAGUCCAUUCCACAAUCAAUAGAAACAUCUAGGGAGUAUCUUUUUCCUUUUCUUUCCCGUCCCCUUAUAUUUUUAAUUAUGCUUUAAGAUAUUAAGGACAAUAUCUAGUUUAAGUUUAGGGUGGAAAAAACUUUAAAGCUUUGGUUUUUCGUAUUUUUUUGUUCGUUUGUCUUGUGUGUUUAUAAAUAAAUAAAUAAAAAUUGUUUUUGUGUGAUAAAAAAUAUCGUUAAAUUUUUUUAUUUUUUUACUUUUGGCUGUGUGCUUGUGUUAGUUAGACAGUUUAGUUAAUAAUGAUGAUUAAAUUUGAAAUUUGAUGUUGAUUUAUGAACUAUAGAUAGGGAGCAUGCUAGAUGGAUUGAAAAUUAAACUUGCAAAACUUGAUAUUAUAUACGCACUAAAAUUGAGUUUGACAUUAUGAUGAAAUGAGUUGAUUCAUGCAUUUGAUAGAUUGAUUUAGUUAAACAUAGAUGCUUUACGCAAACCAUACUAAUUAUAUAUCCUUAGACCAAAUUUAGCACAAUUUGGAGUUUACUGUUGUAGGAAAAUACGGAUAUGAAUGUGGAUUUCUCUUGUGAAAAAGUUUGUGUGGAUUGUCUUAGCUUAACAAGAUAAAAUUGGGUGAAAGUCUUAAAUUGAAAGUCAAUUUUUUCGAAUGGUUGUGUGGUAAGGGGCAUUGCACUGAUCAAAGCAUAUAUUUUUAAAUUUAAAACUUCUCUUCGAAACCUUUAUUACUCGAUUAAUUAAGCUUGUAAGGGUAUCUUAAAACUUGGUGCCUUAAAAUCAUCUGACUUGAGAGUCAUCAACCUAAAGCCUGCUAUAUGAGUAAUCUAAAAAGUUUAAGGAGGAGACAAAAGAAAAAAAAAAUUUUUUAAAAAUCAGAAAAAGUAAGUGCAUGAAAAAAGCAAAAAUACUAAAUGCCUUGUUAUGCCCCAACACUUGUUUGAGAGAAUUUGACUUCUAAUUAAAUGAUGACAGUCGAAGCAAUCAAAUAAUUGGAGAAUUCUAGUUUAUUGACGUGUUGACUUGCAACUAGUGACGUCUAUCUAAAUUGGAGAGGAACGGGAUAGUAAUAAAAAAUUCAAUCUUGGAUCACAAGCUGGGAAAAGAGUGAAAAAGAAUAAGUUUGGGGGUGUGUGAAUCUUACAAGAGAUUAAAGGAUAUAUUUGACCAUAAAAUCUUACAAUAAAAUCUGAUAGAGUGACUAACAUAAUGAAUUUUAGCUAAGGGAGACAAAAAAAAUGUUUUUAUAGCAUUUAAAAAGAAUAAAGCCUCCUGUCCCGUGUCGGGGACGGGGGAAAAUAGGGACACCACAUGGCGAUAGGCGUCACAUGGCUCCCUUGUCCCUGUCCCUGUCUCCAAUCCGGGACAAGGAGUAGGGUUGAUUUAAUAAUUAGAAAAAGAAGUUUGGAUAAGUCGUGGACCACCUUAAUAACCUCAAAUCAAUAGCAUGUUAUUUGCCAUUGUUGACUCCUAUGAAAAGGUCAAUUUGAACUAGCAAUGGUCAUCUUCACCCAUAUGGAGGUAUCGGUUAAGGUCCACAAAGGCGGCUGGAAGGAAGCUUUACGUGCCAGACUUUUUUGUUGAGCAAAUUUGGAACACAAAAUCAUCAAAGUGGAAUGGUCCAAAACCAUAACCACCACAUAGUACUAAUCCAAACUUCUCUAUUAUUGCACAAACUCCACUAGUGUAUUCACCAUUCUAAAAGUGACACAUAUUUUCGUUUUUUAGCUUAUGUAUUUAACACACCUUUUGCACAAUACUCAUUUUUUAUUAGUCAGUAACUAAGACAAAUUUCAUUUAAAAUUGAGUGGUAGUGAGACUUGAACUCGGACCCUUCACUUGCUAUGCUACCAUAUUAAAUAACACUGACAACGUUGUGACUAAAGCUAAGUUAAAAUUACUUAUUGAUUAAUAAAUUAUUUAAGAAAUUACAACCUACUUUAUAGCAAUAGUGAAGUAGUAACACGAGGGAAUGGUGAAAAGGAAACCCCAUCGAGGAGUGAAAUGAAAUAUGAAACCAUAAACUCCCAAACAGUGAGAAGAGCCAGGUCUCUUAAGUCCAAUGAAGCAUACUCCUCACAUGACUUGAGUAAAUUACAGAAACAUCACUUGAGGUUUAUAAAAAACACGAAGAAAACAUUUAUUAUUUAAAAAUUGCAAAAAUCUUUAUUAUUAUCAUAAUAUUUCCAUUUAACUCCUUCUGUUUUCUUAUUUCUCUUUCCCUUAAUUUCUAUUUAGGGAAAAAAAGUUGUUUGAUUUUAAAGAAAAUUAAAUAGUUUAAUUUUAAAUUGAUUUGCAUUUAAAAAAUAAUACAAAGCAUCUAAUACAAAAGUGAAGUAAAAAGAAAUCUAACCAUUAAACGUUUGUUUCCAACUUUAUUUCAUUUUACUGUUACGUACUUCAAUUUUCUAAACUUAGUAUGUUAUAAAUUUUAAGAGUAUAAAAAAAUGAAAAAACUGAGAAAAUGCUAAUAAAUCGAACAGCAUAAAUAUUUGACGAUUUUUAAUUAGCUUUAUUAAAGGAUUAUAAAACAUGUAUUUAUAUUGAUUUGUUAAUUAUUUCUAAUCGGAUUUGAAAAAAAAAAGCUCUUUAUAAUUUAAUAAGACAAUAAAGAUAUUUAUAAUAGUACUUGUUUCUAUUGAAACUAAUCAUUUCAUCAAAAUCGAAAGAAUAAAGAGGAGAAAGUAUGGUACUCUGAAUAUAAUAUAAUACGGAUAUCAGAAGAGUUAAAAUAAAAGAAUUUCAAAAUAAUAUAAUUGAAAUGGUAAAAUGGUAAAUUACAUAUAUGCCUUUUGUCGAUAUUAACAAGAGAUUUUCAUAAUUUUUGAAAAGCGGAUGAUAAAUCUUUAAUAUUCGGUAACCUCAAGGGGGUAGCUAAAACUAGUUCUUUUAGUGCAACAACAAUGAUUAGUAAAGGAGAUUCUACCAAUUUCAACUGGAAAUGAAAUUCAAAUUGGGUUAUUAAGUUGGUAGAAACAAUUGAUAAGUACUCCACAAACUCAUUAGACUCGGUCUGCUCAUCGAUCCAAUUAAAGCAUCAUAUCACUAGGUUAGUAGUUCAACAGAUGAGUUAGUGAUUUAAUUAGUGGGUCGUUAUCAAGUCAAAAGUUUAUAUAUUAUAAUUUAAAAUUUUAUCUUGUUUGAUCGUGAUUAAAACUUAGAUUUUAAUUUUAGUCAAAGUCAAUAAUUAAUUUUAACUACAUAUUUUAUGGGUCCCACAACUUUUCGACCACACAUUUUAUGAAAUUUUAUCAAAAUUUAUAAAAAAAAUCUUAUUUUAAUCCCCACUAAAGAAGGGCUUAUCAUUUGAACAAUUAUAUUUUAUAAGUUCUUAAAUUUUCUUUCUUGUUUUAAAAUAAAAUUGAAGGCGUAACAUAUAUUUAAUCACACUAUUUGAUAGGGUCUAAAAUUUAGAUUUAAAUUCAAGUCAAAAUCAACAAUGAAUUUUAAUCACAUAUUUCAUGGAUCUCACAAUUUUUCAAUUUCACUUUCACCUAGUUUUAUUAAAAAUUGCUAAAUAUUUGAUUUUAAUCUUCAUCAAGCAAGCUAAACAAAUCUACUACUAGCGGUAAUACUUUUGUUUAGUCGCAGGUCUAACAGCUAACGGUUGAAGCCUGGUGAAAAGUGGCUUCCUCCAUCAACUUUGAGGGUCCUGGGUUCAAGGCGUGACAUGGCCCCUUAUACAUUAUAAAAAGAAUUGGCCAGUUUUGCAAAACUAGACUAGUUCUUGAUAAAUUUGAACUGUUCGACGGGUUUAAAACAUUUUAAAUGCUAAUUGAUCCAAAAAAACUAUUUGUAUUGGACGGGUUUUGUUCACUGAUUUUCUGAUCAAACUGACAAUUCUACUUAGAGUACUUUCCACAACUUCAAUCCAGAAUAUGUUCCUAUUCACGAAUUAAAGAAAUAAUUAUCAAGAUCAAAAUAAUCUUUGGUUUAGAUUUCAUGAUUCGAACUAAUUACCCUAAAUUUUCAAUAUUUGGUCAAUCAUAAAUAAUUAGAAAGGAGACAUGAAAAAAUGUCUUACAGUUGGCACAAUUCUACCAAAUUAUUCUGACCCAUGGAACAAUGCCAACCGUCAAUUUAAACAAGUACAAACAUGAAUUUUAUAAGUUAGAUCAAUUAAUUUUCUUCACAAAAAUCGGGAAGAGGAGGAAAAAUGGAGAACUGUGCAAUGGCUCUAUCUCCUUUCAAAUCAUUCAACAAGUCUACAAAAAUUCCAUUUAGGAAAAUCAGCUACAGAUUCAGCGACAAAUAUAGAGCAGUUUUGUGUGGGAACUCUACAAAAUCAUUCAUCAAAUCGUCCCAUAAUGUUCUCUCUCUAUAUUCUACUUCGAAUUUUAAUAAAAAAUACUCGACAUUGUUGUCUGAGACUCAAACAUCAUUCGAGUUCAAGGUUAAGUCAUCGGCCGCAGUUCCUGAAAGUGUAAGUGAUGCUGGAAAUAGCAAUGGCGUGUUCAAGACUUUGCAGCUUGGAUCAAUGUUUGCAGUAUGGUAUCUACUAAACAUCUACUUCAACAUUUACAAUUGAAAAACCUAUCGUUCGACCCAACUAACACCUAGAGGGGGGGUAAAUAGGUGUUCUUGCGGAAUUAAAAACUUUUUGAAUAAUUCAUGCAACAAGUCACACAAAUUAUAAUUUGUCUAGAUUAAUUCACGUGCUUUAUCUGCCUAUGUUGGAUUACCAUUGACAAGUAAAUAAAUUAAAGCGGUAAAAACACAAUAAACAUAUUGACGGAGAAACCCAACUGGGUAAAAACUCCGGGCACAAGCCAGUAGAGAUUCAUUAUUGUAGAAACCAACUUACAGCACGCCAGACAUCAUUGACACUCUCAAUUUUCUGACCUUCUUGCUGUAUGAACUCAAGACCCUCCUGGAUUUUGCAAAUCUGUGCUAAAUCCCAGCCUUGUAUAAUUUCUACCUCCCGUGAAUCGCCACGCACUCCAGCUCUUCAAGCAAAUCCUUCCCGGAUCUUCAAACUGAUGAUCUUCUGGAAGUUUAAUUGGAGUUGUCAGACAGGUAUUUUGGUGUUUAUGGAUUUGAUGUUUUUUUUUUUUUACUCAACAACCCAAAGAUUGGUAUGAGAACAAUGAAGGAUUUCUUUGGUUUUUGAUCCUUGGAGAGAAUGAUUUUGAUUUUUGGUUGCCAAGGAAUUGAAAGGAUAUUCAAAGUGUUUUCAAUGUGAAUUUUCGGGUUAAUGAACACGAAUCAGACGUUUGGUAUAUAUAGAGGUCGAUAUAUGGUAAUGUGGAGCGUCAAACAUUCGCGAGCGUUUAAAAUUAGAAUUCGCUAGCUAACACGGUCGCUCGAGCGAUGGCUCAGCGUGAGUCCAACGAAGUUGGUUCUGCAAUUGUGGCUCGAGCGAGGUCAGGGCGAGACUCUAGCGAAUCAAAGUGCCGCUUGCAUCUUCGAGGCAUCCCACACAACCCUAGACCUAGCCUAUAAACUUUAGUUAAUUGCAACUCUAGUCUCUGAACUAUUGGACAUUGACAAUUUGGUCCUUGACUUUACAAUUUUGACAAUUUGGUCCUUGGUCACAGAUUUGCCAAUUACAUAUUUUCCUAACAAACUCCCCCUUUGGCAUUCUGUGACAAAAACACAUUUGACAGUCAAGGAUAAAAAACAAAUUGACUCCAAACUACCAAUCUAUUCUAUCACAUCAGCAAUAUCUUGUUGAACCUAUUUCCUGAAAAACAAAACUCAAAUACCACGUGAAAAAGCAUGUGAAAUGGAAACGGUAAAUAUAGAGAAGAUAUAAAUCAUAUAUCAUUAACCAGAUUAAGAAGCAAUAAUAAUGUAUGUCUAAAACACCAAAAACAGACAUUAAGAUUGCCAAAACAUCAAAAACUUAAUCUAGUUAUAAAAUGACAUAUAUACAUCAACUUUAUAUCACAGUUAUCAAAAAAUAAUUAUCUGCUCCAAUAUCUAUGCAGCUCCAAUAUCUAUGCAAUCUACUCCAUAUCAACUCAAUCAAUCUACUCCCCCUUUUUGUCACAAAGGGCCAAAGAAAAGCGAAAGCAACAAAAUGAACUAAGAAGCAGCAUCUCCAGCACUGGAAGAAUCAGAACCACUCUCAGCACUCGUGCUCUCCUCCAAAUGAUCUCGAAUCCAGCUCAACUGACACUGACAGACAGCAAGAGCAUGGCGAAACGUAGACAUCUUGGCUGACUGACGCUCUGAAGCAGCACGUAACUGCGUGAUCUCAAAUAUCAUACGAGCCUGCUGCUCGAUCAGUGUAGACAUCUGACCCACAAGCGUCACCAUGGGAUCAACGGGCAGAGAAGCCACCCUCGGAGCAAAAGUAGAUGUCGAAGCAAACGCAGAGCUGAGAGGCAUAACAGAAGGAUAAACUGGACGAGGAGGGAGAAACACACGGGAGCCCCCUGUAAGAAUCUCAGUAAUAGGAUCAAAGGGCUCCGAAGGAUCAAAAACAUCAGUGGUCGCAGCCGGAGCAGUAGAGGAAGAUGAUAGUACAUGGGAUCGACUCUGAUGAAUGGUCUGCUGUCCAAUCGGACGUCCUAUGCGACAAGUCGAACCCUCCGGAAAAGAGGCACCCAAAGACAACGCAACCCGAUGAAUCAAACAAGCAUAAGGCAACCCGAUCCGACCCCCAGGAGUAUGAAAGGAAGCCAGAAUAUUCUGUCACACAAAACUAGGAAAGUCGAUCGAGUCCCCAUGAAGAACGGCAUACAGAAAAUGGGCACGCACCAUAGGUAGAGAAGAGGUAUGGGCAACAGGCCACAGGUUUGUGCACACUAUGCGCAACAAGACCUGACGAUCAGUAGGCAAUGACCCCGUGGCCAUCGCCGUAGGCCCACCGAUAGACGGGGUGUUCAAGAGCGUAGACCGAACAAGAGUAUCGGCCGGAAUAGAAGCAGGUAAAAUAUAGGGAUACGUCGGAUGGGUAAUCUGAGGUAUACCUAAGGCAUGAGCUAUAGCCGAUGGAGUAACUCUAAACGAAUGACCUCUAAGAGUAACCCUAAAGGACGAGCCGUCUAUAUCAUGAAUAUUCGCGUAGAAUUCCUGAACGAGGAGUGGGGGAGGAGGUGAAAGACCAAUGAGAAGGGGCUCCCAACCUCGGGAAACAAAAAUGGCGGCUAUAUCAACAGGAAGGUCAGAUAAGAUUACCUCACGCUCCACGAAAACGGGGCGUAAGGAGAACUGAGAAGUGAAGAUUUCCUGAGCUGUAGCAGAAAUGAAUCUGGAACGACUAUACGACGUCGAACCACUAGCUGGCUGUGCAGAGGAUCGAGAACGCUUACGGGCCAUCUGGCAUUUGUAGAGACAAAACUAAUAAGUAAUAUGAAGAAUGCAUGUGAUUCGAUGCAAUGUGGAAUGAAACACCACACACACAAAAGAGGCACAAUAGAGAUGCAUCGACAAACGUGAAUGACCCUAAGCACAAACGAAGUAAGAUGAAGAUAUAGACCAAAAACAUAUGGGAACACACCUAUCAUGGCACGUGAUGACAAAGAACCAACGACGGAAAGGAAAGAAAGAAAUGAGAUGCGCAGAAAAAAAGGGAAACAAAGAGUAAAAUAGGUAAGGAAUUUCAUCGAGCAUGUGGCGUGCAUCACUUUGUCACACAAUUCCAAGCACAUGUGAGAUCCAAUCACCCAUCCAAUCAUAGUCCCUCAAACUAGAAAUGACGUACUUUAAAAUGAAACAAACCACACAUCAAACGGAUUAACGGAAUGCAAGAACGAACGAAUUGAAAAUGGAUGAAAAAUAUGUAAAUCACAUAGUUCGAAGAAUGAAGAAAUCAACAAUGCAAUGGAAAUCGUGAUGCACAAUGCGGGAAAGAACUCCCAAUGAAACACGGAAUGUCGAAGCCACUAUUAAUUAAGUAACAAUCAAGCAAGAAUACCAAAGUAAGCCAAACACACGACAAAGAGAAGGAAAACGAAAAAAAGAAAAAAAAAUUACCUCAAUAUGAAGUUUGGCAAAGGAAAUCCGAAAACAAAUAUGUUAUGAACCGUAGAGUGAUGUUAUUAGAGGAAUAUGGGGAUGAAAUAUGGAGGAAAUCACGAAGAAAAACAAAGGAGAAGAGAAAAAGAAGAAAAUGCGCGAAAAAAAUGAAACAGGGCCGUUUUAAAAUAGGCCUGUCGCUCGAGCGAGGGUCCAGCGAGACUCGGGCGACAGGCAAACUGCUUUUGUCGCUCGAGCGAAGACCAGGCGAGACUCGAGCGAAACACCAAAUGUCAAAAAUAGCACCAAAAAUUUGAAUUUUGAGAAAAAUAACAUAAUCUUCAAGAAAUGACGAAAUUAGCCCCAAAUCGUGAAAUUUCAAAAAUAAGUGAACUACGUAAUAGUAGAAAAUAAUCCAAAAAAUAGCAUGAAACCACAUAUGCAAUCAAAACCAACAAUAAGCAUAAAAUCAAAAACUCGACCACCAGCACGUAGACAAAUCGUUAAUCCACACAUAGUUCAGAAUCCUGUGUAGUAAAGUGUAUACAGAACAUCAACGUGAAAAGUGCCACGUAGGCCAUGCAAGCUAGACUCAAAACCUUAAAUUAGUGAGAAAGGACACGUGAAAACAACCCGACAAAGGUGAAUGUCGACCAAAUGACAGUCAAAUUCAAUUCCACGAGGACCUAUAUCAAAUACUAUGAUUGUCACAAUUUUACUUUCCCUAACUGUAUGAUUCCAACUUUUUUUUUUUGUUUAUUGUUUUCAUUUAACAAAGAACUUAAGUGCAAUGCCAUCCCAUUAGACAACAUAAAUGACCCCUGUAACGAACUUUUGGCCGGUGACUCCCAAGUCAGACGACCAUAGGGCACCAGGUUAGAAACCCCUCAGGCUUAAUUGUUCGAGUCAAAUAGGCCCCGAAGAUAGCCAUAAGUUCAACAAAGAACAAAAGUAAAACUGGGGAAAGACAAUAUUGAUUAGGUUACACUCAUCCCAGAUCAAGUCAAAUGUACAUACAACCCCAAUCAUAGAAGAACACCAUCCCAAGUCUCACCCAUGCGGUCAAGACUCACUUACAGGACUACAGUGUGUGUUGUGUGAAAAUGAAUGACGAGCCAUAUACCCAGAACUCCACAUUGAAAAAUGAACAAAGAUGGAUCCUCAGAUUCAUACACAUGUUGGAAAAUAGAAUUUGAUCUUUAAUGCAAAUGCCAGAAUCAUUACAUAAAAGUCCCAAAAAAAAAUUUAUUCUAUUUUAUUUUAUCUGGUCUUUUUUUUUUAUUAAAACACACAUAUAACACAUAACAGAAGACUAAACAAAACAAAAGAAAUACAUCACACACACACAAAUCACACGCAAGAUAUGAAGUGAUGAGGUACAUAUGUGAUGAAUGCAUGAACAUGCAUGAAUCCAUGAUCAAAUAGGUGAGCAAACACCAACAACCGUCCGAAGCGACUCAAACCUCAAUCCAUCUAGUGGUUUCGAAAGUAGAUCAGCCAAUUGAUUAUCAGUAGAGACAUGGUCAAGAGAGACAACAUGUGAUUCAACAAGCUCUCGAAUGAAAUGAUGUCGUAUGUCAAUAUGUUUUGUUCGAGAGUGCUGAAUGGGAUUCUUAGAAAUAUUUAUCACACUCGUAUUAUCACAGAAAACAGUCAUUGUCCCUUGACUAAUCCCAUAAUCACUAAGCAUUUGUUUCAUCCAGAGAAGCUGAGUACAGCAACGCCCUGCAGCUAUGUAUUCGGCCUCUGCCGUGGAUAAAGAUAUUGAAUUUUGUUUCUUACUUAGCCAGGCUACGAGAUUGCUACCCAUGUAAAAACAACCCCCAGUCGUACUUUUCCUAUCAUCUGCAUUUCCAGCCCAAUCAGCGUCGGAGUAUCCAGCCAAAUCAAGAUUGGAAUUCCUAGAAUAGAAUAUCCCUAGAUCCACUGUACCACUGAUAUACCUGAUUAUGCGUCUAACAGAGCUUAGGUGUGACUCUUUUGGAUCUGCCUGAAAGCGAGCACACACUCCUACACUAAAGGCAAUGUCAGGCCUAGUAGCUGUGAGAUAGAGAAGACUACCUAUCAUGCUACGAUAUAGGGAAGGAUCUACACUCUUACCAGAAGGAUCACGACCUAACUUUAAGCUAGUACUCAUCGGUGUCCUAGUAUGCUUCUUACUAUCUAACCCAAAUCGCUUAACGAGAUCCUUAGCAUACUUAGAUUGUGAGAUAAAUAGUCCAUCCUCUGUCUGUCGUACCUAAAGUCCAAGGAAAUAACUUAACUUCCCAACCAUACUCAUCUCGAACUCUCUCUGUAGACACUCAGCAAACUCAAAUGCUAAAGACUCAAGAGGAGACCCAAAAAUGAUAUCAUCGACAUAAAUCUGAGCAAUGGUAAAAUUUUCUUCUAUAUGUCUAAUGAAUAAGGUCCUAUCUGCACCACCUCGAGAGAACCCAUGUUCUUCCAGAUAUGAUGUAAGUCUCUCAUACCAAGCUCUAGGAGCUUACUUCAAACCAUAGAGUGCUUUGUGAAGUUUGUAGACAUAGUGGGGAAAUUUUGGAUCAACAAAUCCCUUAGGUUGUUCCACAUAUACUUCUUCCUGAAGAAGUCCAUUCAAGAAGGCACUCUUAACGUCCAUUUGAUGCAACUUGAACCCUAAGGUACAUGCAACAGCAAGCAGAAUCCUAAUAGACUCAAGUCGUGCAACGGGGGCAAAAGUCUCAUCAAAAUCAAUCCCCUCAACUUGAGUAUACCCCUGAGCAACUAAUCUAGCCUUAUUCCUAGUUAUAGUACCUUGGUCAUCUGUCUUGUUCUUAAAGAUCCACUUGGUACCAAUAACAUUACAAUUUUCAGGUCUGGGAACUAAGAUCCACACAUUAUUCCUAGCAAAUUGAUUUAGCUCCUCAUGCAUCGCAUUCACCCAACACUCAUCACUAAGGGGCUCUUGAACUUUUUUAGGCUGUACCUGAGAAACAUAGCUAGUGUACGCUAGAUUGUUCAGUACUCUCCUACGAAGUCUCAUCCCUUCAUCUAGAUCCCCAAUAAUAUUAUCCUUAGGAUGACUAGACUUAACCCUAGUCGAUGGUUCCUUAGGAUUUUUAUCUAGAUUUUGUGGAAGUGUUUCCUUUUCAGAUGUUUCAGGUUUCUUACAAGAUGAUUCAAGCACAGGUAGCUCGGUAGGAUCACUUGAACUCAAAAGAUCACCAUCUUUAUCACAUUUUUCAGCACUCUCCCCCUCACUAACAGCAUCAUCUAUCACAACAUUUAUAGACUCCAUCACCACACGGGUACGUAAGUUAUACACUCUAAAUGCUCGGCUAUUCCUAGAGUACCCUAGGAAGAUCCCUUCAUCACUCUUUGAUUCAAACUUACUCAAGUUCUCUCUAUCCCGCAAAAUGUAGCACUUACUCCCAAAUACUCGAAAAUACUUAACAGUAGGCUUUUUACCCUUAAGAAUUUCAUAUGGGGUAUGAUCAGUCUUGGGUCUAAGGUAGACUCUAUUGAUGAUGUGGCAUGCAGUGUUAAUAGCUCCUCCCCAAAAGUGUAGGGCUAAUUUCUUGCCAUGAAGCAUGGCUCUAGCCAUGUCCUGAAGGACACGAUUCUUCCUUUCAACUACCCCAUUUUGUUGCGGAGUGAUAGGGGAAGAGAACUCAUGCAAUAUCCCUUCGUCUAUACAGAAACUCUCAAGAUUAAAGUUCUCAAACUCUUUUCCAUGGUCACUACGCAUCCUAGACACUUUGAGAUUCAGUUCAUUGCUAAGCCGUUUACACAGAGACUUUAUGAGGUCACAAGCAUCAGAUUUUUCCCUAAGCAAUUCUAUCCAAGUAAACCUCGAGAAGUCGUCUACCACGACAAGAAUGUAUCGCUUACCACCUAAACUCUCAGUCCUAGAAGGUCCCAUCAAAUCCAUAUGUACCAACUCCAGGGGUCUUUUGGUCAGAAUUUUAGUAGUCUUCUUAUGGCUCCCCUUAAGUUGUUUACCUAGUUGACAUGGUCCGCACACUACAUUGUCACUAGGAACUAUCUUAGGCAACCCAUCUAUCAAUUCUUUCUUAGCCAACUGCUCUAGACUCUUAUGGUUCAAAUGACCUAAUCUUUUGUGCCAGAGCUCACUCACAUCAAUUUUAACACUCCUACACACAUAGUUAGAAUUAGGUAAUACCCCAUAACAAUUGUCAGAUGUUCUAACCCCUUCAAGGACUAGCCCACCGGAUGAAUCAUACACGGUACAUCUCUUCUGCACAAAACUAACCUCAAAGUCGUCAUCACAAAUCUGACUGAUGCUUCACAAAUUUGACUUUAAACCUUCCACAUAAAGCACAUUAGAGAUCACAGGUAAACCAUGCAUUUGUACAAUACCUUUGCCAAGAAUAGGUGUAGAGCUCCCAUCUCCAAAGGUAACCAUCCCACCAUUACAUUCAUCAAGAGUAGUGAAUAGAGCUUUAUUACCACACAUAUGCCUAGAACAUGCACUAUCCAGGUACCACAUAUUAGAAUUUUGAGCUUUUAAGGCAACAUGAGCAACAAAACAGUUUUCUUGACCUGAAAGUCUUCCUAGAUCACCCUUUUUGACUCAAACCUUUUUAGAUGACAAAGUACUCUUAGUUAGCUUAGUAAGCAUCUCAGUCAAAUGAUUAACUUGAUUAGACAGAAAGCUAACCUGACUAGGAAUGUUUUGAUUUCUACGCUCAUUGCCUAACUUAUAAUAUUUAGGCCUAGUGUGUCCUGGAGGUCCACAAUGGUGACAGGUGGGAAUGAACCUAGGCUCAAAGGUACGUGUCUGUGGGUACCUAGUCUUGAUGUUCCUACGUUGUGAAUUUUCGGGUUAAUGAACACGAAUCAGACGUUUGGUAUAUAUAAAGGUCGAUAUAUGGUAAUGUGGAGCGUCAAACAUUCGCGAGCGUUUAAAAUUAGAAUUGGCUAGCUAACACGGUCGCUCGAGCGAGGUACUGGCGAGCCUCGAGCGACGUACAUUUCACUCGAGCGAUGGCUCAGCGUGAGUCCAGCGAAGUUGGUUCUGCAAUUGUGGCUCGAGCGAGGUCAGGGCGAGACUCUAGCGAAAUCAAAGUGCCGCUUACAUCUUCGAGGCAUCCCACACAACCCUAGACCUAGCCUAUAAACUUUAGUUAAUUGCAACUCUAGUCCCUGAACUAUUGGACAUUGACAAUUUGGUCCUUGACUUUACAAUUUUGACAAUUUGAUCCUUGGUCACAGAUUUGCCAAUUACAUAUUUUCCUAACAACAAUAAACAGGUUCCUUUUCUUCUUUCUGUUUGUCUUUACUUAUUUGAUCUUUUAAUAUUUCUUUUUUCUUUUAAUUCUUGUUACUUCGAAAAAUACACUUAGAAAAGAAUGGUGUGAUAUCAGUACAAGAAGUCGCACAAGGACAGCUGAACUAAAGUUGUUUUGAAUAUUUACAUUAAUGUAGCGAUAACCGGAGGAUUUACAGUGUCGUCCCGAAUACAUAUUUGUUUAAUGACAUGAUUUGUAAUAUUUGUAAUAGCAAAUAGUUGAUUACAGGUUCUGAAGGUUUAUCCAUUUGCAUUAACAGUAACGGCCUUCCAGUUUGGGUGUGGGACAGUGCUUGUUUUGUUAAUGUGGACGUUGAAUUUCCACCCUAAACCCAAGAUUAAUAGAUCUCAGGUAAUAUUUACGUGUACUAACAUAUUUUCUUAAUAUUUUGGUCUUGUUCUGUCAUAAAAAGUCAUAAAUUCAGGAGUUUAGUCCGUGUAGAAACUUCAAUUAUAAUCUAUAAAGCAUGAUUUGAAAGUGUUAAUAAUAAUAAUAAUCAUCAUCAUCAUCAUCGUCAUCAUCAUCAUCAUCUACAAAGUAUGUAUUGAAAGUGUUAAUAAAUUGUUUAAAUUAAAUAGUUAAAAUUAAAUGGUGAAUAAGCGGGGAUAGCAUCUGUUUGUAAACAAAAAUUGGAAUGAGUGUUUUUAUAAAUAAAAGUCAAACGUAUAGACCUUUCAAAAUUCUAGCAAAGAUUUGAAAAGUCAAAAUGUUUUUCCUAAUUCUUACUAUGGUAAACUAAGCCCUUGUUUGAUCCCCAUUACGUGGAAAAAUUAAUGGGGGGAAUAGUAUAUUUUUGAAAAACGAGUGGUUGAAAAAGAAUGAAAAGUUUUCGAUUUACGUGUAAUAUUAUUUUAUGAAAGAUUGUGUGGUUGAAAAUAGAAAAGAGAAAAAUAAAAUGUAAUAAAAUUUAACGUAAUGGGGCUCAAACAGGGGCUAAGAGACUUUAGCCGCUACUUCUAAAAUUCAUUUUCACUCAUAUAUUUUAUGAGAUCCACAAUUUUAUCAAUUUUCAACCAAAUAUUUCAUUAGUUUUAUUAAAAUUUACUAAAAAUAUAAUAUUUAUAUUUAUCAUAAUAUAACUUUUAGCUAAAAUAUACAUGAUUGUAAAUUAAACUUUGUUCUCGGUUUCAACUGAAAAUGAUCAACCUCUGUUUGAUAAUAAAUUUAAAAAUGGUUUGUAAAUUCUGUCAAACUUAAAUAUUAGUUUUAACAAUACAUUUAUAACUAUUGCUCAUAUGUUAUCAAACAUUUUGUGGGGAUCCAUUAAUAUUUCUUUUACUAUUUUUGUUUAAAAAUGAUUUAUAAAUUUGACAAAUGGAGGCUAAAUGAAUUGCGGUGUGGAAAAAACUGCUUAUCCCGGUUGCAAAAAUAAUUAUCUUUUCUUCGAGCAUUUUUUAUUUUUUUUUGCAUUAAUUAAUAUAAAAGCUUAUAUUUUUCAUAUCACAUCACCAUGUUAUGCUGCGUUUCUCGUUUCAAUUGUGACCUUACAUGAUUCUACAUAUGUCUGGUUAGUUUGCAGCGAUAUUUAUGCUGGCUCUGGGGCACACAAUAGGUAAUCUUUUAACAAAUAUCAGUAUUGGAAAAGUGGCUGUUUCAUUCACACAUACAAUCAAAGCAAUGGAGCCAUUUUUCACAGUGCUCCUUUCUGCUCUGUUACUUGGAGAGGUAUAUAUAAAUUUGCCGUUUUCCUGUAUAUUUUUGGAUAUUAUUAUUGUGGAUUUUGCAGUUAGAAGAUCUGGGUCGUGUUUUCUUGUUAAUGAUAAUUUUUACUUCUCUGAUGUAUAACAUUUUGUUGUUAAAAACAAAUUUUGCGUUUGUUUGGUUUGGACAACAAUUAGAUUUGUAGUUGAUUUUGAUAAAUGUUGAUGAAAUUGUUGGAUAUUGGUUAAAUAAAUUGAGAAUUGAAAAUCGAUUAAAGUUCGUAUCGAAUUCGGCCAAAUACUCAAAAGCUCGACUCAAUCCGUUUAGGCAAAAUUGUUUGCCACUUCGCCGCUUCGGAGCGCACAAAGAGAAUUUUGAUUUCUCUGCAUGUAUUGAAGGGUAUAUUUGGCAUUUCGAAAACCAAUAUCGGAUGAAUGAGAAAUUACGAAAAAGACCUCAACCAUUAGUGAAUAGACACCUUUUCAUAAAUGUGCAUUGUUUGGAAAUGGUGCAUGGUUUGGUCUCAACCAUUUCGUCCACACCCCUUCAUGGUCUAUAAAUAGGACCCUUUGGGUGUCCUAUUCCUCACAGUUUGAUAUGCAAAAACGUCUCUCAUCCUCUCUUCUAUCCAAAAUCAAAAUCAUUUCAUUUAUUUUGAUUUUCUUUCAUUUCAUCUGUGGAGUACAUAAGCCUACAUUGGGUUCGUUGUACUUGUGUUUUGGAGUGCUACAAACAUAAGUGUAGCCGUUGUAUCUUGGGAGUCGAUUGCCGAAAUCCGUAGGCACCGUUGCGGGGCAAAUUCGACUUAAGGACAAAGAGUCCAACUCUUGCUUCGGCUUUGUCACCAUCAUUAUACUUAUUUCGGCGUCACUAUUCACAAAAUUCUUCCAACAGAAAUGUGUGAUUCACUUCUAAGAAAUGAGGGCCAAAAAGGGGCUUAUGAGAGAUAAACAACUUUGUUGUCCCUCGAAUAACUCAAGCUUUUGUACCAAGAGCUCAACAUGAAAUUAAAGCAUGAAGUCCAAGUUGCGUUGCCACCUAUUUAAGAAAAUUGGGACAUAUUUAUGAUGAAAAAUGAGAGAUAUGCUACACAAACAGAAUUGGGGAUAGGAUUUUUAAACAGGUGGACACAUGUCAAAUACUGAUUGGACAGUUUGAAAAAAAAAAAAAAAGCACCAACCAACUGCCGACACAACCCCUGUCCCCAAAUUCUGUCACCUGCCCUGUUUGAAUAGCAUAAUGCUAAAUUUUUUUAAAAAAAAUCGACAUGAAUGUGAGAUGGUAAGCUUUUACACAUAAUUAUCACAUGUAUGACGUACAUGCUAUAAUAUUGUUUAUAAAUGUUGGAUUUUAGCGUGUAUAGAACCUUUGAUUAUUCUGUCCGAGCAUUUGGCCAUAAAAUUAAGGACAAAAACCUUUUUAUUUUUUUUGAAUGUUGAAAGCUAUGUAUAAUCCAUAUACCUUAUGGAUCAUUUAUUAUUUGAAGUCAUUUGACUUUCAGUUUGAUCACACAGAGGCCCUCUUUAUGGGUAGUUUCCUCCCUUCUGCCUAUUGUUGGUGGAGUGGCAUUGGCAUCAUUCACUGAGGCCUCUUUCAAUUGGUAUGAGCCUUAUAUUAUUCAGUUUUAAAAUUUAUUGGCAGUUACGGUGAAAUCUCUUCUGUGUCACGGAAUUUUUUUCAUUUGGUCACUAAACUUAUAAUUCACCUCACGUCAUCCACUCCUAUUAGUUAAACCAAUGGAGAAGUCUUCUGCAGCCGUUAACCUUUAACGGUAUUGUAAGAAACACUUCAACUGAAGUCGAAUUUUGAAAACACAUUUUUCCAAAUUUUUCCAAUAUAAAGAAUUAAAGGAGAGACUGAUUUGAUGAACCCGUUUGACAGAAAAAAGUUUGGCGACCUACGUGAGUUUUCACUUUUGCUGAUAAGUCAGUGACUGCCAAUGAAUUUUACCUGAUAUUGUGCUUGACCUUGGUGUCCUGAUAAUAGAUUUUCUGUUAACUCAGGAUAGGAUUUGGCUGUGCAAUGGCUUCUAAUCUAACGAAUCAAUCUCGAAAUGUGUUCAGCAAAAAAUUCAUGGUUAAGGAGGUAAGAGUUCAUUGUUAGUCAUUUGUUUAAUUCUUUCAUUAUACUGUUUAGCAUGAACAAGAAUUAUAUUUUAAGAAUGAUUUUUAGGAUAUAACAGAACCGGUUUUUGGGACGGUUCCUAAUUUUCUUGGUCAGGUCGGGUCAGACCGGGCCUCUAUAUAAACGAUGAUGGUUAUGAUUGCAUGAUAAUACGAUCUGAAAUCAACAAUAUAGUGCUAACCUGAUGCUGAUUCUAUCAGGAAACACUGGACAAUAUAAAUCUCUUCUCCAUUAUUACAAUCAUUUCAUUUCUUCUUCUGGUGCCGGUUGCCAUUUUGAUGGAUGGUGUCAAGUUUAGUCCAGCAUACCUGCAAUAUGCUGUAAGUAGUGUUUAAAGUAGCUGAAUUCUUAGCUUAAACUGCUGUCAUUCUGAAUUCCUAAAGUUUUUUAGUAUACAAUUUUCAUGUUUUGUUUAUUAUAAUUUAGGCAAGUCAAGGAUUGAAUGUCAAAGAGUUUUGUGUGAGAGCUCUUUCAGCUGGUUUCUGCUUCCAUACUUAUCAGCAGGUUAGGUCUCUAACAUUUGCCGAAAUUUUUCUAUUUUAUGAACGUUGUUUUCAGUUAAGUGGUCAGGAUGUGUCAUGUAUAUAGGCAUAAAGAUGUGUUGGACUAAAUUUACCGGAUGGAAUGGUUGAAAAUGAAUAUCAGAAAUUUAGAUAUUGGAUUUACGCAUACCAUAUAUGCAAUAUACCGUACUUAAGCAUACCAUAUAUUCUAUUUACCGUAUUUGUAGCUUACCUUAUUUGCAACAGCAUACCGUAUAUGCAAUAGCUUACCGUAUUUGCAUAUGCCUAUCUUGCAUAUACCGCAUGUGCAAUGAACUUGGUAAAAUAUAGCAAAUUAAAUUGCAAUAAAAUAAACCAGUUAAUCUGAACAAAACUAAUAUGGGCAUUUCAAAAUUCUUAAGAACCUGGUUGCUUUCGAUAUUAAUGGAACAAAGAGGUGAAAAAGGAUUCACUUGGUCGACCCAAAACUUAUUGGGAACUAGUCUUGUGUUUUAUUAUUGUUCAAUUAUAGCUGGCCACAAUUUCAAUUCAAUCCUUCCAGUGUUGACUUUAUCGAAGCUCUAUAAUGCACUGAGAGUACAUUUGACACGAGUAAUAAUAGAAUAGUAUAACAAACAAGAUUUUAAAAUUCUUUUGACACCCACCCUUCUGUCCAGUCUACGAACUAGUUAUUCUGAAUGCAACUCUACUUUAUUGUCAACAAUAAGUAACUUAAUCUGUUUCUGAUCGGCAGGUUUCUUAUAUGAUACUACAAAUGGUAACACCAGUGACACAUGCAGUGGGAAAUUGUGUUAAGAGAGUGGUUGUAAUUGUAUCCUCAAUUAUCUUCUUCCAAACUCCAGUUUCACCGACGAAUUCCCUUGGUAAAUUUCUUAGAAUCAAUCCUAAAUUAUGUCCUAAUUUCAUUAGUAACGUUAUUUCUUAUCUUUGGAGUCUGUUUCUCCAGUUUUAAUUUAGCCUUGGUAAUUCUGCCUGAUCUCAGGAACUGCUAUUGCACUUGCCGGAGUUUUUCUGUAUUCCAGAGCCAAGAGAAUCAAACCAAAUAAAGAACUUUCAUAGUGAUACAAUCGAGAUGCCUGGACGAGGACCUAGUUCGAUCUCAAGUGCUUGAAUCCAAUCGAGUGUAAUGAUUGGAUCUUUUCGAGAAUAUACUGAAAUUCUGGUACAAAAUGGUCAAUUGUAUGAUAUUACGAGUUGAGCAAAAUGAAGACUAAAUACAUUAUAUAUAAAUUUUUAAAUUUCAUACUUGGUGCAAUCCAUGUGCAUGUGGAACAUUAAAUAUAAAUUUUUAAAUUUCAUACUUGGUGCAAUCCAUGUGCAUGUGGAAUGAAUUUAAGUAAAAUCACUUCACAAAAUAAGAGCUGUAAGUAAUGUUAAAAAAAUAAUCAGUUGCAAUACCAUUCAGAACAAUAAAUUGCAGAAAUAUAAAAACUUAUCGUUCUAUCGAGUCUUGUGACAACACGAUAUUUUAAAGUGAAAUUGCCCGUCGAUAACUGCUACAACCUUCGAGGACAAACACUCUCAGGAUACAAUGAUCAUAAACCACUUGUGCAACAAUCAAUAAUGAUUUUCAGAACUCUCAAGCGCACUCCAGAAUAUAUGUAAAAACCGAAUAUAAAAAUUCAGAAUGUGAUAAAUAAGAUUUCUUUUCAAAUGAAUUUCUGUUUUCUUUGAUGUCUGUCUUUCCAAACCAAGACAUGAGUUUAUAUGGGCAAAACUGGAAGUAAUUGUCUCCUCCAUGACCAGAGAAUAAUGCAGAAUGUUAAUGACUGUGAGUAGUGGGUAUUUUAAUGACUGUGAGUAGUGGGUUGUUACAAAAAAGGUAAGAAAAUAUUGGCUAGUUUGACCCAUUAAAUAAUUUCGAAAAUAAAUAAAAUAAAAUAAAUUAUUUUAGUCAAGGAUCAAGACUUUUUAAUAAUUGCAUGGGAAGUGACCCGAACCUUUAACGUCCCACAUAAAUGUCACAUUUCCCAUCACUUGAGCACUUCAUCUAAUUUGAUUAUUUUUUUCACAUUUUUUAUUUAUACUAUAAAUAUAUAACAAGUUAUCUCUUUGUAAUUACCAAAUGAAUAGUUAACUUGAAACUCGUCGAUAAAUUUGAAUCUACAUUGCUUGUAUAUUUGUCCUUGGUUGUCUGCACAUGCGCUCUCAUUGGUAGGUGAAGUGUUGGAAGGAUAUUUAUUUAAUUAUGUGAGAAAAUUUUGUUGAAAGUAUGUAGGUAACUAAGAAAACAUUUGGAUAGUCUUCUAUGUUUUGGAUAUUCAUCGAUGGUAUUUAAUUAUUUUUUCAAAAUAAAUAAAUAAAAGUUAUUUAAUUUUAUGAGAAAGUUUUGUUGAAAGUACUUUGGUAAGAAGACAUUUGGGAAGUCUUCAAAGUUUUGGAAAGUCAUCGAUGGUAUUUAAUUAUUUUUUUCAAAACAAAUAAAUAAAAAUUUAUCGAAUAAUCUGUAAAUAAAAUAGCAUAAAUUAUACAAAAAAUUAUAUCAUACAAUAGUUCCAAUAGGAUCUGAUUUUAUUUUAUUUUAUUUUUUUAAAAAAAUAGCACUAUUUUUGCACGUGGUAAUGAAAUGCGCAUAGAAAUUAUAUACAUAGAGAAGGAUCUUUAUAUUGACUAUUAAAAGAUUAUAUCAUGUUUCCAAGCAAUCUCCUACCAUUUUCGUACUCCAAGCUUCUCCAUCAACGACAUGAAUAAUCUAUCUAUUAAUCUAGCACAUAGAAGUGUGGAAAUAAGAGAAAUAUUAUUGGACAACAAAAAUCUUACAAAUAUUACAAAAUUCUAUUCAACUUGAAGGUUUCUAUCCUUAACAUAUCAUAAUUUUUCAACCACUAAUUUAUUUCAAAAAUACAUUAUAUCAAAACUCAUUUUCAACCACAUAUUUUUCUAUAAAAUAAUUAUACACGUAUUUGAAAAACUUUUUCUUACUUUUUAACCGUACAUUCUCCAAAAAAAAACUACUAUUUCAUAAUGCAUUUUAUCCCAAAAAUGAGAAUCAAAUAGAGGCUAAAUAUAGUUCUUAAUUGGAAGAAACUGAGAAGAUUUUAUCUUCUUCAAAUUUGAAAGUGGAUACAAAAGCAAACUGUUUGACUUCCAAUAAAUAGACAAAUUAGUAAAUUUUCAAUUAAUCAUUGAUAAAUUUGAUAUAGAGAUAAAGAAAGAAGGUAAAAACUAUAAUAUUUUUCUUCAUAUGUUUUACAACGAUUUGUGUCCGCAUUUACAGGUGAAAAUUUAAGCUUUACAUGGUAAAUAUAACCUGCGAAGAAAAUAAUCUGUAAAUGGAAAACAUUGAUUUCUGGGGACGUGUGCUGUAAUUGCUCCUUGUAAUUGUUGGUAUGCUGUAAUACUCUCUCGCAAGUUGGAGCAUAGAGAUCCCUAAUGCCCAACUUUGAUUGAAAGAAGACAAAUAAUUCUCUUCCCAAUGGUUUACUAAAAAUAUCAGCUUCUUGUUGAGAGUUUGAAACAUAGGAGGUAGUAAGAAGACUGGAUUUGAUUUUCUCACGAACAAGAUGACAAUCUAAUUCAAUGUGUUUAAUUUUCAAGGAAAAUCGGAUUGCGAGCAAUGUGGAUGGCAUCUUGAUAGUCACAGUGAAGCAAAAUAGGUUGCGGAUGGGACACAGUGAGUUCUUGUAAUUAGAGGCGAAGCCAAACAAGUUCACAAGUUAUAGUGGCCAUCGCACAAUAUUCAGCUUUAGUAGAAGAGCGAGAGACAGUAGUUUGUCUCUUAGUACUCCAAGAGAUAGGGCUAUCGCCCAAUUUGGUAAUGAAGCCAGCUGUGGAACGUCAUGUGAGUUGACAACUCACCCAAUCAGAGUCACAGAAGGUAGAUAUUUGAAAACUACAGUUGGAUGAGAAGAAUAGACCAUAACCUAGAGUAGUGCUCAAAUAGCGUAGCAAGUGGUGAGCAACAUGAAGAUGAGGCUUGCGAGGAGUGUGUAUGAACUGACUUAAAAUGUUGACAACGAAGGUUAUAUUUGAGUGAGAGAUGGUUAAAUAGAUCAAAUGACCAACCAAUCAUUGAUAUAAGUUAGGAUCAUCUAGAAGAUCACCAUCUUAGUCAUUCAGUUUGCAAUGUUGUUCCAUGGGAAAAUAAGCUGAGCGAGAGCCAAGUUGACCAGAAUCAGAAAGAAUGUCCAAAGUAUAUUUCUUUUGAUUGAUAAAGAUGAUUUUAGGAGAUCGAGCAACUUCAAUCCUUAAGACAUAGUUGAGAUCACCAAGAUCUUUGAUUUUGAAGGUCUAUCCAAGAUGCCGUUUGAUAGAAUUGACUGCAGCAAUGUCCUUACUAGCAAUAAGAAUAUCAUCAACAUAGACAAGAAUGGCAGUAAAUGUUCUAUCCUCGGUCUUAGUGAAAAGAUUGUGAUCAGCUGUAGAGUGACUAAAACCUGUAAGGAUGAGAACAUGAGAUAAUUUCAAAUACCAUUGAUGUGAGGCUUGUUUGAGACCAUAGAAUGAUUUGUAGAGACGACAUACUUGUGUUUUUCCCUUACGACAAUAUCCUAGUGGUGGCUGCAUGUAUACUUUCUCAUCAAGAUCACCAUGGAGGAAAGCAUUAUGAACAUCUAAUUGGUGAAUAAUCCAAUGUUUCGCUGUAGCUAUAGUAAGAAGACAACAAAACAGUAACAAGUUUAGCCACAGGAGCAAAGGUGUCAUUAUAAUCAAGACCUCUUACCUGAGUGAAACCCAUGGCAACUAAAUGAGCUUUAUAAUGUUCGAUGGAACCAUCUGCAUGCAAUUUUAUUUUACAAACCCGUUUGCAACCAAUAGCUUUCUUACCAGGAGAGAGAUGCACAAGGGUCCAUGUGAUUGGCUUUAAGCUUUAAGGGCUUGAAUCUUAGAAGCCAUAGCCCAUUGCCAAUGAGGCUCCAGGAUAGGUUGAGAGUAAAAGACAGGUUUUGAACAUUUUUGGAGACAGAAGAGAGGAAAGCAUAAUGUUUUGGACUAAAGAAACAAUAAGAAAGAAAAAUUAGGUAAAAAUUGAAUAAUAACUAAGAAAGACUGGGAAUGAGAUGAUGAACGUGGUCUCUCUGGAGGUAGAUCUGAGCAAAUAUAAUCCUGAAAAUAUGUGGGGUGAGUGAUUGUGUGUCGAGGUCUAGGUGAUGGGGAUGUAACGAUGACGAGUUCUGAUGAGCAAGGUUCAUCAUCAUUUGAUGGUGUUGGUAUAGCUGGUUCAGUAUCUGGUGGGGAUGGUGCUUGGGGAGGUGUAACAUGGGUGUCAUGUGUACCAUGGGCUGAAGGUAAGGUAGUAUGAUUUAUAUCGUGAGACUGUGUGGUGUCUAGCAUGGUAUAUGGUAACGAGACGUCCAAAGGUUGCAUGGUAGUAGCAAAUAGAAAGAUAGAUUCUACAAAGCGGACAUCAUGAGAUAGGAAUAUCUUCUUGGUUUGCAAGUCAUAAACACGAUAGGUAUCUGGAGUUUGAGAGUAGCCCAGGAAUACACAUGGUGUGCUACAAGGAGAGAACUUAUCUCGUUGAACACUUAAAGUGUGUGCAUGGCAAAGACAUCCAAAGAUACGAAGAUGAUUAUAGGUACCAAAGAUACGAAGAUGAUUAUAGGUAGGAGGUUUGUUGAAAAGAAGGUCGUAAAGAGUUUUUCCAUUAAGAAAGGGAUUGGCAUGUGGUUAAUUAAAUAAGUAGCAGUAAAUAUGCAUUCACCCCAAAAGGAAAUAGGUAAAUGUGUAUAAAAGCGAAGACAUUGAGCCACAUUUAACAAGUACGAUGCUUUCAUUUAGCUAUACCAUUUUGCUAGGGUGUUUCAACACAAGUACGUUCCUGAAUGACACCAUGGUUGAGGAAGAAUUGUUGCAUGCGAUGAAAAAGAAAUUCUUGACCAUUAUCGAAUCGAACAUGUUCGAUGGGACAAUUGAACUGUGUGUGGAUCAUGUUAAUGAAAGUGGUCAAAAAAGUAAAUGCAUCAGAUUAAAACGCAUUGAGUAUAUCCAAGUAACACAUGAAAAAUCGUCGAUAAGUGUAAGAAAGUAGUGUGCAUUAGUUGUAGAGGGUGUGGAAUAUCCGCCCAAAUGCUACAAUAAAUUCGGCUAAAGAUAAAAGAACUUUUAUUUUCGACCAGUUUGAAGGGAAAACAUGUAUGUUUGCCUUGAAUACAAUUGUCACAAUUUCUAAUUUUAUUCAAAUCACAUAGAAUUUUUGGAAUGCAAGAAUUCAAAAGAUGACCUAAACAAAGAUGCCAUAGGUCCGGUAUGGAUAUAGGGUUUGCUAUGAUGUGAAGCAUAGCUUGAUUAAAUGGUUGAAAAUGGUAGAGGUCUCCACGUUUUUUACCAUCCAAAUCAGCUUCCUCGGGUGUUGGUCUUGAAAUAUACAAAUAGAGGGAGAAAAUUUGUUAAUACAAUUAGAUGAUUUAGUGAGUUUACUAAUGGAAAUUAAGUUGUAAUGAAAAUCGAGGACGAAAAGAACAUUAUAAAGACAUAGUUGAGGAGAAAUAUAAAUGUGACCAAUAUGUGUGACUUGGGCCAUAGACCCUAUAGGUAAUGUAAUAGAUUGAUUAUGUGCUCAAAUCUGUAUGGCUUUGGGCAAAUUAGAAAGAGAGGAAAUGUAGGUUGAAGCCCCACUAUCAAUUAUCUAAGAGAUUAGGGCAUUAAGGGAGUCGAGUGGGGUAUACCAGAAAAGCCAAAGGCUGUGUUGGUGCUGGGCUGCAAAAGUUCCAUCAAUUGUUGGUAUUGCUCGUCAGUUAGACCAAGGAUUGUAAUUGACGUUGAAGGAAUUGAGGUAUUAGACACCAUGUUUACUAUGGGUGGCCAGUUAUUGCCCAAAUCAUGUGGCCGGAGCUGAUCGCAAAGGUUGCUUUGGCUUGUUGGUGUUCCAAUGAACUAGGUAACCAGUAAUCUUGAAGCUAGAGGACACUAAAUGAUAGUCCUUUCCAUAUUUGGUGCAUUUCUUUCCACUGCGAGGUCAAGAUCCAUGAGUGAUUGGAGGGUGUGUGCAUGCAACGGCCAUGGCGGUGGUUUUGGGAUUGGGUAGUAAGGAGACGUUGGAUUUCUUCUUGGGGUAUGGUGGCAUAUGCUUUGGAGAUUGUGGGAAGAGGCUCCAUAGCUAGGAUUUGACUUCGAAUAUUGGAGAAGGAAUCAUUGAGGCCCAUGAGAAAUUGGAACAAUCGUUCAAUGUUGACUGUUCCUUUGACCCUUUUACGGGCAUCACAACUGCAGGUAUUGGGUUCGGUUAAGGCAGUGAGUUCAUCCCAUAGCCCUUUGAUUGUAUUGCAAUAUGUGGCGAUGGACGUGGUGCCUUACUUGAGGUUCACCACGUCAUGAUGAAAGCGACAAAGACAAGGGUGGUUACUUUGAGAGAAAUGAUUGUCCAAGUUAAUCCAAACAUCAGAAGGUUUGGUGCAGUAAAUUAAGCUUUGUCGAUAGAUUUCAAUAGCCAUGAGAGAACCAUAUUGCUGCAAUGGUUACAAAGAUUGGCAACUUCAGGCGUUCUUUAGAGUACCAUCAACAAAUGAAAAUUUAUUUUUGACAUUAAGUGCCAUACGCAUCGAGUAUUUUCAAGCGGCAUAGUUUUCUCCAAUAAAAUGUUCCGCUACUAAUACGGCAUCAGGAUUGUCAGUAGGGGUCAGGAAGUACGGAGACUUGAGUUCGUUGAUUAAUUUUGAGGGGGUGGACUUAGACAUCGUGGUAGCGGGGUGAUUGUUGUUUUAAUGUUUGCGGAAGUCAAAAAGGUCUAGGAGAGAUCACAAUGAAAGAACCGCUCUGAUACCAUGAUAAGUUUGAUAGGGAGAUGAAGAAAGAAGGUAAAAACUAUAAUACUUUUCUUCAUAUGUUUUACAAUGAUUUGUGUCCACAUUUAUAGGUGAAAAUUUAAGCUUUACAUGGUAAAUACAAUCUGUGAAGGAAAUAAUCCGUAAAUGGAAAAUUUUGAUUUAUAGGGACGUGUGCUGUGAUUGCUCAUUGUGAUUACUACUGUAAUUGCUCCUUGUAAUUGUUGGUAUGCUGUAAUAAGCAUAUUCAAUGCAUUUGUAACUUUGAUUUUUGUGACACAUCGUGCGCAUUUCCUGGCUUGUUGCUUUCGAGGUUGAAAUUGUAGCAGCUAAGAAGAAACACAUAUCUAUCUAUCUAUCUAUAAUAUUUAAAAGAGUGAUUAUAUUACCGCUACAAAUAUUAUUUUUUACGCCACAUUAUAAUUACACUUCAAAUAAAUCUUAUUUUUGUUAAAUACACCACAUUAAUUUUACAAUUAUAGUCCUAAUCAAAUUAAAAAUUAAAAGAUCGUGGUGUACACCCCUUAUUAAUCAUUUUAUUCAUUCUUUCUCCACCUCUCAUACCAUUCUAAUUUUGCCCAUGGAAAAUACUUCCCUCCUCCUCCACCACUAGUAAUUCCCCCAACCCUAAUUAAUUUUUUUUUUAGAAAAAAGUGAAAAACUUCUCCCAUCCACCUACGAAACCCCUAUUUUCUAAUUCUGUCCGAAAAUUCUGUCUCACUUAUAAGCCGCACACUCAACCCCGUUUCUAAUUUCUAUCACAUAGAUUUUACCCACCCACCCUGCUCAUCAUGAAUUAACUAUUAGAAGUACAAAAUCAUCAUAGUUAUAUGCAUUACAAGAUCAUAAUAAAAAGAACAGGUGUCGUGAGGGAAAAAUAAAUACUACCGAUUACCAAGGACAGAUUCAAGAUUGGAUUCUUUUUAGUAUAACAUGCUUGAAACAUAAACAGCACUAAAAGAAGUAUUUACAAGAGCUACCUUCUUUAGCUCAGGAAAUUCCCGAGCAAAGUGACCCGGCACUUGACAGUUGAAGCAUUUCAGCUUGCUCUUAUGUUUCUUCUUUCCAAACCGUUUACCCUUCUUGUUGCAUUUUUUUUUAAGGUCCCUGACCAGUUUUCUUCCUUUCCUUUCCCGCCUUUGAAAUAGUUCUUCUUACGCUUAAAGCCUAAAGAUUUUCCAAAACUAGAUUCAGCCAUAAAAGCUUGUCCCAGAGAUUUAGCUGCAGCAAGGCGCUCAUCCUCUAGUUCCACAUGGUAGGUAGCAUCCGCAAAAGUUUUGAAUGCUAUCAUUGUGAGUUGGAUUGACUUUUAGAUGUUCCCAGUUAUUAUGAAUGGGACGGAUCAAAGCCUAAACUUGUUGUUCAUUAGAGAGUAUUUGACCGGUUGACUUUCGCUCCCUAAUCAUAGUAGACAUAAUCCUCACAUGCUAUGUGAUGUUGUGAAUAAGAAGUUUCUUGUAAGUAUUAAACUCAACUGUCAACUACCUCAGUCUAGUCACACUAGUACAACCAUAUUUCUCUCUCAAAUAUGUCCAGAUGUCAUGAGCAGUCGGGAACUGCUUACACUAGUAAAUGAGAUUGUCCACCACAGAACUUACCAGAAUUACACAAGUAAUGGAAUCUUUCUUUUUCCAUGUCUUGUAAGUUUCUUGAUCCCUUCUCUGUUGAGCAAUUUGACCUACCCCUAGGUCUUCCAUCAUGUGGUUAAUGCCCCUCAAGGCAAACCUGUUCCUCCAAUACAUACCAAAUUUUAUAGUGCCAAGUGUUAUUGUUAUCGUCAUUCAAUUUGUCACCCUUAUUAAGGUCAACUAUGAUAUUCUUAAAUGCCAUGAUCUAUCAAAAUUUUAGAAAACAAUCAUAUAAAUAUCUAUUUAUGCACACAUCAUUUUGCGCUCAUGCAAAUUAAGUUUUAUGAUAAUUUCACACUAGACACGGAGUUGAAAGUUCACUAAGUUCCCAAUCAUCGUCCAUUAUCCUAAUAUUUACAUUAUCAAAAAAUUAAUUUCAUAGUGCAAAAUCAUAGGUUCUAGGUUAGAAUUACUUAAACUCUUUUGACCUUAAAACUCCCACUAAAUUAAAACAUUAAUCAUGUACAAAAUAAGCAAAACAUUUUGGCUAUAUGAGAUAAACAUAAAGCAUAUAUAUAAAUUUCAAAAUGUCAAAUGUACAUGCAAUCAUAUUUGGCUUCUUUAAACAACUAUUAAACAUGAAAAAAUAAAAUUUCACAUAGAUAUUGUUCGACAAUUUGAACUAACCACACUUAUCUAAAUUAAUUAUAAACUUCUCAUUUUUUGAAUUCCAUUUCUUCAUUAAGAUCUUGAUCAAAUAAUUGUAGCGUAAAGGUGGUGAAUUAUCCAAAAUUUCAAUAGCAACAUCAUGCCAAUGUUUAGGAAAGUGUCCUCAUAUGACAAUACAUACUUUCCACCUCACAUAUAGGUUUUCUUAAAUGUAUCACUCCUCGAUGCAUUGCUUUGAGAUAUUUUAUGUAUCCAUAGCCCGUGCUCUACUAGCUUCUCCUCUAAGAAUGCUAAAAGUGCACAUUAAUCCAGUCAUAUCUUAUCAAACACAAGAAUUGAAAACUAGUCACAAUAGAUUGCACAACCUAAUCAAGACCCAUACAACUCAUGAACGUAUGUAAAACUUUGUAUUUUAAAUACUUUCGGAGUAUUUUUUUAUUUAAAAAAAUGAGAGUACUCAAAAAAAGAAAAAAAGAAAAAAUAAACAACACCCAAUAGAAAAAUACCAUUUAACAAAUAUUCUUGAUUUUUAUAAAAGAAAAAAAAUUUAAUCAAGUCCCAGAAUAUUUUCUAAAAUAUUUAUAAAUUUAUUUCAAUAAUAAAAUAAAAAAAUAUUUUUGAUUAUUUCAAAAUUAUUUUUAAUUUCACAUAAAAAUCAAGAAUAUUUCAGGGACCUUGCUGCAAUUUUCCUGAAUGGAUUUGGAAUUCACGUGCCACAAUAGGUUUCUAUUUCUUUUUAUUAUUAUUUUUUAAAUAUUAAAACAAAACUAGGAGCAUUAGUGUCUCUGCAAAGCCGUGGCGCGUGGUGCGAUUCGAUUGCCAAACAAGUUUUUUUGUUUCGUCUCUUCGAUUAAUUUUGACAUUCUGAAUUCAUCUGUGUGGUCAGAUUUCACAGCCUCAAUCUUUAAGGCUGUGUUUGGAAUAUAGACAGACCUGGCCAAGACUGAAAUUUAAAAAAAAAAAUGUUACUCUUCAUCAUCUCCACAAAAUCGUCAAUUUUUUAAAAUUUUGGAAGGCUAUAAUUUCUUCAAUUUAAGGCCAAAAUGUAUGUACUUUGUAUUGUUGGAAAGGUCUCGAGAAGAUCUAUCCAACUAUGUAAAAUAGACAGUGUGAAGCAUAACGUUCAAGAAGUUAUCACACGGUCAAGUUUCGAUUUUAUCAACUAGGGCCCUAUUUUAAUCCCAAAAUAUUGAGCCAAAUCAUAUGAAAUUUUGUAGACAUGUUGUACAGAUUAUCAAGAACAUAUAGUAUAAGUUUCAUGAAUGUAUAUGGAAUACAUGAAAAGUUGCCAUUAACAACAUUCAAGCUUCGAAAGAAAACAAGAAUGCAUGCAUUUCAAUCAUUCUAAAACAUUUUCAACAUGUAUUUAAGCAAGAAACAAUCUACUUAGGCUCUAAUACCAAUGUAAAAAAUGUGCUUCCAUGCUUUUAAACGAAUUUAAGUUCUAAAACUUAUUUGAAAGUCCCAAAACGAGGUUGAAUUACUUGUCUAUUGAUUGCUUGACCUCAACAUUCUUUAGUAUCCGCUUCUUGGUCAAAAACUCAAUCACCAAGGAAGAAGUUUGUUGUUCACAAUCCAAGAACCCAAUUUGAGAUGUUGUAUUCCCAAAAAUCAAGCCUCUACCCACAUCUAUUUUUCAUUAUUUGAAGGGCCCAAAUUUUUGCAUGUGUGUUGGUUUUUGUUUUUGUUUUUUUCGUUUUUGUUGGAGUGGGUGUAUAUGGAAGUUAUUGACUGCGGGAGGUAAACUUUCAAAUUUAAUUUUCAACUUCUCUCUUCAAAAUUUAUUUUCAUACAAAUCAGGUCGGGUCAACCCACAUGGGCGACCUAACUGCAACAGAGUUUUUUCCAUAGCCGAAGUUGUGGUGUUGAGUCAGGUCACAAUGGGUUAGCCACUUUAGAUUCAUCAAAGAAUCAUCAUUUCUCCAACCACACUAAAUCAUAAGUCUAGAUCACGCAUUUGUUCAUUUUUUUAGUCUAGUCAUUUGUUUUGUUUUCUUUUCUCCCCCCAAAGAUUGUGCUUUAAUUAACGGUGGUCAAUUAUUCUCUUUGUUCAUUUAUCUCCACAGGAUUAUGAUGCUCUUUUUAUCUAACAAAAUCAGGCACAGAUCAAAAUAAGUUACACUAUUUUUUGCCCUUUUCUUUAACGGGAAUGUUUAAUCUCUUCUUAGUAUAAUCAAGUAUUCUUUUUGUGCUAGCCCCACAUGGGGUUGUCGAGUUGUUGGAGUAGGUGAGCGCGGAGACCUUUGGUCACGAGUUCGAUUUCCCCUACCAACACUUUCUCGGUCGAGCAUAUCAUACAGGGCUUGCUUAGUGCGCUUUACCUGGCUGGCGUGGUUUGCAGACUAUUGCGUUAGCCCGAGGGUUUACCCAGUGCGCACCCGAAAUGUAGCGGCUGUGGGUUCCCUUGUCAUAAAAAAAAGUAUUCUUUUUGUGCUAGAUUUUGAUUGCCGACUUGAGAAUAGAAUUACAUAAAUUGGAAUAUCGGUAAAAAAUGAUGGAGGAUCUAAGGAACACUGCAGCAAACAGUACUUAGAAGACAAUGUCGGGCAUAUGAUAGUGAAAUGGUCAUCAUCAAAAGCUUCUACUUCAUUUGCAAAUGCUCAAUGGAGCCAUAAUCGAGAUCAUUUCACGAAUGAAUUCAAUGUUCUUGUGGCUAUAGCCUGAAAAGUCUGUUUAAUGUACUACAUGGUACCAAAUAUGAUUCAGGAUCGCCACUUAAUUUAGUGUACAUAUUGUAAUUAUAGGUAAAAUCCAAACUUAGAACAAUUACAUACUUGUCUUUGACCAUCUUCAUGUUGAUGAUUGCUUUGUAGACUUAACGUUCGCUCUACAUUUGGAUACCUUGAUUUUUGUUCUCAGAGUUGUGAAACCAAGUCAAUUUUUUGAAAUUCAUUCAUAAAUAUUUUAAGGUAUUUCCAUCUUCUAUUUGUCUUCCAGAAAAUUAUACUACUUUUCACUAUAUUAAAUAGUCACUAGUAACAUAGUUAAGAUUAUCAUUCAAGAACGAAUUGCUUGACACGAUGAACUCGUGUCAAACAGAUGCUGCCUGUACGAGCAAUGCACACACAUGCUUCACUUACUGGGCACACGUGGUGAACAUAUUUGAAAUAAAAAAUAUAUUUUAUAAUUUUCUCUCCAAAAUCGAAUUUUUUUAAGAUAAAUUUCAUGGUGGCCCCCCAAAAUUUCCAAUUUCUCAAAAUAUUGUUUACAUUCCAUUUUUACCUCCUCCCCUCUAAACCUUUCAUUAAGGAAAAUGGCACUUUCCAUUUCAAAAAAUGUAAGUGUGCGUUUGAUUGUUAAUAUUUUUCUUGAAAAUGUUAUUUCUCACCAAAAUUCCUACUUUUGUACUAUUUGAUUGAUUUUUUUUUUUUAUACAUGGAAAAAUUUUUCCUAUUUUUGGUCACCUGGCCAUAUUUUCUUUGAAGACGAGGAAAAUAUUUUCUUUAAAGCAAGUAGAUUUUUAUUUUCUAGGUAAUUCACUCUCUUUCUUUCUCAUCUACUCAUUCUCUCUCUCAUCUACCUACCAAUAAAAAAUGGACAAAAUUAACAUUUUCUAAGUCGAAAAUAAAAUCAAUCAAACGCAUUUAAUUGACAAUUUUCAUGCAAAUAAUCUCUAGAAUUUAUUUUCUUUCCAUACAAAUUACAUGUUUGCAAUCAAAUGCACCCAUAUGUUUUUCCCACCAUUCUACAAUAUAUUUUAUGCUUAUCACUUUCAUUCAUGGAUUGUACUCAAGGGUGAAAAUUCGAUAUCCAAGCUGAAAGUUAUGCCCUUUUUAACCCACGCUGCUCGUUUUUUCAUUUAUCUUCCAAAACAUUGAAUCCAAUGCACCAAACAUAAUUUCACCUUCAAGACCAAGAUAUAAGUUGUUAUUUGGCUUGUUAACUUCAAUAUUUUGUACUCCAUAGUUUGAUGAAGUAAUUGGACGACUUUAUUGGCUCUUCGAGGUCUCGAACUUAGCUUGAUUCUUGGUCUUGGCUCCUUAUCAACAUGCGCCGAGUCCUUAAGCUUCUUAAUAAUUUUUGACCUCCUCAUUGGAUCACAUCAUUCCCUCAAUCUGCAAAAUGAUUCGACCUCGAAUCCAAACCCAAGUUAUAGCCCUUGUUUCCAAUCAACGCAUAACAUGAAAUGGUCCUCUCCUCUAGGAUGUAAUUUUGACCUCUUUUGAAUUUGAAUCUGGCUCCUCUGUAUGUAAACUCAAUCACCUUCACAAUGAUCAAAGUGUAUAUGUUUCAAUGGCUUCCUCUUGCAAGUAUGUGAUGCUCUAAGAAUAAUUUCAAUUGAUGAAUAACCAUGCACUCUCCUUGCUUUGCUUGGCCUAGGCAAUUGUAGUAAUGUCGCUUCAAAUGGAUGCAUGUUUCCUUGCAUAUCACCUUGGUAUUUCAAUCCACUGCAUUUGAAUUCAUUCUAUGGUCUUUGAAACUCCAUCACCUCCUCGGGAAUUACAAAGUUAACCUCCGAUGAAUAAGAUAUUUCCAAGCUAAGAUGCAGUAGUUGAUUAGUUCCAACAGGAUUGAUUUCCAAAUCGAUGCUCAAUUCUUGGGUUAUGUGGUUUUCAAUAGGAUUGGUGAAUCGAGUCUUCAUUAACCUACAAAACAGAAAUAGCUAAACUAGGGAGGGAAUUGUUAGUUAUCGCCAAAGCCUUUUCAAUUUCAUGUUCCUUUUCACAUAGGCUCACCUCCAACUCCUCAUUUCUCUCCAAAGACUCUUCUUCAUUUUCCUCUUGUAGCACCAUUUCUAUUUUAACCACUUCUCCCUUUUCAAGUUCAUUCUCGACUACCCUUUCACUCUUUUUUGGCUCUUCUCCUUUUUUUCUCACAAUCAACCACCUCAUUAUUUUCUCUCAUUGUCCUCUCAUUCUCAUUUUUUACUCUGAGUUGAUCUUCAUACACUUGUUGCAGUGUCAAUGACAUAAGAACAAUAUGUUGACCUAAUGGUUGACUUCUCAUUUUGAUUAUCACAAACAAAUUGCGUUUAAUUCUAACAAACUGACUUAAGUAUUGAUAGUGUUAACAAUUUUGGACGUCCGAAUGGACCUCCAACGGUCACUUUAUUAAUCGUUUUUCAAAUGGCUAGUUACCUGUCCAGAUCUCGAGCGGACGUUUGGAUCGAGUGUCCGGAUUGUCAGAUUUUUAACUGUUUGAAAACUAUAGGGUCUCUUUCUACCUCAUUUAAAAACACAAAUUUUGAGCAUCAAAGUGAAGCAUUUAUUGAUCUUUUAUACCUUAGUUUUCAAUUCUAAAAGAUCAAAUCAUUUAAUUUUUGAAAAACUUUUUGAGUGAUCAACAACUUGCAAAAAUCAUUUAUCUCAAUUAAAGUAUUUCAACCAACACUUGAGCUAUACUCUUUGCAAUCUCUUAAAGUGUUGAACCUACUUCUUUCUUAAUACUUAAUUGAGUUCAUAUCAUUUAUUAAGAGAGAAGCUUCACUUAUAAAUUUUCAUUUUCUUGUUUUUGAUUGUGGGUCGUGUUGAAGUCUCAGAAAGCUCAAUAUUGUAAAACGAUCAGUACUUCUUGAUUGUAAGUCAUUGAAAGUGUUGUAAAGGUUCUACCAUAAGUCAAUCAACAAUAGUGAAAAUGCCAUUGCUCGUGGUUGAGAGCUUGGUAACGAGGGACGUAGAUCGUUGAUUGGAUUGAACCUUCAUAACAUAUCAUUUGGGCCUUCUUUUCCCUUUUUCUUUCUUGUUAUUUUCGUGUUAUCUUACUUGCUUAUUAUCUUAUUAGAUAAUUAAAUUAAAAUUUGCACUUAUUCUAGAAAUGUUUUAGAUAACCAACUCACCCACCUCUUGGUUAGCCAUUGACUGGCUUUCAAUUGGUAUCAAAGCAAGGUACUCACUUUCAAAAAAUUUUGUAAUCUUGAGUAAUGGCUAGCCAAGUAUUUCAAACUCUCGAGGGACACUCCACAAACUAACCUCCUUUAUUUGACAGCACAUUCUAUAAUUAUUGGAAGGUGAGAAUAAUGAUAUAUGUGCAAUCUAUUGAUUAUAACUUUUUGGAAGUUAUUGAAUACGGUCCAUAUGUUCCUACCAAGACUAUUAAAAUAGAUGGUAGACUGAACCAAAUUUUACCUAAAUCUAGGGAAGAGUAUGAUGGAGAAGAUAAGAGAAAAUUAUCUUUAAAUGCCAAGGUUAAAUAUUUACUUUAUUGUGCACUAGAUAGAAAUGAAUUUAAUCGAAUAAGCACAUGUGAAUCGGCAUAUGAUAUUUGGCAUGCACUUGAAGUUACUCAUGUUGGCACAAAUAAAGUUAAGGAAAGAAAAAUAAAUUUGUUAAUUAAAGAAUUUGAAAACUUCUUCAUGAAACAAAAUGAGCCUAUUGUUGACAUGAUUGUAGACAUAAAAAAAUAAAAAAUAAGUAAAAUAAAAUGGCUUGGGUCGAUUUAAAUCAUUAGCCCAAUUAAAUUUUAAGUCUACUAAAAUCCAUAAAAAUCCAAAGACCCAUAUCACAUUUUAAAAUAAUCAAACAAAUAAAUAAAAUCAUAGUUACUCAGUUAUUCAUUUUAAGUAAAUAUAAUUGAGUAAUUACCAAAAUUAGCACGAAUUCUUCCCUAUACAUAGGACCGAUGGUCCAUAAGACAUGGGUAGAAGAAGAAGAGGGUAAAAGCUGAAGCAAGAAAGAAAGCAGAGAACGCAAUGACAAAGUGUUGAAGACAUUCCAUGGCCGGAGGAAGGGAAGAAAUCCUCUCAAACCUAUACUCGGUGAACUUCAAGAAGAUCAAAAUCUUCUUUGAAUCAAACAUGUUCAGGCCAAGUUCAAGAAGAUCAAAGUCUUCUUCAAAUCAAAUUAAAUUCAAGUUUAAGUUCAAGCCCCGAAGUUCAAGUACCAAAUAAGUUAAGUCUUAACAAAUCAAAUUUUCAACAAAUUCUCGAAAAUCAGUAUUCAAGCCACGUGGCCCCUUGUCUUCAAAUAUUCAAAUUAUUAAUUUGAGGAUUUUUACAAUUUUGCAAUUACAAGAAGGUCAACAUCACUUGUAUUUUAUCAAAAUAAAAUUUGUAAUUAUUUCUGUAUUUUAUACACGAAAUUUCGUCUUACAAUGAUUAUACGUUUCACUGAUAUUGUAAAUGGUCUUAAAAGUUUUGAUCGAAAAUUUACUAACGAUGAACUUGUUAGCGAAAUGCUCAGGUCCUUGUCCGAGGAAUAGAGCCUGUUAAGGAUGUUGAUUGAGAAUACCAAGGAUAUAAAUACAUAUCCCUUAGAGGAGCUCUACGGCACAUUAAUGACCUAUGAGCUAAAUAAUGUCGAAGUUAAGGAAAAGACAAGAAAAAGCAAGGAGGAAUCAAAUGACAAAUUGCCUUAAAAUCGAAAAUUGAAGAAUGAGCCCCAAAGGAAAACAUGAGGGAUAAAGAGCUCGAUGACUUGGAUCUUCUUGUCAAGAAAUGGAGAGGUCUUCGCAAUAAUCGAAAAUUUCAAAUAAAGAGGAAAAUGGUGAAUAAAGAAGCAAAAAGAUUAUUUGCUAUGAUUGUAAUAAGUCCGGACACAAAAGAACCGAGUGCCCGAACAAAAAGAAAAAUUUCAAGAAAAGGGCACUCCAAACCACAUGGGAUGAUAGCAACAAUGAAGAACAAAAUGGGAAUAUGUUCGUUAAAGCUUCAAACACUAUAUGUCAUUUUUGUAACAAAAAUGGACAUAUGGCCUUUAAUUGUGUAGCUAAAAAGAAGCUAUUUUUUUAAAACAAGCAUAAGUGGAUUCGAAAGUCCACUAAAGCUAACUAUCAAGGACCCAAGUUUGUAUGGGUACCAAAAAUCAAAUCUUGAAUUUUUUUGUAGGAGCCGAAGAAAACUAAAAGCAAAUGGUUCUUUUAUAGUGGUUGUUCAAAGUACAUGACCAGAGAUUGAUCCUUGCUAUCAAACUUUACAGAGAAGAAUAGAGGACAUGUAACCUUCGGAGACAACACCAAUGAUAAAAUUAUUGGUAUUAGAAACAUUGGUAACACACAUCCCCCUCUAUUGAAAAUGUUUUACUAGUUGAUAACCUUAAACAUAAUUUACUAAGUAUUAGUCAAUUAUGUGACAAUAAAAUUCAAUUCUUCAAAAUACCUUAUGAAGAUGCUAAAUCAAAAGAUGAAAUUUUCAUAGGAAACUGAAGUAAAGAUGUUUAUAUCAUAAACAUAGAAUUUGAAUAUAUUGAAAAUUGUUCACUUAGUGUGAAAGAAGAAUCAUGGCUAUGGCAUAGAAGAUUAGGAUAUGUUAAUAUGGAUCUUCUUUAAAAAAUUUCCAAAAAAUUGUGUUGUAAAAGGAUUAUCGAAUUUGAAAUUUGAAAAAGAUAAAAUUUCUGAUGCAUGUCAAUUUGGAAAACAAGUGAAAAAUUCUUUCAAGCCAAAACUUUAUGCUUCAACUACAAAAUCAUUACAACUUAUCCACAUGGAUCUUUUUGUACCUUCUAGGAUGACUAGCUUAGAAGAUAAAAAUUAUGCCUUUGUUAUAGUCGAAGAUAUUUCAAGAUUUACUUGGGUUAUAUUUUUAAGUUUGAAAGAAGAAGCCUUAAAAGCUUUUAAACACCUUUGUAAGAAAGUUGAAAAUGAAAAAGAUUAUUAAAUUACAACCAUUAGAAGUGACCAUGGUAGAGAAUUUGAUAAUGUUAAUUUUGAUGAUUUUUGUAAUGAAUACAGAUAUGAACAUAAUAUUCAACUCCUAGAACUUCUCAACAAAAUUGUGUAGUAGAAAUGAAGAAUUGUACAUUACAAGAAAUGGCUCAGACCAUGCUAAAUGGAAAUAAUCUAUCAAAAUAUUUUUGGGCCGAGGCUGUUAACACUGAUUACUGCAUUGUCAAUAGAGUUUUAGUAAACAAAAAGAAAACUAAAACUCCUUAUGAACUUUGGAAAAAUAGAAUUCUAACAUUAACUAUUUCAAAGGUUUUGGAUGUAAAUGCUUUAUUUUGAAUACAAAAGACAUUUUGGGAAAUUUUAAUUCAAAAUCCGAUGUGGAAAUUUUCCUAGGAUAUUUAUUGACUAGCAAAGCAUAUAGAGUUUUUAACAAACGAACUCUAAUCGUUGAAGAGUCCAUGCAUGUUACUUGUGAUGACGAUGUAGAUUUAGAAGCUACAUUUGAACAAAUGAAGAUUCAAGAUCAAAGCAAGGAGGCGCCAAAUGAAGAAGAAAAAGAGGAAUCAAAUAAAGAAAAAGCAAACCGAAGCACAAAGAGAUCCUCCACUACCAAAAGAAUGGAGGUUUGCUCCAUCUUAUCCCAACGAACUUAUCAUAGGUGACCCAUCAAAAGGUAUCACUACUAGAGCCUCUUAUAAAAAUUAUCUCAGUAGUUGUACAUUUAUUUCUCAAAUCGAACCUAAAAAUUUCAAAGAAGUUUUUGAUGAGUUUUGGAUUCUAGCAAUGCAAGAAGAAUUAAAUCAAUUUGAAAGAAAUCAUGUUUGGGACUUAGUUGCCAAACCAAACCAUCAAACUAUUAUUGGUACUAAAUGGGUUUUUGGAAACAAAGGAGAUGAAAAUAGAAUAAUUGUGCGUAUCAAGGCUAGAUUAGUCUUCCAAGAUUAUAAUCAAGAAAAAGGUAUCGAAUUUGAAGAAACAAAUGGAGCUUAAUUGCUAGACAAAACCAUUCACAUGUUUCUUGCAUUUGCAUAUAUUUUGUGCUCGUUUUUCCAUAUAUCUUCCAAAACAUUGAAUCCAAUGCACCAAACAUGAUUCCACCUUCAAGACCAAGAUAAAAGUUGUUAUUUGGCUUGUUAACGUCAACAUUUUGUACUCCAUAGCUUGAUCAAGUAAUUAGACGACUUUAUUGGCUCUUCGAGGUCUCGAACUUAGCUCGAUUCUUUGUCUUGGCUCCUUAUCAACAUGCGCAGAAUCCUUAAGCUUCUUAAUAAUUUUUGACCCCCUCUCCGGAUCACAUCACAACAUGAAAAUAAGGACGGAGCAACAUAAUUCAGGAACUCAUUCCCUUUAAUGAAAAAAUGUAAACUAAAAAUAAAAAAAUAAAAUAAAAUGGAGCAUUGUAAUGAUUUUGUUAGCUUAAUAAAAUUAAGUAUACUUUUAUAUUCAUAUAAGGUGCUAUACAAUCUUGGAGUUAUUGCAUAGCUCUCUUUGGCCAUCUUCAUCUUGGUGAUUGCUUUCUUUUCAUUUGGAUAACUUGAUUUUUCAUUCUCAUAAUAAUGAAAACAGAUUAAUUUUUUAAGUUCAUUUGUAACUAUUUUAAGGUUAAUAAAUCAUUCGCGAUUAUAUACAUAUCCUCAUUCUAUUUUUCCACUGGAAGAUAAUAAUUCUUUUCAUUAUACUAAACAUUCAUUAGAAAUAUAAUUAUGAUUAUCCCAAGAAUGUGUUUCCACACACUCUGAAGUUAUGCCGAACUAAUGAUGCGUGCCAAGGGCAUAUAUGCUUCACUCACGAUGCACACAUGCUACACAAAUGUGAAAUUUUUUCAUUCUAAGAUUUUGCCUCCAAAAUUUAUUUUUUGCAGGAAAAUUUUUACUAUGGGUCUUCAACAUUUGGAACUUGUAACAAUUCCGGUGCUAUUCAAUUCUUAUCCCAUUCGGUCCCCAACCUUUCAUUAAGGGAAAUGUCACUUUCUAUCACCAACAUUUGCAUUAUGUUACUAGUAGAUCCUCAACCUUUUUUGGCACCAGAUCUUGCAUUAUUUUUUUUUGGCUAAAAGUUCACCUUUAUUUAGGGCCUGUUUGUGCCCCUUUAAUUUCAAAAAGUAUAUUAUAGAAUAAUGAUUGAUGUUGAAAUGUGUAGUCAAAAAAGAAGAAAAAGUCUUUUAUUUAUGCGUAAUAUUAUUUUAAUGAGCAAUGUGUAGUUGAAAAUGAGUACUGUAGAAAAAAUAAUGUAGUAGAAUGUAAUAGAAUGAUUGACAAACAAAUGCUUAAUUGUGGUUACUUAUUAUCUCUAUGCUCAUUUAUCUGCACCGUGUUUUGAUGCCUUUUUUAUCCAAUAAAUACAUGCUCGGAUCAAGAUCAGUUGUAUUAUUUUUGCCCUUUUCUUGAAAAGUAAUCUUUAAUCUCUUCUCCAUAUAAUCAAGAAUUCUUCUAUGUGCGGGAUUUCGAUUGCAGACUCGUGAAUCUAUUACAUGAAUUGGAAGGUAGAUAGAACAGUGAAGGAGAAUCCAAGGAACAUCACAGCAUACGAAGACAUUUGACGGAUCGUAUGACCAUGAAAGUGUCAUCAUGAGAAUUCUCUCCUUCAUCUCAAAUGAGUAAGGUACUUUCAGGGUCGGUCCUGUGAUUGUCGGGGCCCUAGGCAAAUUCCAUAAAUUAGGCCUCGGCGAAAUCAGCGUAAAUACAAAAUUCAACGGCGUAUUAUGCAACCUAUUGCUAAUUUAAAAUAUACGGCCACAUGUUAACCAAUGUCCAAUAACCAAUUAACCAUGUAUUGCAUAAGCUGAUAAGCCAAACUUAUGGUGGAAAUAAGUAAGAAACAAUCAGUAGCAGUUUGCAUGAGACCAACUUGGUAAAAUGACCCUAAAAUUUUCAAUGUAAGUACAUCUCGACUGCAUGAAUAAGUUAAACUGUUAAGGUUACAUGCCUAGAUUAUUUGUUUCUAACUAAAAUAUUAUAAGGCUAGUGAACAGAAGGCAGAAACUUCAAUGGAUUUUUCUAAUUUUAAUGUUUAAGAUAGAUGUUUAUCAAUAUAACUAACUGUUGCGAGUUCAAAUUAUUUUGUUUUGAUUUUUUGCCCAUUUGAGAAUCUCUAUUUCAUCUAAUUCCUCAAGCAACCAUAUUUCCAGUAAACUGCUUUCCACAACAUAUUAGAAUUGCAAACUUCUCUCUGUUCACUAAUAUUUUAUUCUUUUCGUUCUUAGCAACGCAUUCACAGAAAAUAAACUGGAAGGAGGAAUCUAAAAUUUAAAAUUAACACUGAUCUGGAUUCUCCUUUACCAUAUUCCAUUUUUCUUCCAGGAAUCAGAAAAAUAACUACAUGUUCGCAAAGCAAGAGGGCAAACUCGACUACUCACCUUCUUCUCGAGGAACCUUUGCCUGCGCCUAGGAUUGAAGAGUCACGUGCAGUCGAGCAAGCCCUGGGAAAAAUGGGGAUCCUGAUUUGGAAUUUUAGAUUUGGGAAUUUUGAUUCUGGGUAAAUGGGUAUUAUGGAUUGUGGGAUAUAUAUAAGUUGGGUUGGGAAGAUGUUGAUUGCUGCUCUUGGGUCAUUGGCAAUUGGGUCUGGGUGUGAGGCCUUUAACCAGAUACCUCGCCGAUGAAAUAAAUCAUCGCACCUAUGGUCCAACCAAUUAGGAGAGAAUCAAUAGAUUCCUUUUCGGGAUCUUAGAAGGUGUAAGAUGUGCUUUCGUUCCUUUACCUAUUUCUGUGCUUAUUUUCCAAUCUGUGCUUGUUUAGCGAGACUGUUGUCUUAAAUCCUGAUGCCAGCGUUCCUAGCCUUGAAUCGGCGGAAAAGGCCCAUAUCUAUAAUUAUGAUUUUACGUAUGGACAAUUCCUCAAUAUCUCGUUCAUUUAAUAAAAAAAAUGCUUUGGUAAAAAAUAGGCCCCCUUGGUUCUAGGGCUUGAGACGCAGGCCUCAUUGGCCUCGCCUCAGGACUAGGCCUGGGUAGUUUCAUGGAUGACUUCCACGUACUUAUGGCUAUAAGAUGCAAAGGGUUUUUAAUUUAUUUCAUGGUGCCAAAGACACUCAGGAUUGCUAUUUAAUUUAGCAGAAAUAUUGUAAUUGUAGGUAAAACCCGGACUUAGAGGAAUAUAUGUACUCGUGCAUUUCUUUGAGAAGGAUAGACCUUACAUAAUACAAGCUGAAGCAAUAUUGGCCAUAUAUUCUAUCUAUUUUUCUUUAAAAUCUCCUCAUAUCUUGAAAUUCAAAUUAUUUGCUUACAAGUUCUAUUGAAUCACGACACACUGUUGAAGCUUAUAUAUAGUGUCCUUAUGCUAGAGUCAAUCAAGAUCUGAAUAGGCACUUUAUGUAUUGAAUAUUCAUGUGGGUGCAUGUGAAACAUAAAGUAUUGUCUUCCAUGCACUUGGUGUGUGAGAAAAUUGCACAAAGUCCAUCAACAUGUUGGCAGAAGUCAAGCAUGGCCAGUUUCCAAUACACGGUGGUUCUGCUAAAAGUUCUAGAGUGAUUUGUAAUCUUUAUCUAGUCCAAAUCCAAACUGUAAAUUUCAACAACAAAAGAAGAUUCAAAGAGUUUAAAUGCAAAUUGACCACUUCAACCAACAAAGACUUUAUUCAUUGAAUGGACAAAGGAUAAGAUUUUCAAUUCAAGUUGUAUGCCCAACUUAUGCAAGCUGGAAAUUAACAUAGACAGCAGCAAUCAAUUCACAUUCUGAUGUUCUGCAAUCUGAAAAUUAUAUCAGGCAGCAGCCAUUUGACACUUAUAAUGUUCAAACACAUCUGCAAAUGCAUAUGUUCCAGCUAGGGGCGGAGCCAAGAUCGAACUACAAGCUUGGCUAACAUGUAAAAAAAAUAUAAAUUUACACUUAAAAAAAUUUUUUUUACCCUAAAAAACAUUAAAUGGGUUGGAGAGGGGACUGGGCUACAACCCAGCCCAGUUUCCCCUUAGAUCCGCUCCUAGUUCCAGCUAUAAAUGAUGAAGAAAAAACAGCUUUUACUUUUUGUAAUUGUAGAGAAUUAGUAAGAUUAGUUUACUCAAUGUUUUGUAUAAAUAGAGAGGUAUCCAUCUAGUGUUAUGUAUGUAGAAGAAGUGAGAAAGAUCUCUAAAAAAAUUAGAAAGAGUGUGUUGUAGCAACUUCUUUGUAAUUCCUCAAAUUUCAUAAGAAAAUUUUCAUAUUUCUCUUAUCUAUUUCCUUCUACACCUAACAAAUUUUGGUAUCAGAGCUUAGGCAAAAUACAUAAACCAAAUCCUACCAAAAUUUGAAACAAAAUCAGCCUACAAACCACCAUAGCAGCAACAAAUUUACAGAAACUAGCCAGUUAUGGCAACAAAUUUAGCAGCCUCUUUGUUCACUUAAUCACCAAGUCAAGUACCAAUCUUUGAAGGUGAGCACUGUGAAUAUUGGAGUAGUCAAAUACAAAUUUUCUUCAUCUCUUUAGAUUUAUGGGAUGUCAUUAAAGAUGAUGAAGUCAUAGAAGAUUCGACCGAAGGAGAUGAAGAAGAUCCAAAGUUACAAAAGGAAUAUAAAAGGAAAGAUGCAAUGGCAUUGUGAUAUAUUCAACAAGGAGUUGGAAAAUUAAUUUUUCCUCGUAUAUUUGGUGUUAAAAAAGUUAAAGAUGUAUGGAAAAUUUUAAAUCAAGAAUUUCANNNNNNNNNNNNNNNNNNNNNNNNNNNNNNNNNNNNNNNNNNNNNNNNNNNNNNNNNNNNNNNNNNNNNNNNNNNNNNNNNNNNNNNNNNNNNNNNNNNNNNNNNNNNNNNNNNNNNNNNNNNNNNNNNNNNNNNNNNNNNNNNNNNNNNNNNNNNNNNNNNNNNNNNNNNNNNNNNNNNNNNNNNNNNNNNNNNNNNNNNNNNNNNNNNNNNNNNNNNNNNNNNNNNNNNNNNNNNNNNNNNNNNNNNNNNNNNNNNNNNNNNNNNNNNNNNNNNNNNNNNNNNNNNNNNNNNNNNNNNNNNNNNNNNNNNNNNNNNNNNNNNNNNNNNNNNNNNNNNNNNNNNNNNNNNNNNNNNNNNNNNNNNNNNNNNNNNNNNNNNNNNNNNNNNNNNNNNNNNNNNNNNNNNNNNNNNNNNNNNNNNNNNNNNNNNNNNNNNNNNNNNNNNNNNNNNNNNNNNNNNNNNNNNNNNNNNNNNNNNNNNNNNNNNNNNNNNNNNNNNNNNNNNNNNNNNNNNNNNNNNNNNNNNNNNNNNNNNNNNNNNNNNNNNNNNNNNNNNNNNNNNNNNNNNNNNNNNNNNNNNNNNNNNNNNNNNNNNNNNNNNNNNNNNNNNNNNNNNNNNNNNNNNNNNNNNNNNNNNNNNNNNNNNNNNNNNNNNNNNNNNNNNNNNNNNNNNNNNNNNNNNNNNNNNNNNNNNNNNNNNNNNNNNNNNNNNNNNNNNNNNNNNNNNNNNNNNNNNNNNNNNNNNNNNNNNNNNNNNNNNNNNNNNNNNNNNNNNNNNNNNNNNNNNNNNNNNNNNNNNNNNNNNNNNNNNNNNNNNNNNNNNNNNNNNNNNNNNNNNNNNNNNNNNNNNNNNNNNNNNNNNNNNNNNNNNNNNNNNNNNNNNNNNNNNNNNNNNNNNNNNNNNNNNNNNNNNNNNNNNNNNNNNNNNNNNNNNNNNNNNNNNNNNNNNNNNNNNNNNNNNNNNNNNNNNNNNNNNNNNNNNNNNNNNNNNNNNNNNNNNNNNNNNNNNNNNNNNNNNNNNNNNNNNNNNNNNNNNNNNNNNNNNNNNNNNNNNNNNNNNNNNNNNNNNNNNNNNNNNNNNNNNNNNNNNNNNNNNNNNNNNNNNNNNNNNNNNNNNNNNNNNNNNNNNNNNNNNNNNNNNNNNNNNNNNNNNNNNNNNNNNNNNNNNNNNNNNNNNNNNNNNNNNNNNNNNNNNNNNNNNNNNNNNNNNNNNNNNNNNNNNNNNNNNNNNNNNNNNNNNNNNNNNNNNNNNNNNNNNNNNNNNNNNNNNNNNNNNNNNNNNNNNNNNNNNNNNNNNNNNNNNNNNNNNNNNNNNNNNNNNNNNNNNNNNNNNNNNNNNNNNNNNNNNNNNNNNNNNNNNNNNNNNNNNNNNNNNNNNNNNNNNNNNNNNNNNNNNNNNNNNNNNNNNNNNNNNNNNNNNNNNNNNNNNNNNNNNNNNNNNNNNNNNNNNNNNNNNNNNNNNNNNNNNNNNNNNNNNNNNNNNNNNNNNNNNNNNNNNNNNNNNNNNNNNNNNNNNNNNNNNNNNNNNNNNNNNNNNNNNNNNNNNNNNNNNNNNNNNNNNNNNNNNNNNNNNNNNNNNNNNNNNNNNNNNNNNNNNNNNNNNNNNNNNNNNNNNNNNNNNNNNNNNNNNNNNNNNNNNNNNNNNNNNNNNNNNNNNNNNNNNNNNNNNNNNNNNNNNNNNNNNNNNNNNNNNNNNNNNNNNNNNNNNNNNNNNNNNNNNNNNNNNNNNNNNNNNNNNNNNNNNNNNNNNNNNNNNNNNNNNNNNNNNNNNNNNNNNNNNNNNNNNNNNNNNNNNNNNNNNNNNNNNNNNNNNNNNNNNNNNNNNNNNNNNNNNNNNNNNNNNNNNNNNNNNNNNNNNNNNNNNNNNNNNNNNNNNNNNNNNNNNNNNNNNNNNNNNNNNNNNNNNNNNNNNNNNNNNNNNNNNNNNNNNNNNNNNNNNNNNNNNNNNNNNNNNNNNNNNNNNNNNNNNNNNNNNNNNNNNNNNNNNNNNNNNNNNNNNNNNNNNNNNNNNNNNNNNNNNNNNNNNNNNNNNNNNNNNNNNNNNNNNNNNNNNNNNNNNNNNNNNNNNNNNNNNNNNNNNNNNNNNNNNNNNNNNNNNNNNNNNNNNNNNNNNNNNNNNNNNNNNNNNNNNNNNNNNNNNNNNNNNNNNNNNNNNNNNNNNNNNNNNNNNNNNNNNNNNNNNNNNNNNNNNNNNNNNNNNNNNNNNNNNNNNNNNNNNNNNNNNNNNNNNNNNNNNNNNNNNNNNNNNNNNNNNNNNNNNNNNNNNNNNNNNNNNNNNNNNNNNNNNNNNNNNNNNNNNNNNNNNNNNNNNNNNNNNNNNNNNNNNNNNNNNNNNNNNNNNNNNNNNNNNNNNNNNNNNNNNNNNNNNNNNNNNNNNNNNNNNNNNNNNNNNNNNNNNNNNNNNNNNNNNNNNNNNNNNNNNNNNNNNNNNNNNNNNNNNNNNNNNNNNNNNNNNNNNNNNNNNNNNNNNNNNNNNNNNNNNNNNNNNNNNNNNNNNNNNNNNNNNNNNNNNNNNNNNNNNNNNNNNNNNNNNNNNNNNNNNNNNNNNNNNNNNNNNNNNNNNNNNNNNNNNNNNNNNNNNNNNNNNNNNNNNNNNNNNNNNNNNNNNNNNNNNNNNNNNNNNNNNNNNNNNNNNNNNNNNNNNNNNNNNNNNNNNNNNNNNNNNNNNNNNNNNNNNNNNNNNNNNNNNNNNNNNNNNNNNNNNNNNNNNNNNNNNNNNNNNNNNNNNNNNNNNNNNNNNNNNNNNNNNNNNNNNNNNNNNNNNNNNNNNNNNNNNNNNNNNNNNNNNNNNNNNNNNNNNNNNNNNNNNNNNNNNNNNNNNNNNNNNNNNNNNNNNNNNNNNNNNNNNNNNNNNNNNNNNNNNNNNNNNNNNNNNNNNNNNNNNNNNNNNNNNNNNNNNNNNNNNNNNNNNNNNNNNNNNNNNNNNNNNNNNNNNNNNNNNNNNNNNNNNNNNNNNNNNNNNNNNNNNNNNNNNNNNNNNNNNNNNNNNNNNNNNNNNNNNNNNNNNNNNNNNNNNNNNNNNNNNNNNNNNNNNNNNNNNNNNNNNNNNNNNNNNNNNNNNNNNNNNNNNNNNNNNNNNNNNNNNNNNNNNNNNNNNNNNNNNNNNNNNNNNNNNNNNNNNNNNNNNNNNNNNNNNNNNNNNNNNNNNNNNNNNNNNNNNNNNNNNNNNNNNNNNNNNNNNNNNNNNNNNNNNNNNNNNNNNNNNNNNNNNNNNNNNNNNNNNNNNNNNNNNNNNNNNNNNNNNNNNNNNNNNNNNNNNNNNNNNNNNNNNNNNNNNNNNNNNNNNNNNNNNNNNNNNNNNNNNNNNNNNNNNNNNNNNNNNNNNNNNNNNNNNNNNNNNNNNNNNNNNNNNNNNNNNNNNNNNNNNNNNNNNNNNNNNNNNNNNNNNNNNNNNNNNNNNNNNNNNNNNNNNNNNNNNNNNNNNNNNNNNNNNNNNNNNNNNNNNNNNNNNNNNNNNNNNNNNNNNNNNNNNNNNNNNNNNNNNNNNNNNNNNNNNNNNNNNNNNNNNNNNNNNNNNNNNNNNNNNNNNNNNNNNNNNNNNNNNNNNNNNNNNNNNNNNNNNNNNNNNNNNNNNNNNNNNNNNNNNNNNNNNNNNNNNNNNNNNNNNNNNNNNNNNNNNNNNNNNNNNNNNNNNNNNNNNNNNNNNNNNNNNNNNNNNNNNNNNNNNNNNNNNNNNNNNNNNNNNNNNNNNNNNNNNNNNNNNNNNNNNNNNNNNNNNNNNNNNNNNNNNNNNNNNNNNNNNNNNNNNNNNNNNNNNNNNNNNNNNNNNNNNNNNNNNNNNNNNNNNNNNNNNNNNNNNNNNNNNNNNNNNNNNNNNNNNNNNNNNNNNNNNNNNNNNNNNNNNNNNNNNNNNNNNNNNNNNNNNNNNNNNNNNNNNNNNNNNNNNNNNNNNNNNNNNNNNNNNNNNNNNNNNNNNNNNNNNNNNNNNNNNNNNNNNNNNNNNNNNNNNNNNNNNNNNNNNNNNNNNNNNNNNNNNNNNNNNNNNNNNNNNNNNNNNNNNNNNNNNNNNNNNNNNNNNNNNNNNNNNNNNNNNNNNNNNNNNNNNNNNNNNNNNNNNNNNNNNNNNNNNNNNNNNNNNNNNNNNNNNNNNNNNNNNNNNNNNNNNNNNNNNNNNNNNNNNNNNNNNNNNNNNNNNNNNNNNNNNNNNNNNNNNNNNNNNNNNNNNNNNNNNNNNNNNNNNNNNNNNNNNNNNNNNNNNNNNNNNNNNNNNNNNNNNNNNNNNNNNNNNNNNNNNNNNNNNNNNNNNNNNNNNNNNNNNNNNNNNNNNNNNNNNNNNNNNNNNNNNNNNNNNNNNNNNNNNNNNNNNNNNNNNNNNNNNNNNNNNNNNNNNNNNNNNNNNNNNNNNNNNNNNNNNNNNNNNNNNNNNNNNNNNNNNNNNNNNNNNNNNNNNNNNNNNNNNNNNNNNNNNNNNNNNNNNNNNNNNNNNNNNNNNNNNNNNNNNNNNNNNNNNNNNNNNNNNNNNNNNNNNNNNNNNNNNNNNNNNNNNNNNNNNNUGAAAUUCUUGAUUUAAAAUUUUCCAUACAUCUUUAACUUUUUUAACACCAAAUAUACGAGGAAAAAUUAAUUUUCCAACUCCUUGUUGAAUAUAUCACAAUGCCAUUGCAUCUUUCCUUUUAUAUUCCUUUUGUAACUUUGGAUCUUCUUCAUCUCCUUCGGUCGAAUCUUCUAUGACUUCAUCAUCUUUAAUGACAUCCCAUAAAUCUAAAGAGAUGAAGAAAAUUUGUAUUUGACUACUCCAAUAUUCACAGUGCUCACCUUCAAAGAUUGGUACUUGACUUGGUGAUUAAGUGAACAAAGAGGCUGCUAAAUUUGUUGCCAUAACUGGCUAGUUUCUGUAAAUUUGUUGCUGCUAUGGUGGUUUGUAGGCUGAUUUUGUUUCAAAUUUUGGUAGGAUUUGGUUUAUGUAUUUUGCCUAAGCUCUGAUACCAAAAUUUGUUAGGUGUAGAAGGAAAUAGAUAAGAGAAAUAUGAAAAUUUUCUUAUGAAAUUUGAGGAAUUACAAAGAAGUUGCUACAACACACUCUUUCUAAUUUUUUUAGAGAUCUUUCUCACUUCUUCUACAUACAUAACACUAGAUGGAUACCUCUCUAUUUAUACAAAACAUUGAGUAAACUAAUCUUACUAAUUCUCUACAAUUACAAAAAGUAAAAGCUGUUUUUUCUUCAUCAUUUAUAGCUGGAACUAGGAGCGGAUCUAAGGGGAAACUGGGCUGGGUUGUAGCCCAGUCCCCUCUCCAACCCAUUUAAUGUUUUUUAGGGUAAAAAAAAUUUUUUUAAGUGUAAAUUUAUAUUUUUUUUACAUGUUAGCCAAGCUUGUAGUUCGAUCUUGGCUCCGCCCCUAGCUGGAACAUAUGCAUUUGCAGAUGUGUUUGAACAUUAUAAGUGUCAAAUGGCUGCUGCCUGAUAUAAUUUUCAGAUUGCAGAACAUCAGAAUGUGAAUUGAUUGCUGCUGUCUAUGUUAAUUUCCAGCUUGCAUAAGUUGGGCAUACAACUUGAAUUGAAAAUCUUAUCCUUUGUCCAUUCAAUGAAUAAAGUCUUUGUUGGUUGAAGUGGUCAAUUUGCAUUUAAACUCUUUGAAUCUUCUUUUGUUGUUGAAAUUUACAGUUUGGAUUUGGACUAGAUAAAGAUUACAAAUCACUCUAGAACUUUUAGCAGAACCACCGUGUAUUGGAAACUGGCCAUGCUUGACUUCUGCCAACAUGUUGAUGGACUUUGUGCAAUUUUCUCACACACCAAGUGCAUGGAAGACAAUACUUUAUGUUUCACAUGCACCCACAUGAAUAUUCAAUACAUAAAGUGCCUAUUCAGAUCUUGAUUGACUCUAGCAUAAGGACACUAUAUAUAAGCUUCAACAGUGUGUCGUGAUUCAAUAGAACUUGUAAGCAAAUAAUUUGAAUUUCAAGAUAUGAGGAGAUUUUAAAGAAAAAUAGAUAGAAUAUAUGGCCAAUAUUGCUUCAGCUUGUAUUAUGUAAGGUCUAUCCUUCUCAAAGAAAUGCACGAGUACAUAUAUUCCUCUAAGUCCGGGUUUUACCUACAAUUACAAUAUUUCUGCUAAAUUAAAUAGCAAUCCUGAGUGUCUUUGGCACCAUGAAAUAAAUUAAAAACCCUUUGCAUCUUAUAGCCAUAAGUACGUGGAAGUCAUCCAUGAAACUACCCAGGCCUAGUCCUGAGGCGAGGCCAAUGAGGCCUGCGUCUCAAGCCCUAGAACCAAGGGGGCCUAUUUUUUACCAAAGCAUUUUUUUUAUUAAAUGAACGAGAUAUUGAGGAAUUGUCCAUACGUAAAAUCAUAAUUAUAGAUAUGGGCCUUUUCCGCCGAUUCAAGGCUAGGAACGCUGGCAUCAGGAUUUAAGACAACAGUCUCGCUAAACAAGCACAGAUUGGAAAAUAAGCACAGAAAUAGGUAAAGGAACGAAAGCACAUCUUACACCUUCUAAGAUCCCGAAAAGGAAUCUAUUGAUUCUCUCCUAAUUGGUUGGACCAUAGGUGCGAUGAUUUAUUUCAUCGGCGAGGUAUCUGGUUAAAGGCCUCACACCCAGACCCAAUUGCCAAUGACCCAAGAGCAGCAAUCAACAUCUUCCCAACCCUUUUUGCAGUAGCAAAAAGGAUUUUGUGAUUAUUUAAAGGAACCAAGAAUCAUGGCAUAGAGUUUAAAAAGGAAAAUAAUUGCAAACUUAUUGGUUAUACAGAUAGUGAUUGUGCUGGAUCAGUUGAUGAUAGGAAGAGCACUUCUGGAUACUUUUUUUUUUUUAAAUCUUAGAUCAAAGGUGAUUUCUUGGAGCUCAAAAAAGCAUAAAUUCGUUGCUUUAUCAUCAACAGAAGCACAGUGCAUCGCUGCUACAAAUUCAACUUGCGAAACUGUUUGACUCGGAAGAAUUUUGGAAUAUUUGAAUUUGAGCAGGAAGGACAAACAACAAUUUAUUACGACAAUAUGUCGACAAUUGAGAUGACAAUAAAUCCAGUCUUCCAUGCUAGGUCAAAGCAUAUUGAACUUUGACAUCACUUUAUAAGAGAUUUGGUAAAUCAAGAAGAAAUUUGCAUGGAGUUUAUAAAUACAAACGAUCAACCAGCCGAUAUGAUGACGAAUCCAAUGACGAUUGAUAAGUUUAAGAAAUUCAAGAAGCAUUUGAAGAUUACAAAUUAAGAGGGGGUGUUAAAAGUACUAGAGUAAUUAUUAAUCUUCAUCUAGGCCAAAUCCAAAUUGGAAACUUCAACAACAAAAGAAGAUUCAAAGAGUUCAAAUCCAAAUUGAACCCUUCAUGACAUGACCCGUCCGAAUCACCCUAGUGGACCCGAAAUGUGACGCGCGUUGAUGAUAAAUGCUGACUAGAUGUCAAAUCUAUCACUAAAGCUGACUACGAGUUACUUCAAAAAAUUUAUCAAAAUCAAAUGUUAUGUAAACUAUAAUGAGCUGGGCCUAAAUUAUUUACUGUGUUUCAUCAAUAUGAGUUAUAACACUCAACAUGUCGUGUGGCUCUCAUUCCGAAAUCAUUAGGCUCUUCCAACUAAAAGGAAUCAAUUGUUACAUGUAGAAAAAUUCGUAGAGAAAUAUAUGAGUUGAUAGCUCAGUGAGUGGAGAAGUUCGAAAAUAAUUAUACUUUUUCAAUUUUAUAUUUUUAUCGAAAAUCAAGUUCAUAUCAUUUAAUAAUUCACAAGAUAAUAUCAUAUAAUUGUAACCAAAAGUGAAAUAUUCACAUAAGGUCGUAAAAUAUCAUCUUAAAAUCAUUAUAUAAACAUCAACUGAUAAUCACGCUAUAAUCUCAUCACAUCAAAUAUACUGAAAAAUCCACCAAAAAUGUACCAUCUGACUGAAAUAUGUAUUCCGCCCCUUGGGCUAAGAACUUUCGCCACGGGCCUUUGGCUCCCUCUGUGAACGAAAGUCAGUCUCAAGACCUUUGGUAAUCAAUUCUGGAACACGAGCAAGGCUUAUCGCUGAACUAUAUGUACAUGGUCAAGACCCCUUCAUCCCUGGUCCAAGACCCCUCAUUGUCGUAUAGAACACGGUUAAGGCCCCUCAGUGAGCUAGAAGAAAUAUAUAAUCAUUGGUAUUUUUCUGGACGAUCUUAAUAUCACAUAUCUCACAUACCAAAUAAUUCUCAAUAUCACGUGUCUUACAUACAAAGUCACAAACAUAUCAUAAAUAAUCCUUGAAAUUCCCCAAGGAUCAUAAUAAAAGAAACUUUCAUCGUAAUCACGUAAUGGAGCAAAUAAUUCACAUAAUUGCACAUACUUUGAUAAUAUACUUAAUUUAUAAAUACUUUAAAAAUAUUUAUAUUUUUUCACUCACAGAGCUAUGUUCGUAAAAUCAAUUCGAUUGGUAAACUGUCUCAAUAUUCGUAUCGCUGCCUGAAAUAUGAUAUAAUUUUUAAAUCAACAAUUAAUUAUUUUAAGUAAUUUCAAUAAUUAAAUAGGCGAUGCCCAAUCUUAAUUAUUUCACGUUUAAGCAAUUUCUAAAGUCUCUUUAAUCACUAAAACUAGUUUUCCUUUCAUUUAACUCAAUUUCAUAGCUUAUUAUACUUAACCCUUUCAAUAAAAUUGAAUUUAAUCUAACAAUAUAACUAUAAAAUUAAAUAUAAUUUGACAAUAAGUAACUUUUUACUUACCUUUAAAAAUUGGAGAAUUCAAGCCUAAUAGUGGGAAGCACUUAAUUCCUAACAACUUGGCAAAUUUUUCUUCUUCUUUUUUUUUUCCCUCUUUUCUCUUUCUUUUUUUCUCUCUGCCUCGUUUCUUUCCAGUGUGUGUAGUGUGUGUUUCUGUUUAACAUCUUGGGUUUGAUAAGUUUUGGUGAAUAUAUAUCCAUUCCACCUCCUAGUGUAAAGUUUAUUUUAUUGUUUUCGUUUUUUUUUAUAUAGCGUGAUAUGUUUGACUUUUUUUUUUUUUUUAAAUUAAGGUAUUAUGCUUUAACCAAAAAAGGCUUUAUUAAUUGAAUGGUCAAAGGAUAAGAUUUUCAAUUCAAGUUGUAUACUCAACUUAUGCAAGCUGGAAAUUAACAUACACAGCAAUCAAUUCACAUUCUGAUAUUCUGCAAUCUGGAAAUUACAUCAGGCAACAGCCAUUUGACAAUUAUGAUGUUCAAACACAGUUGCAAAUACAUAUGUUCUAGCUGUAAAUGAUGAAGAAAAAUAGCUUUUUCCUUGUUGUAAUUGUAGAGAAUUAGUAAGACUAAUUUACUUAAUGUUUUCUAUUAAUAGGAAGGUAUUCAUCUAGAAUUAUGUAUGUAGAAGAAGUGAGAAAAAUCUCUCAAAAAAAUUAGAAAGAGUGUGCUGUAGCAACUCCUUUGUAAUUCCUCAAAUUUCAUAAUAAAAAUUUCAUAUUUCUCUUAUCUAUUUCCUUCUACACCUAACAGGUUCAACCUGUAUACGACUCUGAAAGGGGCUAAACUUGAUGGUGGUCAAGACUCCUCUCUACAGGACAUUAGUCAUUACAAAAAACUCAUAGAGUGGGUGUCUAUGUACUUGUCUUUAAUUUGUGUAAUAUUUUUAUAAAACCACGUCGUUUGUUAUUCCAAUAACUGUUGAUUGUUAUCAUUUUAAGAUCAUUGUGAACUUGCAAGCAGAAGAGUGGAUGUUCUUCCUAGUUUUGGGUUUUAUGAUAUAAAUCUGGUGUUCAGACGUGACUACUUUAAUUUACUUUAGUGCAUGCUUAUUCCACUAACUUGAACUAGCUGAUCAACGCAGUUGAAAGUGAUUCAAACACGUAUGAAUGUAGUCGUUGCAUUCAAUAUUUCAAUUUAUAUAUGAAUUUUGUGUGUGUGCUUUAGUUAAAUUCAUAAUCUACUUUGAAACAGCGAAUAUUAAUGUCCUGGCAUUCAUCUUGAUAUUAUAGAGAAAAAAAAAAAAGUCUAGAAAUUUAAAUUUACAUAUUCAACCCCUUAAUAAGUUAUAUUUUAUCAUAGGUAAAAACCAUGCAAAGGUUGCCAAUUUAAAAUUUGAAAUUGAAAAGUUCUCUUGUGCAUUUAGUAUUGGCUCUUUCAUCUUUGCACUAAAUUUAUUUAAGGAAUAUAAAUUGCAGAACAAACAAAAAAAAGUAAUUUCUCAAAAUAUAUAAGAAAAACACUAAAAUUAGAAAUUAAUAGAUAAGAAACAUAACGUAACAAAAAGUACCUUUUCAUUGGGUUUCAAAUGGUUUUCUAUGUUUCACCACAUUUGUGUAUUAGAAUUGCCAAUCUGUUCUACCUUUUAUGGUUCAAGAAGUUGGAAGUUGAGAAAAUUCUUGAGAUCAUUUGGUAGAAGGGGUAAAAAAUUCAUCCCCUUUCUUAUAAUUGCCCCCCUUUGAAGUUUAAGCUCUUCAGAUUCACAUUUCAGAUUAGAAGAAUUCAUCCUCAAUAAAGCAGCAUGAAACAGGCAAAUUUAGGUUACGAGUACAACUGUAUAGAAAUAAAAUUUUAUAUUCUUUACCAUAAUGAGGGUUCUUUGUACUAUCCUUCACCCCAAUAUAACAGGAUAAAAAAGCAAAUUAAAUCAUGCUAAACUAUUCUCAUCCUACCAGUAUCACUUGGCGAACUGUGAAAAUAUAAGAAGAGAACACAAAAACAACAGGAAUUCUAAUGCCUGUUAGAGAAAAUUCUUAUAUCUGGCUUACAUUCUUGUCAGCACCCGCUACAGGCGCACCAAUUGGGCCAACCAACUACAAAGCCCAACAAUGUGAGAAUCAUCCAUUGGAUGUUCUACAAUAUCUCUAUAUGUAUGCGACUACGGUAUGCGUGGAAAUAUGACAAUAAAGCAAUGGGAAUAUGGGGUAGGAGCAACAUACGGCAUGAACUCAUUCCCUUAAAUGAAAUAUGAAAACUAAUAAAACAAGAAAAUUAUAAUGAUUUUGUUUACUUAAUAAAAUCAAGUUUAGUUUUGUAUUUAUGCCACCAUCUUCAUUAUGGUGAUUGCUUUCUAAAAUUAAUUUUCCUUCAUUUGGAUACAUUGUUUUUUAUUCUUAUACUAAAAGAAGUCAAAUUUUUAAAAUUCGUUCGUAAAUAUGUUAAGGUAAGUAAAUCAUAGACGAAUGAGUAGAAUCCGAAUGCACAAAAAAUGGAAUUCUAAUCAAUUCAGGACCUCGAUAUAGUUUUAUUCUUUUCGAAAGAAGCUAAAGCCAAAGCCUCUAGGUAAGGCAAGCAAAGAGGCUUUAGCUCCCCUAUCAAUAAGGGAAAGAUUCUACUUUAAAAGACCGGAUCACACAACCAAAAAUCAGACAAUGACGUAAACACAUAAGGCUCCAACUUCUCUUGCCAAACGAAGGCAAGUGAUGUGGGCUCCAUCAUAAUGACUCCUCGUGAGGUAGUGAUGACUUUAACUAUUUGUGUUGGUAUUUUCUCAUUCUAUUUAUCCCCUAGAAGAUAAUAAUUAUUUUUAUUAUAUUAAACAUUGAUAAGAAAUAAAACUAUGACUAACAUUCAAGAAUGUGUUUCUUCACACUCUGCACUUAUGUCGCACUGACGAUGCGUGCAAAGUGCUCAUAUGCUUCACUCACGAUGCAAACAUGCUGCACAUAUGUGGAAUUUUUUUUAUUUUUAGAUUUUUCCCCCAAAAUUAACUUUUUGUAGGAAAAAAUUUACUAUGGUUCCCCAAAAUGGCACUUUUUAUCACCAACAUUUGCAAUAUGUUACUAAUCGACCCUCAACCUUUUUGGCACCAGAUCUUACAUUUUAUUUUGUUUCCUUUUUUGAUGGUUCAGCUUUAUUUAAUUGUGGUUACAUAUUGUCUCUUUGUUCAUUUAUCUCCACCAGGUUUUGCUGCUCUAUUUUAGCCAAUAACUACAUGCCCAGUUCAUGAUCUGCUAAAUUAUUUUCGCUGUUUUCUUUGAAAGUAAUCUUUAAUCUCUUCUCUAUAUAAUCAAGAAUUCUUCUGUUGGAUUUCAAUUGCAGACUCGUGAAUCUAUUACAUGAAUUGGAAGAUAGGUAGAAAAAUGAAGGAGGAUAACAGUGAAAGGGUCAUCAUCAGGAUUUUCUCCUUCAUCCUUAACUGAACAAGAUCAUUUUAUGGAUGAAUUCAAUGUACUUGUGGCUAUAGGGUACAAAGGCCGUUUAACGUACUUCACGGUGCCAAAGAUACUCAGGAUUGCUAUUUAAGUUAGUGCAAGUAUUGUAGGUAAAACUCAGACUUAGAGAAAUUAUCGUACUCGGCAAGUAUUUGUGCGCUUAGGUAAAUUCAUAAUCUAUUUUGGAACAGUGAAUAUAAUGUCCUGGCAUUCAUCUUGAAUAUUAUGGGAAAAAAGUCACUAAACUUAAAAUUUACAUUUACGACAUAUUCAACCCCUUAUCGGUUAUAUGUUAACACAUCUCAAAACCAUACAAUGAUUGCCAACUUAAAAUUUUUAAUAGAAAAGUUCUAUUGUGCAAUUAAGUAUUGGCUCUUUCAUCUUGGCACUGAAUUUAUUUAAGUAAUAUAAAUUAUAGUGCAAACAACUAGAGAUUUCUCCCAAAAAAAAAACACAAUCAAUAGGCAAGAAACAUAACUCAAUAAAAUCUACCUUUAUAUUGAGUUUUAAAUGGUUUUCAAUGUUUCGCCACAUUUAAGUGUUAGAAUUGCCAGUCUGUUUUACCUUUUGUGGUUCAAGAAGUUGGAACUUAAAAAACUUCUUGAAAUCAUUUGGUAGGGAGGGAAAUAAAUUUCAUUGCCAUUCUUCCAAUUGUCCUUUAGAAGUUUAAGCUCUUCAGUAUCACAUUUCAGAUUAGAAGAAUUCACCGUCAAUAACGCAGCAUGCGGAGAGUCAAAUUUUUGGGUUAUGUGUAUAGUUAUAUAGCAAGAAUUUUCAAAAGGUUACCAUAAUGAGGGUUCCUUGUGCUAUCAUCCGCCUCCGUAUAACUGCAUAAAACAGCAACUUGAAGAAUGCUCAACUAUUGUCAUCCUUCCAGUAUCACAUUGCUAAGUGGAAAAUACAACAAGAAACAAGAAAACAAUAAGAAUUCUUCUGCCUUUCUAGAGAAAAUUCUUAUAUGUAGCUCACAUUCUUGUCAGCGCCGACUACACGCACACCAAUUGAGCCAACCAACUCCGGAGUCCAACAACAUGAGAAUCAUCCAUUGGAUGUUCUAUAGUAUCUCCAUAUGUAUGGAACUACGGUAUGAGAGUAAAUUACUAUGAUAAUAAAGCACUGUGAAUGUCAGGAAGAAGCAACAUAUGGAAAGAACUCAUUCCCUCUAAUGGAAUAUGAAAUCUAAAAACUAGGAACAUUGUAAUGAUUUUCUUGACUUAAAAUCAUUCGUAAAUUAAUACUUUAAGGUAAAUGUAUACAUUUCCUUGUUCUGUUUAUCCACCAGAAGAUAAUAAUUGUUUUCAUUAUAUUAAACAUUCCAGAGAAGUAUAAUCAUGGUUACCAUUCAAGAAUGUGUUUCUUCACACUCUGCACUCUGUCACUCCGAUGAUGCAUGAAAAUUGCAUAUAUGCUUCACGCAUGGUGCGCACAUGAUGCACAUAGGUGAAAUUGUUUUGUUUUAGGAUUUUGCCUUCAAAAUUAAUUUUUUGUAUGAAAAAAUUUACUUUGGUUCCUAUUCUCCAUUCAAAUUCUAUCCCCACCCAUUGCCAACAUUUAUGGAAAUUUGCACUUUUAGUCCCCAACAUUUGCAAAAUGUUAUUAAUCUAGCCUCAACCCUUUUAGGCACCAGUCACCCUUGAGCUUUCAGAUGUAUAGUAAAAUUCGUCCUUCCAUCUACUUCUAUCAUUAAACUCAGGUAAAAUAACAAAUUUACCCCAUCUUGAAUAAAUACGAAAAGAAGAAGAAAACAUAAUGAAAAAAAUAAGAGAGAAAUUGUUGUGAAAGUUCUAAAUAUUUUCAAAACAAAAUAGAUAAUACUUUUCCCCAACCAUCCCCAUUCCUUAACCCAAUCCACCCCACCGCCACCAUUAUAGCCACACAACCUCCCACCACCACUCAAGGGCGGACGCAGAAAUUUUUAGCUCGGGGAUAAAAUCAAAUUCUGUACAAAUUGAAUAUAUUUUUAUUGAUUUUUAAAUGAUUUAUAUUUGAUCCAAGAAAAUGCAGAUUUACAUUUAAAAAACAAUUUUUCAUUAAUAUUUUGCUCAUAAUUUUCAUCUAUUUGAUUUCUAACAAUCAUUUUAUUAAUAUUUUGUUCAUCACAAGAAAAUUAAUAUUUAUGUUUAAAAAAUUUAUAGUGUAUUUAAUACUUUAAUCAAUUCAAGUGACUGAAAAGAAAAUCUUAUAACCAAUAUUCAAUCAAAUAAAUAAAAUUUGUUAAAUAUAAGUUAAAUUGGAUAUAAUCAGUUCCUAUACAUUCUAUGUAUGCAAAUAUAGUAGGAGAAAAUGUAAAUUUAUUUGAAAAUUCGAUUGAAAUGUAAAAAUUUGUGCUAGAUGUCAUAAUUUGUAGAAAAAUUUUAAACAAAUUUUAAAAAAUUAGAAGGAUUAAAGCUUGGUAAAAUGUGUGAAGGAGACAGUAAAAUAGAAUUAGAGAAAAGAAAAGAAAAAAAAAUUCAAAUUUAUUGUGAUUUUGCCCGGUGGGAAUUAAAAUGAAUUUUUUAGUAAAUUUUGAUAAAAGUUAAAAAGUUAAGGAUUUCAUGAAAAUAUGUUAUUAAAAUUAAUUAUUAACUUGGAUUAAGAUUAAAAUUUAGAUUUUAAUCGAUAUCAAAUAGGACUUAUCCCAAAAUAAUAAUAAUAAUAAUAAUAAUAAUAAUAAUAAUAAUAAUAAUAAUAAUAAUAUCUCAAAAUCUAGGGGGUCACUUGACCCUGCAAGACCCCCCUUGGGUCCGCCCCUGCCACCACUACUGUCCAACAUACAAUCCUCAACACCCAUGCAAUUUGCAAUUAAAAUAAAAAAUGAAAAAUGAAAAAACAGAAACAUUCACAUCUCCAAGCUAUCCCACAUCGAAUCGAACAUAGGCCAAAUCAAGAAAUGGAAAAUUUUCAAAACAAAUUCAUCCCCCUUUCUCUCCUACCUAGUUAUUUAUUUUAGUUGAUGGGUUAUAAUCGAGCAAUUCCAAACAUGGCUAAAAUCAAAUCAUCGAGAAAUCUUUUCAAAAUGUUUCUCAACCACCCGCAAAUCGUCAUCGGCAACAGUCGCAGCAGCAGUGGUGCGCUUAGUUGGGUCACAAAUUCCCAGAGAAUCAUCAUUUCUCCUACCCAUUAGCUUUGUAUUUAAAGAUUUAACCUUAAUUUCAGAUCUUGCCUCCUCAAAGAGAUGCAUGAGUACAUAAAUACUCCUAAGUCCAGGUUUUACCCACAAUUACAAUAUUUACACUAAUUAAGUGGCAAUCCUAAGUCAUCUCUGGCACCAUGUAGUACAUUAAAGAGCCUUUUCAUCCAAUCGUCUCAAGCACAUAGAAUUCAUCCCUCAAACAAUCUUGAUUAUGGCUCCACUAUUCAGCUGAAAGAGAAGGAGAAGAUUCUGCCCCCCCGGAGCAUAGUCUAGUGGUGCAAAGGAUAAGAGUAAGAUUAUCUCACGCCUUACUGGUAGCCGCAGUGUGGGGACUCGAUUCCUGAAACAUGGAAUUGGACUCCUUGUAGGCGCAGUGUACAGACAACUCUUGUUCCCUAGCCUGUUGAGGGCACAUCUCGCGAUUUACCUCCCUCUCAAAGCUCUAGGGGCGGGGCGGGGUGGUGGGGGCCCUCAAGGUUGGGGUUUAACCUUUUUUUUUUUUUUUUUUUUUUUUUUAUGAAAGAAGGAGAAGAUUCUGAUGAUGACACCAUUGUCUUCUGAGUAAAAACUCCACUUUAUGCUCAAUUUGUUCCUUGGAUAAUCUGUAACUUUUUUAUUGAUCAUCAGAUUUAUGUAAUAUGAUUCAUGAGUCUGCAAUCGAAAGAAAGUGACUAAAAGAAUAUAAUUGAUCCUGAUCCGUGCAUGUAUUUAUUAGCUAAAAAGAGCUUCAAAUCCUGGUGCAGAUAAAUGAACAAAGAGAUAAUAUACAAUAACCGUUAAUUAAAGCACAACUAGACCUUAUAUUACAUAUGCAAUGGCUAUAAUGUCCAUUUAUCCGAUCUGUUCAUCUACACAAUCUUCUCAAAAUAUUUAUUAAGAAGGUUCCGUUGAGUACCUCCAUGCUAGAAUCAAUCAGAUCCGAAAAGAUCAUUUAUCCAAUAUUCAUGUCGGUGCAUGUGAAACUUCAAAUAAUAUCUUUGAUGCACUUGGCGAGUGAGAAAAUUGCACAGUGUUGAUCAAGGUGUUGGCGGAAGACAAGCAUGGCCUUUCUUCCAAUACAUAGUGGUUCAACCCAAUUACAACUCUGGAGGGGUUAAACUUCGACGAUGGUCAAGACUCUACAAGGCAUUACACACAACUCAUAGAGUGGACACAUCAUUUGUGUCAAGUUGUUAGUAAUUUGAAAUAAUGUUGAUUGUAAUGAUUUUAUGAUACAUGGUGUAUUUGCAAGAAUAAGAUCGGAUGUUUCCCUAGUUUUGGGUUUUACGACGUAAAUGUGUUCAAACAUUACUUAUUUAACUAACUUGAACUUAUUGAUCAACGCAAUUGAAAGUGAUUCAAGCAAGUAUGAAUGUGGACAUUGCACUCAUUAAAGGUUAAACAUUUCAAUUUAUAUAAGAAUUGUUACGUGAGCUCAAGUUAAAUAAAUUCAUAAUAUUUUCUGAAACAGUGAAUAUUAAUUUCCAGGUAUUCAUGCAUAUUGACUAUUUUAGAAAAAAAUGUCACGAAAUUUACAGCAAAUUUAAACCCUUCUAGGUUAUUUUAUCAUAGGUCUAAACUUAAAAAGGUCGCCAAUUUAAAGUUUGAAACAAAAGAAAGGUUCUAUUGUGCUAUUAAGUAUUGGCUCUUAUAUCUUCGCACUAAUUUAGUUUAGCAAAAUAAAUUAGAGAACAAAAUAAAAAUAAAUAUAAUUUCUCUGAAUAAGAAAAACACUAAAUUAAUAAUUAAUAGGCAAGUAACAAAAAACAGUAUUGGGUAUUAAAUGGUUUUCCAUGUUUUCCUGCAUUUAGAGUACUUGCAUAGCCAAUCUGUUUUACCUUUUGUGGUUCUAAAAGUUGCAUGUUAAAAACUUAUUGAGAUCCUUUGGUGGGAAGGGGAAAAUAUAUUGCCAUUCUCGUAAUUGUCCUUUUUAAGUUUGAGCUCUUCUGAAUCACAUUUCAUAUUAGAAAAAUUCAUCCUCAAUAAAUCGGCAUGUGGAUACUCAAAUUUAGGUUAUGGCACUGUUUUGUAGGGAUUUUGAGAAUUUAUUUUUUGGUCGUUAGGAGAAAAGUGGGGGCCACUUGUGAGAGAAGAAGUCCAAAAUUACGGUUAGAACAGUGAAAUAAUGGUUAAAAAUCAAUUUUUUAAAGUGAAAAAUCACUCUCAAACACCCUCUAUGUCUAAAAUUAUAUGGCAAGAAUCUUCUACCUAUACCAUAAUGAGGGUUCCUUGUACUAUAUAUCCUUCACCCCCAUUUAACAGAAUAAAAAACAACUUAAAUAGUGCGAACCUAUUUUCGUCCUUCCAGUAUCACAGUGGUGCAGUGGAAAAUACGAGAGGAGAACACAAGAACAAUUGGAAAAGUCUAAUGUCUUUCAGAGACAAUUCUUAUAUGUUGAUUACAUUCUUGUCGGCCCACUACAAGUGCACCAAUUGGGCCAACCAACUCCAAAGUCCAACAACGCAAUAAUCUUUCAUUGGUUAUUCUACAAUUACAAAAAAAAAAAAAAGGGUUGAACCGCAACCUUAAGGGCCCCUACCGCUUCGCCCCUAGAGUUUUGUGAGGGAGGUGAAUCGCGAGACAUGCCCCAACAGACCAAGGAACAAGAGCUGCCUGUACACUGCGCCUACAAAGAGUCAAUUCUAUGUCUCAAAAAUCGAACCCCCACACAUAGCGUGAAAUAACCUCACUUUUGUCCUUUGCACCACUGGACUAUGCCUCGGGGAUGGUUGUUCUACAAUAUCUAUAUACACAUGUGGCAAUGUCUCAAUAGUAUGUGGGGGAAACAAAUAUGUUAAUAAAACAACGUGAAUAUUAGGAAGGAACAAAAUAUGCAAUAACUCAAUUCCUUUAAUAGAAUAUGAGAACUAAAAAAAAAAGAGCAUUGUAAUGAUUUUGUUGAAUUAAUAAACUAAAUUUAUUAAGUAUAUAUAUCAAGAUCAGGGUGGGGCAAGGGGGUGGCCUAGACCUGACCCUAGGGCCAGUUACUUUAAUAAGGUAAAAAAAUGUGAAAAUUAAAAGAACUACUUGUUUUCAAGAUCACAAUUAUAAUUAAGAGUUAUAAGUUGUCUUCUUCUUUUUUUCUUUUUUCAAAAAUCGGAUAUAAUUAAAAUUCUAAAUAUUGAUAAUGAUAUAAUAAAAUUAAAUUAAUUAACAUACUCCUUCCACCCCAUCUCCACUCACAAAUCCUAAAUUCAUUUUCAUUCCUCCCUCUCCUUUCUCCUCCUCUCUCUCAUAUCCCAUCCAACCCAUUCAAAUCUUUAUCUAUCGACUCUAUGCACUCUUUCUCCCACAUGGAACGUCAUCGUCGGAGAGCUCCAUCACUUGUGAUGAUGCUUUUUUGUUUUGUUGGAUGGAUGGUGGUUUCUUCCAUAUUUUGACGGUGUCUGGGUUUUCGGAUGGUUUUUGUUGGUGGCAGUGGAGUGCGGUGAAUAAUGUUUGAUCAAGUAUUUAAGUGUUGUGACUAAUCAAUUGGUUCAUUUGAGAUCAAUAAAUAAUUUGUGACCUAAAAUUGUUCGAUCAUAUCUAAAUUUGGAAUUGUAACUCAGUGUUGUGACCAACUAAUUCGACAAUUUGUGACUAAGAAAUAAUUUUAUAAUUUGUGACAGUGCAAAAAGUUGUGACUCUUAAAAUUAGUAAUUUGGCCAAUGAAUAAAUUGUGACCUAAGUAUUUUUUUAUUUUAUUUGUGAACUCUGAAUUUUUUUUUUAUUUUUGACGAGAAUUAAUACAAUAAUUUGUUACCAAAUUGUAUAAAAUUUUGAUCUUAAUAUAUUUAAUUAAUAAAAUACAUAUUUAAUUUUUAUUUUGUAAAUAAAUUUUAAAUAGUGUUUGAUUUUUGAAGUUUUAAACUUUGUUUCUUAAUUUUGAAUGUGCCAUAAUUAAUCUAUUAGAAAUGAAAUUUUCCCAAAAGCAUUUGUGGAAAACAUUUUUUCUAUGUACCAGUCCAAUAUAAAAUAUAACUUUUGUCCCCAUGACUAUGCCCCUGACCAAGUUGCUAAACAAUCUUAGAAUAACUAUACAGCUCUCUUUGAUCGUUGUCGUCUUGGUGAUUACUUUGUAGACUAUUGUUGUUCUUCAUAUGGAUCCCUUGAUUUUCGUUUUCAUAGUUAUGAAACCGAAUCAAAAUUUUGAAACUCAUUCAUAAAUAUUUUUAGGUGAGUCAUAAAAAAAGGUUUAUAUAUUUUCAUGUUCUAUUUGUCUUCCAGAAAAUUAUACUACUUUUCAUUAUAUUAAACAUUCAUUCAUUACAUAGUCACGAUUAUCAUUCAAUAACGUAUUGCUUCACACAAUGCAAUCAUGUUAAACAAUAGGUGCAUGCACGGUGCACAGAUGCUUCACUUUUUAUGCAUUAAGGGAAAUUGGCCCAACAUUUGCAAUAUGUUACCAAUCUACCCUUUUUUAGGCACCAAACAUCCUCGACGUUUGGUAAAUGUAGCAAUACUUGUCCUUCCAUCCAUUUUGAUUGUUAAAGUCAAGUAAAAAUGAUGAAUUUCCUCCGUCUUUGUAUAAAUAUAAAAAGAAGAAAGAAACAAAAUAGACAAACAAAAAUUGCAGCAAAAGUUCUAAAUCUUUCCAAAAUGAAAGCCUUCUUGUCCAACCACCACUGAUUAGUGUCUAAAAGUGCUUCAAAAAUAUAUCAUUUACAAGGCAUUUUACAUUCACUUUGUUUAAAUUCACUAAUGUUAGUCUCUAAUUUCAAUUCUCUUGACGUAAAUUCAAUUUCCAUAAAUAUAUGAUUAAAAGUGCAAUUAAUCGAAAUACGUAUUUAAAUACAUAUCGGCAUGAGUAUUAUACUUUUCAAAGAGUGUUUAUUUGAUGUAUUUCACAUGUAUUUCCAAGGUAGAACAAGCUGAGCAAGUGAAGAAAAAAUGUUAAAAAGUCAAGAAUAUCAGCUGUCUCCAGUAAAGAUGCAACUGUCUCGGUAAAAUUACCAUAACUCGAGUUGUAGUUAUCGAAACAAGGUUAUUCAAGUUGAGUGGAAAAGAUACGAUAUGUAUAUACAACUUUCAUGUUUACCAAGAAAUCAAAUUCGUAUCAUAAGGCAGCCAAAAUUACCGUGCAAAGUCCAACUUGUUACCUGCUGGAUACAGCUUUUCUACCUGUGAAGCAGCACUCAUUUAUUUGGUCAUAUCUAAAGUUAUAGAGAUCUAAUGGACUUGAUAUUUACACCAAUGGAAAGCUAACUAAAGUGAUAACAAUUUAUAUGCUGAUCAUAAGUCCAAAUUUACGGCACAAAGUAUCUGAAAAUUGGCAUCAACUUGUUUCUGUUCUGCUUCAAGACAGCUGGAACAUGCAAUUUGAUGCCAAUUUUCAUAUACUUUUUGCCGUGAAUUUGGACUUAUGAUCAACAGAUAAAUUGUUACCACUUGAGUUAGAUUUCCAUUGGUGUAAAUACCAAGUCCAUUAUGUCUCUAUAACUCCAUAUAUGGCCAAACAAAUUAGUGCUGCUUCACAGGUAGAAAAGCUGUAUCCGGUAGGUAACAAGCUGGACUUUGCACGAUAAUUUUGGCUGCCUUACGAUGUGAAUUUGAUUUCUUGUUAAACAUAAAAAUUGUAGAUCCAUAUCUUAUCUUUCCAAUCCAACUUAAAUCACCUUGUUUUGAUAACUACAGCUCGAGUUAUGAAAAUUUUACCUAGACAGUUGCAUCUUUACUAGAGACAGCUGAUAUUUUUUACUUUUCUACAUUUUUUCUCCACUUACUCCACUUGUUCUACCUUGGAAAUACAUGUGAAAUACAUCAUAUAAAUACUCUUUCAAAAGUAUAAUAGUCAUGCUGACAUGUAUUUAAAUAUGUAUUUCGAUUAAUUGCACUUUUAACCAUAUAUUUAUGGAAAUUAAAUUUACGUCAAGAGAAUUGAAAUUAAAAACUAAAAUUAGUGAAUUUAAACAAAGUGAAUGUAAAAUGCCUUGUAAAUGAUAUAUAUUUGAAGCACUUUUAGACACUAAUCACACUACCCAACCAAGAUAUUGCCAGUCUGUAGCUAUAAAAAAUUUAAAAAUAGUUCAAAUGAAAUAGCUUGUCGCACUUACCUUAGGAUUUGAAAUUGCUUAACAAAAUGCUUCUAGGGUUUGCUACCAAAAUAUAGUCUAACUUGUCCAAUGCUCGACCAACGUGUGUGUGCAUAAUCAAUUCAAUCACAUACCUUUUCAAAUUGGACUCAUCCCAACCCUCAAUGGUCAAUUAUUUCUCUCUUCUCUCGUGGGAUGCACACCCCCAAACUUGAUUUUGUAACUAUUUUCCUAAGGUGUGAUUUAUGGUUGUACUAUUACUCACCCUCUCUAGCAUUUUAAGGGGAAUUGUGUGGAAGUAUGAAAUGUAUAAAUAUUUUGAAUUGAAGUAUACAAAUUUUAUGUGGGCAGUAGAAUCCAUAUGGAAAUCAUGCUUAAAUAAAUUUAAAGAAAUUCUUAAACUCAUAACCUUCUUACAGCAUGUAUAGAUUGAUGGCUUCUUCUUAUGUUUUCUGUCUGUAUACUCCUUUACCUCACUUUGGUAAAUCUUGUUGGACUUUUUUUCCCUUGACAGCCACCUACCUGAUAGUACUUUAGUCCCAUUGAUUUUGUAAAGAUUCAUACAUGGUUUGUAUAUAGAACUUGAAAAGUAUGAAGAAUUGACUAAAACAUGAAAGUUUUAUUCUUUAGUUUGGUUAGAUUUUACUAAUUGUAGCUCAACACAUCAAUAAAUGAGGAUUCUCCUUAAUUUUGACUAAUUCAACUUUCAAGAAUCAACUAAGCUACUAAUCGCUUAUCAAAGGUCUAAUUCUUUUAAAUAAGUGUUCAGGACUUAAUCAAGGCAUGUAGUACAUCUUCUAUUUCAUGCACUUGCUUUUUUCAAGUUUGCCGUGGGUAUUUUGUUUCAUGCACUAGCCUGAUAUCUUUUUAUAUAUAUAAUUGUCCCCAUUGGGCUCUUUUAGGGUUACUUCAAAACGUGACAGCUUUUUCCCUUCUAUGCAAUGAUUAGUGCAAUGCUCCUCAUUAAACACUUAUUCUCGAAAAUCAAUCUUUAACUUAAGAUUUUCACCUAAUUAUCAUCUCAUUAGUUUUAUGCAAUCCACUCAAAAUUUAACACACAUGGAAUCCACAUCUAUCUCAAUGUUUCCUUACAAUAUCUCAACCACCCUAAACUAUCCUAGAAUUGGUUUAGUUAGAAUUUUUUUAUAUUUUAUUUUGGUCAUAGUUAAUUCUACAUAGUCUAUCCAUUAAUCCAAUCUAAAUAAUAUGUGAUUUUCAUGAUUAUUGUGCUCAAUGUAAAUCAAUCUAACAUGAAUAAACUUCAACUAAAUCAAAGCAGCAUCCUCUAGUCACAAUUCAUAGUAUAAAAACAAUUUCAAAUAAUAUCAUCAUCGGUCGGUAAGAACUAUUUUAUUUUUUUUAAACUUUUUUGAUUCUUUUUCCCUCAACCUAAAUGAAAUAUUGUACUCAAUGUGAAGAUUAAACAUGCAAAAUGUAUGAAGAACAUAAGGAGCAAAAUUUUGAACAGAGGGACGGGUUUUGAGCUUUACCUGGAGAGUCUACAUAAAUUUGGCAAAAAUGAACCUUCUAUUUCAUUAGUGAAAAAAAUGACAAUAAAAGAGACACAACUAAAAUAAACACACAACAUUAUAAAACUGAAAACAAACAUACAAAAUAAAACAAUGAGAAAAUGAUAUCAAUCUUUAGGAUCAUGUAAAGCAAUGGACUCUUCUAAUCUAGAGAAAUUUUCAAAAAAUGGUUUCAAACGAUGUCCAUUAACUUUAAAAAUAUUUCAGUUACUUGGAUUUUCAAUUUCUACAACUUCAUGUGGGUAAACAGUUUUGACAAUGAAAGGACUAGUCCACUUGGAGCAUAAUUUUCCAAGGAAAUAAAUGUAACCUGGAGUUGUACAAAAGAACUUUUUGAGAAGGCUCAAAAGUUUUUCUAACAAUGUUUUUAUAAUGGAAUACCUUCAUUCUUUUCUUGUAAAUUUGAGAGUUCUCAUUAGCUUUAUUCUUGAUUUCUUCCAACUCGUUCAGUUGAAGUUUCCUAUAGUCGAUACACAUGUGCCAACCAGUAACAGUUCUAGUUGGAGUUAACUCAUUUUCUUCAUUUUUGACUACAGUAACACCAGAUUUUUUUUUGUACAACUUUGGUUGGACUUACCCAUCUACUAUCAGAAAUAUUAUAAAUGACUUCAUUAUCUAAAAGUUUAAUGACUUCAUUUCUUACCACCUCUUUUAAAACAAGAUUAAGCCUUCUUUACAUUUCUCUUGUACGUUUAGCAUAUUCCUCCAAAUAAAUCUUAUGUAUACAAAUCAAAGGACUAAUCCCCUUUAUAUCAGCUAUGGUCCAUCCUAAAACAUUUUUAUGCAUUUUUAAAGUUUGUAACAACUUACUUUCUUGGUGCGCAUCAAGUUGGGAAGAAAUUAUUACCGGAAAAGUUUCAUCUUCACCUAAAAAUGAGUAUUUCAGAUUAGAUGGUAGUGGCUUCAAAUCGAGCUUUGGCAUUUGAACACUUGAAAUCAUGGACAUAUUGGACUGUUGUGAUAAUUUUUCAAACUUUGAUUUCCAAUCACUUGUCUUUUUCUCCUGAAAAGAAUACAACAAAGAAAUUAUAUGCAAAAUUUUAGAAUUAUCGUUAAAUUCAAAUUUUAGCGCAUCAGAUGAAGAUGUAGCGAUAAACUGAUCAUCAACAGUUGUUCAAUAAAAUCUACUUCAUGCAAAUCAUCUUUAUCUCCAUGUUGCUUGCAAAUGUUAAAAACAUUCAUUUCCAUGGUCAUAUUUCCAAAAGAGAUUUUCAAGAUACCAUUUCUACAAUUUAUCAAAGCAUUUGAAGUAGGAAGAAAGGGACGUCCUAAAAUGACAGGUAUUUGUGCAUUUGAAUUUAAAACAGGAUGCGUGUCCAAAACUAUAAAGUCAACAGGAUAAUAGAAUUUAUCAAUUUGAAAUAGAACUUCCUCUACAACCCCUCUUGGAACUUUUACUGAACGAUCAGCCAGUUUAAGUGUUGUUGUUGUUGGUUUAAGCUCUCUCAAACCAAGUUGCUCAUACAAAAAAAGGUAAUAGGUUAACACUAGCACCAAGAUCAAGCAAAGCACGCUCAAUCCUAUUAUUCCCAAUCACACAAGAAAUUGUUGGACAACUAAGAUCUUUGAAUUUAGGUGGAGUGUUUUGUUGAAUGAUUGAGCUCGCGUUCUCUGUCAAAAAUGCUUUUUGUUGAACAUUAAGUUUCCUCUUGACAGUGUACAAGUCUUUUAAAAAUUUUACAUAUGAAGGAACUUGUUUGAUUGCAUCCAAUAGUGGUAUAUUAAUUUUGACUUGUUUGAAAAGUUCAAAAAUUUCAAAAUUAUGGUUGAGUUUUAAAAUUAGAUGCAAUCGUUGAGGAAAUGGAGCUGGAAUGGGGCAUUUUUCAACACUAGGUUCAGAAAUGAUUUUUUCCUCGAUUUUGGAAACAUCAUUUUCUUGCUUUGAAGUCCCACCAGAUUUUAGUUCUUUUGAAGAAAUGGUUUUGUCAAUAAUUUUUCCACUACGAAGAGUCGUGAUGGAGUUGGCAUUUUCUUGUUGACUUUCAGAGGAACUAGAAACAUUUACAUUAAAUUGCCCAGAGGAUUUGGUUGAGGUUGAGUAGGAAAUUUACCUUUCUCUUGAGAACGCAAAGAAGAGGUCAAUGAAGAAAGUGUGUUCUUGAUUUCAUUAAUGGCUUGUGAAGUUUGAUUAUUAAUGUUUGCUUGUCCUUGCAUGAAUUACUGCAAUGUUUCCUCAAGAGUUUUUUUAUUGGGGUGGUGGAAAAGAAGGAAAUUUUGAAAGCCCUUGAGGUUGUGGUAUAUGAACACGAUUAUCAUCUCUCCAACUAAAUUUGGGAUGAUUUCUCCAUUGUUGAUUAUAUGUUUCUAAGUAUGGAGAGCGAAAAGGCUUUUUAAAAGUGUUCAUAGCAUUGGCUUGAUCAUGUAAAGCUUCUUUGAAAACUGGGAUGUUAGGACAAUCAUGCGUUGGAUGUCUAGAAGUUUCAUAAAUGCUACAAAUUUCAUCAUUUUGCACAGGUUUAACUUCCUUUACUUUGCUUAAUUCCAUAGCUUCAACCUUUCUAGACAAACUAGCAAUCCUAGUACUUAGAUUAUCAUCUUGACUCAAUUGAUAUUUUCCUCCACUAGAACUAGCAAGACUAGAUCUUAUUGAGUUUUCGAUUGAUUUUAUUGUUUGCCAAGAUUGAGAAUUUUCAGCUAGAUGAUCUAAAAAUUCUAAAACUUCAUCUGGAUCUUUAUCUAAAAAUUCACCAUUGCACAUCGUUUCUACAAAUUGUUUUAUUUCAGGAGUUAAGCCCUCAUAAAAGAAACUUAUUGUACGCCAUUUUUCAAAACCAUGAUGUGGGCAUGUAUUUAACAAAUUUUUAAAUCUUUCUAAACAUUGAAAGUACGCUUCAUUGGGUUUUUGAGAAAAAUUUUGGAUUUGUCUUUUCAAAGCAUUAGUUUUAUGUGCUGGAAAGAAUUUCUUCAAAAAAUCACUUUGCAUUUCUUGCCAUGUGCCAAUCAACCUAGGUUUUAAAAAGUUAAGCCAAGUUUUUGCUUUAUCUUUUAGAGAAAAAUGAAACAAUUUCAACUUAACAAAGUCAUUGGGGGCAAGUUUGAUCGUUAAAUGUGGUACAUACUUCCUCAAAUUCUUUAAGAUGCAAAUACGGACUUUCAAAUUCUAAGCCAUGAGAAUUAGGAAGUAAUGGAAUCAUACCUGGCUUGAAUCGAAAAUUAUUAGCACUACGGGGGAAAAUGAAACACGAAGGAGCAGAAUUUCGAGGAGGUUGCAAGUAACCACUCAUGGUUCGUUCUUGUUGGUUUUCAUUUUCAUCAUGUACGCUUUCAUUAUCAGGCAUGGUGGAAGAUGUGAGUGAGUAUUGAGGUGAGUCGAAUAAAUUACUAAAGAAAGUUUCACAAUUAUCUUUAACUAAACAAUGAGAAUUGAAUUCACGAUACCAAUAUAAUAUAAAAUAACAUAAACUAGAUGUAAAGAACGAAAAUUAUGUGGUACAGCCAACCAUAUAAUAAUGUAAAAAACGAAAAUUAGGUGGCACGGCCUUCUUUUUGAAGUAAAAUAACUAAAGUAGUAAGAUCGAAAAUGAACGAGUGUACCUGUUUUAUAAAGAUUAUGAAAGAUAAGAAAACCUCAUAGAAAGUAGCAGAAAAUAAUCCUCGACGCAAAUCCCCGACAACGAUGCAUCUUCCAGCUGUCUUGAAGUUGGACAGAAACAAGUUGUGUCCACUUGCAUUUUAGAUGUUCCUUUGCCUAUAAAAGAAGAACUUGGCCAAGAUUUUGAGAACAUCAAUUCCUCUCCAUCAUAUUCUAGUUUCUUUCAUUUUCUUUGUAACAUUUCAUUAUGUAUUUCUAAACCAUUAGCUAGAGUUAGGGGUGAAACUUUGGUGAAUGUAUAGUAUUGUCUUUGAUCUUUCACUUUUUCUUCAAUGUUCAUCUUCUUACUUUGAAGUAUAUGUUCUACAAAUGGUUUUGAUUUGUUCAAGACUUUGAUUUAUUGUAGACAAUUUUGGCACAAUAAAUGCUUAGAUAAUCUCUACAUACCAACAACUUAUUUUGACAUAUUCUGUCAAAUAAUUAUCAAGAUCUAUCUUUUAGUAUAUUUGCGAUCAAUGUUUUAUCUUCCAUAUAAGAUCACUCCUUAGUUGAUGUCCAUAUGAGUUAAAUAAAAGAUCAAGAGCAAUUUCUACCCAUUUAUCCGAAGUGAAUCCCCAACGCUCUAGUGCUCUGCUCCAUCGUAUUUCCACCUACCAUUUACCACUCAUAGAAUAGUUUAUUUCCUUCCAAUUCCCUAUGGUUCGACCUCAGACUUUCGAUUUUACUACUUGCGAUAACCUGUACUUGGGUUUGCAACCUUAAAGUUGUAGCAACCACCAAUCCCCACCCGAUCAGCCCUGUACACAAUCUCACAACACAACCAUUACUACCCCUACUACCUACUUACAACUUUCCUCAAACCUAUGCCAAUUGGAACAAAAAAAUAAACAUCCCCUUCGCCAACCCAUCUCUAUCAAAUCAAGCUUAGGCCAAAUUAAGAAAUGAAAAAUAUUAAAAAUAGAAAUUAAUCACCCUUCUCUCACACACAUCGAGAGUUCCUCACAUUUUUUGUUCCUUUUGUGGUUAUCUUUAUUUCAGUCAAUGGGUGAUAAUCAUGCAAUUCCAAAACAUGGCUACAGCAUCCAAUAUAUUCAGACCGAAAUAGGGGUUAAAUUGGUGGAAUCGAUGAGUAUUCAGUGAUGUAUUUCAACGCGUGAGGGAUGCUAAAGCGAGGGUUGACCAGACAGAGAUUGACUUUGAGAAUGAUCCCACAUCGGAAUACCAUAAUUUGCUAAAUUAUGCACAGGCUAAUUUGACCGAACCUUAGCUAUUGAUGAGGUUCCUAGAAGUGAAAAGUUGGGUCUCCUUGGUCGUGUGAAGGGGACCAUAACACCCGAUAUUUUCAUGGGAUGGUCCAAGGAGGUCAGAUCAAAUCUCAUAUCAGGACUAUCACGACUUAGGUAGGGGAAGAUCUCUCUACUCAUGUAGAUAUUAAGAGCUCGGUAAUCUCAUAUUUUCAGGAUUUAUUAUUUGCUCCAUCAUGGCCUUUGAAUCCCAUACAUCCUAGCAUUAUACCUAGGUGUAAGAGAUGAUUUUUAGUAUUGAUGCUGACAGUAUUGCUAGCUUAAUGAAUUCUCUUUCUGUUUCUACCAGCACUGUUGGGAUAUUGUAAAGGAUGAUGUGUAUGGUGCAGUUAUUGACUUCUUUGAGGGUGGUUGUCUACCAUGAGACUUUGCUACUACCUCCAUUAUCUUACUCCCGAAGAGGGAGAAUGGUUAUAGAUGGACGCAUUAUCAACCUAUUACCUUGUGUAUGCUAAUAAGCUUAUCAUUAAACCGUUAAACACCAAAUUGAGUUUACUGCUGCCUCGUAUCAUUUUCUCUCAGUAGAGUGAUUUUGUCUCCGAUUGCCUUAUUGGGGACAAUGUUUCAUUGACUCAGGAGCUCGUCCAUAUGUUGGAUGAUAGAAUGUGUGGAGGAAAUACUAUGCUAAAGCUAUAUAUGGCAAAAGCAUAUGAUCAUACGAACUAGGGAUUCAUUUACUUUAUACUGGAUGUGUUUAGUUUGGGCAAGUAUGGAUUGAUAGGAUCAAAUGGUGUAUCUCGGAGUGUCAAUUUUUCUUUGCUCUUGAAUGGUCGUACAUGUGGCUUCUUCUCAUCCGCACAUUGAUCCUAUCUCCCUGGCCAAUUGGUGAAAAGAAAUAAGAGUGGUCUUAUACUGCCUCGACAAGCAACGAAUAUACAGAUACUAAAGUCAAUGAUUUUAAUUGGAUUUUUAAAUCAGCGAUGGCCAUUCACAUACUUGGGAGUCCCCUUAUAUAAAGGGGCUAAAAAGAGACCUCAUUGUGAAGUUCAGAAGUAAGAUUUCAGCAUGGGCAUCAUGGUUUCUCUCUUAUGGUUGUAGGAUUACUCUGCUGAGAUCAGUUCUCUCCUUUUUACCAUUAUAUCUCUUUCAAAUUAUACGAUCUCCCAAGGCUCUACUGAAAAAGUUGAAGAGUAUAUUUACACGAUUCUAUAGGAAUUCGAAGGAUCAUACACGGUGCUCACAUUAGUAAAGUUGGAAGAAAAUUUGCCUCUCUACUGAUUAGGGUGAAUUGGACUUUAGGAGAUUAUAGGAUAUGGUGGACACGUUCUCCUUAAAACAAUGGUGGCUAUUUAGAUCUCAGAGUUCUCUUUGGGCUCAAUUUUUGUUGGGCAAAUACUGUAGAUGGACACAUUCGUCACUUGUAGCAAUUCCUUAUUAAUGUAGGAGGGUCCGAAUCAAGCGACGCCAAGUUGUCAGAUAGCACAUUGAUGGUGCUAAGAUACCAUGAGAUGGAAGAUUGGCACAAAUAUGGCAAGUGAUCGCAAUCUUUUCCUAAUUGGGACAGUUUUGAACAUGUUUUGGUAAUUCGAUCAUAACUUUGGCUACAAUUAUCAUAAUCGCAAUUAUGAUCCCCAAUUCAGAAAAAGCAAGGCGUCAGUGAGGGGAUUGUUUUUGAGGCCAAAGUCCAUUGUUUUCCCUUCCGAAUUCCCAUUUCAGUUAUUUUUUUCUAUUUUUGGUAAUAUUUUGUUUGCCAUUUUUGAGAUGAGUAUGAACUUGAUUUGAGUCAAAUUUUUGGAAAGUUACUUCUUUUAAUAUGUAGUUUAUUUUGGUAUAAUUAUUGAGAUUUUGCUAUUUUUGAUAAAAAAAUUCCAAUAACAUCGUUAUUCUUCAGCUAUAUAGCCCGAUUUGUGGGCUGUUUUUCGUCAUUCUGCAUUUUUGAAUAAUAUUGAGUUGAAUUUCAGAGAAAUCUCUCUGUUGUUGGGCAUUUCAUUUGUAUUUUUUCCUUGAAUCACCUGUUGUAACUAGCUUGUGGGAUAAUCACUAUCCUGCCCCACGUCACUUAUUCAGCGUUUCCUAUAUCGAAGAGACUAAAGAGAUUCAUUCCACGUGCCAAGCGAUUACGUGGCAUCUUGGGAUAGAUAAGAUCUUUUCUGGCAUGAUUGUUGGAUGGGUGAUACUACAUUGGCAUCCAUCUUUCCACACAGAUAGCACACAUCUUCGAGGAUGCGGAAUUUUUUUUAGGAGACUAGAUGGGCUUUGGACGGUUCCUAUAUACUCUUCCACAAGUUAUGGCAGAACAGAUUGCGGCCAUUCCACUAUUUAUCGAUGCCCCAGAUCGUAUUUUUUGGUAAGUUACAUGAGAUAAUAUAUUCACAACCAAGUCAGCUUGGCAGUUGAUUCACUCUAAUAGGGUAGUGAAGGACUUAUUUCGUUUACUUUAGAGCCCUAUCAUACCUAUCAAAGUCUCAUUCUUCUAUUAGAGAUUAUGGCUGGAUUUGAUUCAAGUAUAUGCUAUUAUUGAAGGGAGAAUAGGCAGUCAACUGGCUUCUUCGUGCUACUGUUGUUCUGAGAUUGAGACCAUCGAUUAUACUUUCACUGAUAGCAGUAUUUCAAAUUAGGUUUAGUAGCAUUUUGUCCAUCUUCCCUACAUUCUUAUGAUUGAUAGUGAGAGCGUUAGACAAAGAUUUCUUAUAUGGUAAUUUUCUAUACAGUUUGCACGGAGUGGGCAUAUUGUAUCAUUAUCCCUCUACUGAUCUUCUGGUUCAUAUGGACAGAUAAGAAUUAUGCGAAACAUAGGAAUAUAACCAUGAGACCCAGAUGAAUCGUUUGGAGGGUAUAUCGUAGGAUGUCCUUCCUAUGCACUAGUAGUUUGUUUCGACCACUACAUUAGCAUGCUAAAUGCAGUUUUCCUUCUACUUCUUCCUUACUAUGGUUCGGUGGUGCAAUCAUCGGAUGGAUCUAUCAAGAUCAAAUACUGAGGGAUGUGACAUCAGGGAUCAUGCAGGUAAAUGUACCAAGUCCUUCUUAACUUCAUAUAGACAAUGUAUGAUAUUAGAGAUGGAGCUUAAAGCUAUUCUUUACGGAAUACUAUUGGCUAAGGAUCUUGGGUUUUUAGGUAUUUGGUUUGAGUCAGAUUCUAUUAUGGCUAUUCCAUGAUUAUGCAGUGUUACUAAAGGACUUACAAAUCACAAGCGUUGUGUGGCAAACUCCAAUAAACACACAAAAAGAUGCUUGUAAAAGAAUGACUUCCUAAAAGUGGAAAUGCUAGGGUUUUAUGCUUGGUUGUUCUUUUUUUCUUCUUCAGACUGUUCCACUUCCCCACUCACGUUAGAUGCUGCAUUGCCUUCAUCAGUUUCCAAGGCUUCUGAAAACACUAAAAUUAAGCAUACUUCAUUCUUUUUUAAUUCUAUUUACGUUUAAAAGAGUUUUCCUCAAAAAUUCAAUUUAAAAUAUACGUUAGGCAUUACUAACAAAAGAAUUUGUUUAUUAAUUUUUACUUGGUGAAAUCUAUAUUCAAUAAAAGCCUAAAUAAAACUGAUGUAAUCGUAAUGGUAACAUGAAUAAUAAUAAAUUUUGACGCUAUAUCUGAACCUAACUAGAGAACAAGGGAAUACUUAUACCUACUGUAGCACUUGCACAAAGUUCUUGUAUGUUCAAAUGUACCCACCACUUGACGCGGUAAUAUUAUUCUCACUGCUAGAUGUUGAGUCCGAAAUACCAUGAUUAGUGGGUUUGAGUAAGGUAUGCCAUUCGUCAAUAUAUAUUGAUCGGUCAGGUGAUAGAUUAGGAAUUUCAUGCUUCUGAAGAGCUUUCAGAAUGUCUUGAGUUUCUUCCAAAGGGCAAGUUGCUUCCUGUAUACUUUUCUCCCGUUCUACUAUGGUGUUAUUGUUGCAUUUCUUGAGUAUAGCAUGAGGUAAAUUGGUCAGGCAUGCAACAAAUAUAUCUGCAACAAUAACUGAAAAUCUCUCAAACACUUGAGUAUUUGAUGCCGAAUGAUAGCUUUCCUUAUAGACCAAUAGCAAAUUGUUACUUAUUUUGUACAUUUAAUUGGAAAUUAUGAUAUUUUCAGGCAAGUUAACUGAGCUUUCCAUAGCAUUUUCAUUCAUUUUACUCAUGAAUUUCUUCAAAAUUUCUUCACUUCUAUUUGCAAGAGCCUGAAGAGUUUUUUUUUGGAAGAUUUUGAUACCCUGGCAAUUUUUUGGAGAUCCACGUCUAACCACUUGCGCCUCAAUUCAACUAAAACCCAUGCAAAAUAUGCGGCACUCGUGCUGCUCAAAAUUUUUUAUGAACAUCCAGACUUUUCUCCAUUAGGCUCACAUACUUAAAACCUUCAAUGACACUUCUUAAGAUCUGAUUCAUAAUAUUGUAACAAAACUGAUUUGUCGGAUUAAUAAGAGCAAAUGCCCCAACCUUAAAUGUUUAGUUAUUAUGCUACUUAGUAAGUUAUCAUUCACACGUUAAUGCUCAUAAUAUUAUAUCAAUUGUUGACUGAUUUAAAUUUUCAUCAACUAUUUAAGCUACGCUUAAAAGGGACGAAGUUAGCAUCUGAAAAGUAUAACUUGUCACACAAAUAUCCUUCUAGACUGUGCCUUUGAUACAUAAUACCUCUAAUAAAGUAAACUCUUUUAUUUAUUGAACAUAGAAAUUCUCGGAUAUGAAAAAUCAUUAACUACAUUGUUUAAAUUGAAAUUUUAACGAGAGUUGCUAAUUUUCAUCAAAAAUAGCAUUUCAUUAAUGACCGUUAAAAGUUGAUUCCCAAAUAAACCACUUAAAUUGAGAGGCAUUUUUCCUUGAUUUUCGAUGAUUUGCUUGGACUAAUUAAACCCUCCAUUUAUUAAGCAUAUUGUAAACUUUUCAAUACCCGAAGUAAUUUGGGUUUGACGUUGCGAUAUAUUAAUAUGACAUUGUGGUCUAAAUAUGAAAAAUUAAUUAAGUUACAAAAAGAAUAAUGUUAUUUGCAGUUGCUCACUACCGCAAUCGUCCUACGUGGCAUACAUAUGGCGGUUAGUGAUUUGAUACGUUAAAACUACCACAUUAAUAUAUCAAAUCAUUAACAGACACAUGUAUGCCACAAAGGUGACUAUGAUAAUGAGCGACUGGAAAUAACAUUAUUCUAUGAAAAACACAACAUCGUUGAAAUCUCCUCCCAAGUUAUGACUUUGAUGAAGGUAUCACAUUAAAUUAUACUCUUUUAUCUAUUGAAAUUUUUGAGUUCUCCUAUCUGAAGAUCAUUGUCUAACAUAUUUACCUAGCUAAUAUUUUAAUGAUAGUACUAAUCUUCGUUAAAAAUAACACUUCAUGAUUGUUCAAAAAAUGAUGUGGUAGUAAAUUAUCGAUAGCAACAUUAUUUGCGUGGAUUAGUUAAUCCCAACAAUUCGUAUGAGUAAUACUAGUGGAUAGCUGUCAUAUUAUUCGAUGAAUUUAAAAUAUUUUUAAUUUGUUGAACAAUGUAACAUUGACCGUAGAUGUAAUAUGAACUCAUUAGAAAUGAAUAGUUCUCCAUGUGUCCUAUAAAGAUGAACUUGCUUUCAUUUCCACACAAAUUAAGAAAAAUAUAAUUAAUAUAAUUAAAAUUAUAAAUUUUUAAAUUAAAAGUUAAAUUAUAAUAUUUCUUAAUUAUAAUUGAAUAAAGUAAGAAAUAAAUAAAAAUAAAUAAAAUAGUAUUUUCUUUGUCAAUUUUUAUAAUAAUAAAAUCAAAAUAAAGGACUUUUGACAAGAAGAAAAAAAGCCUUUUUCACAUGGGUUCAACUAAAUUUUCAAUGAAUUUGAAAAAGAGAAAAUUCCAAACACACACACACAUUGUGUGAUUUUUAACUUUCCAAUUCAAAAAUUGGAUUUAAAAGUUUUUGGUUAAAAAAUCAGAAGAUAAUUCAACUUUUGAAUAUUAAUAAUAAUUUUAUAAAAUAAAAUUAAUAUACAUCCCCAUAACCCAAUCCGAUUUCACUCCCAAAUUGUAAAUCAUUUCUCAUUUGUGACUCUUUUGAAGGCAAGGAAGAUCAAGAGAAUGUGGCCCCGCUGUGCGCCCAUCGAAAAAAACAACACUCAAACCCGAGCCAUGAUUGAAACCAACAACUCGAACCAACCCUAUACCAAUCUCAUAAUGCUUUUAAACUCAUCAAUUAGCUGAGGGAUUAAAUCUAGCUGAGAAUUGGAAAGCUUAGAAGAUUCAUGUGUAAAUAGCUUGUGAGUAAUGAAUCACUGAAAUUGUUGAUUUGGAUCUCCAAAUGUAUCUCCAUUUUCCAAAGAAAUGUUGUGAAUAAUAUAUUUUGUUCUUCAUUUUUUUUAAUCACAUUGUCGAAGUACUUAGUGUUUUGAUCCCCCAAUUGAAUCCAUUUUAUUCCUACUUUUUGUCUCAGGAAUACCUCUUAGCACGCUAGUAAAUAGUUGUAGUCUAAAUUAUAUUUGUAAAGCUUUAUUCUCGUUGUUUCUGAUUGCGCAUAGUAAAGCGUUAGUUCCUUUUCUUUCAAACUUUGUGAAGAAUUACCAAACACUUGUUUAUUCCAACACUUAAGGCCAAUUUUUAGUCUAGAUAAUUUAUACUAGAAAACCAAGAGCCUUGUCUCUACUUUUGAUUGUUUCUAAUUCCUUACAAAAAUGUCCUGAAAUUGUUCACCUCGAAUCCAAAUGUUCCAGAUCCAGAAAGUAGAUGGACGAUUGACGAUUCCAUUUAUCAAUAAUCUACAGUAGGGGCAAUGGCCUAAAAUGUUCCAAUUCAAUUGUUGAAAAAGAAUGAUAGAGCAAAGAUCCAUGGCAAAGGAGUUACCAUUCAUUUACCACAUAUGCCAGUUUGUACAAGUAUAUUGCAAGUCUUCAUAAUCUGCAUUUUCUAGGUUACCAUACCUUAAAACUGUUGAAAAAUCAUCAAUAACACCUAGAUUUGGCAGUUUGACACUGAAUCUUUCUUGGCUGAUAAAAGAGCACAUUAAAAUCACCCCUGCAAAAACCACGGUGGAUCAUAUUGCUUGAGAGAACUUUUAGACUAUCCCAAAGUUCCACCCUUUCGUGCGUGGUUGAUUUUGCAUAUACUACAGUAUAAUGGAAAGAGUCGGGCUAAUAGAAUUUUUAUUCAGGGUAACUAAGUCAUUGUUCGAAUCCAUAUUUUGAGCAUUGAUUUUGUAAGAAUGAUUUUUUGGAGAAUGUGUAAUUAAAAAGUAAGAAAUUUUUUUGAUUACUAGCAAAAUUAUUUUAUUGAGAGAAUAUGAAUGUUGAAAACUGAAUUUAAAGAAAGUCAAUUUUCAAAAAUGAGGCUCAAACGGGGGUUAAUUGUCUCGAGUCAUUAGCAAUGUUACAAUUAAUAUCAAGGGUCCAUAGCACCCAAAUUUGUUUCAAGGGAAAUUUUCAUAGCUAAGAGAUUAAGUAUAAUCAAUUUCAAAACAAAGAAACAAGUUAUAUUAAUUUGAAAUUCAGAUAUUGAUUAAAUUUUAUUUAUGAAAUAAUUAAUUAAAAAUAUAUUUUAUUAAUUGAAUAGUAUUAAGGUCACAAUAUUGUAUAAAUUAUUGUCACAAUUAUGUAUUUGUCACAAUUAUAGACGUCAAUGUCACAAAUCACAAAUUUCAUAUGUCACAACUUAUUUCUCGAUCACAAAUUUAACAAACUAAUAGGUCACAUAUUAUUCAUUGGUCACAAAUCAAAAAUUUUAUUAGUCAAAACCCAUGGUCACAAAAUAUCAAAUUAAUUGUUACACAUUAUUUCUAGGUCUCAAAUUAUCAAAUUAUUAGUCACAACUUCACAAUUUUUUAGGUCAUACAUUAUUUAUUGCUCACAAAUUAUCUAUUUCAUUGGUCAUAUAUUAUUUAUUGGUCACACAUUAACUAAUUUAUUAGUCAUAAUUAAUCAAAUAAUUUAUGACCACUACAUCAUUUGUGACCAGCACAUCACCACUACCUCCUGCAGCACUUCCGUCGUUAGGAUUUAUGUUGUAUUGACAAAUCUUUAGACAAAAGGACUAAUAUAAUAAGUUGUAAAAGUCAAUGAGUCAAUUAGAAUAUUGUAUAGAUGAAAUAGGUAACUUAGGGUUUCAAUUUUGAACAAGAAAGAAAGAGUAGUCGAAUUUAUGCUAGCCUAUCUCUCAUCUGAUGCUCAAGCUAGAAAAACAGAAACACUAUUACCUGCCUAUCAUUGAUCUCUCGCUCGAGUGACACAUAGAUCACUCAACCAUCGCUAUCCUGGAGCUAAAGCGACAAUGUUACGCGCAAAACUCUAAUUCGCAUUUUUAAAGGGUUUUAAUUGGUCUAUGCUAGCUAGUUGACUUCUACUAUAUAUACUAUUGCCCUAUCACUUUUUUUGGGUAAUUGUUCAUUACAUUGUUUCUUCAUAUCAUCAUUCAAAGAUUUAAGAGCAUAUUCAAGCAUUAGAUGUAUUCUUUAAUUCUUGAGUCCAUACAACCACAUUUUUGGGAAAAACAUCAACAACACAUAAUCAAAAUACCCGCUUCCUAUACACAUAUAGGAAAAUACUCUCUCAGUAGCUUUUAGCAAAGGUGCUAAAGAUUGAGGGUAGUUGGACUCGAAGCACACAAAGAGCACAAGGAAAAUGAGCUCUUGUUUAUCCAUAAGAGAUAGCAAUUUCAGAAGAUUGGGAACAGUUGUGAGUGAAGCACGUUUUAGUAGGUCUUGGAAAUUGUAAGAAUUAGAUCAGCGAGUCUAAUGGAUUUUCUAAGCUGAAUCAUACUAUAAGUUCGUAUUGUCUAUAGUGGAGUUUACUCACUUAAUCCCAAGUUUUUACCCAGUUGGUUGUUCUCUGUCAAAAAUGUUGGUGUUGUUUAUUGCUUUAAUUAUUGAUUGUGGCAUUCAAACCAUUGGAUAAUUUGGCAUGUUUAAUUAACCACCUAGAAACAAUAAAAAAGUAACUUGUUGCUUUUAAUUGUAUAAUUCCUAAUGUUGGUUUAAAAUAAAUUGGCUAAAUCAAACCUUUUCAAGUGGUAUCAGAUCUUUUCAAAUGGUAUCAAAGAUUUUCAAGUGGUAUCAGAGGCUAAAAUUGAUCCUUGAACUUUUUAGUUUAGAUGAGUCAGUUAUUAUCCGUUCGCCCUUAUUGUCAUGGCAACAAUCAUGCCUAUUGGAAGGUUAGAAUGAGAGUUUUACUUAAGUCGAUGGAUGAGCAUAUCUAGUUCAGUGUAGUAAAUGAUUGGACUACACCUACUAGCACCGUUAAUAAUGUUGUCAUCCCACGCCUAUAGCGAAUUAGUCAAAUACAAUUUUUUAUGAAUGCAAUUGAAAUAUAAAGCCCUACAUGCCUUACUUAUGGUAGUGUCUCCUGAAAAAUUUAGGCAAGCAUCUAUAUGUGAGGUUGCAAAAGAGGUUUGGGAUAUUUUACACAACACACAUGAGGGAGCUCAUGCUAUUAAGAACUUCAAGUUACAGAUGUUGGCCAUUACAUUUGAAAAGAUUAGAAUGAAAGAGGAUGAGACAUUCGAUAAAUUCUACGCGAGCUUGAAUGACAUCGUUAAUUCAAGCUUCAACUUAGGUGAGAGAAUCCAUAAGCCUAAGAUUGUUAGAAAAAUCAUUGGAUCCUUACCUGAAAGAUUUAGGCCUAAAAUCACGGCUAUAGAGAAAAGUGAGGACUUAGAUACUAUUUAGAUUGAAGAGUUGGUUGGAUCUUCCAGACUUACAAACUAACAUUAGCUAAACAUACAAAAAAAUAAGUCUUGGCCUUGAACACCAUUAGGGAUAACUGCAAUGAGUCUUCUGAUUUGUAAUCAUCCAAUGAUGAUGAGAUAGCUUAUUUUGCUAACAAAUUACAAUAAAUAUUUAGAAAUAAGAAGAAGCCUCAAAAGAGACAUGUAGGUACUCCAAGAGAUCUCAAUUUGUAAUAUGUCAUAUAUGUUAAUAUUUUGGCCAUUCUCGGAGUAAGUGCCCUAAUAGUAGGAAAAAUAAGGAUAAAGCUAUGAAUGUCACUCUCACUGAUGACGAGUCCAACUUCGAUAAUCAAAAUGGGAAAUCCACUUAGGAUGAGAAUGCGAAAUAUAUAGCCUUAAUUGCUAGGAGUAGGAGUGAAUCUGAUACGGAGAGUAAGAAUAUUAAGGAUGUAGAUAUGGUGAGGAUUUUGAAAAUGAGGAAGACAUGUAUGAGGCUUAUGAUAAAUUAUAUGAGGAGAGCCUUAGGAUAUAGAUUAUCAAUAAAUCCUUGUGUACGAAGGUCAAAGAUAUUAAGUUAGAAAAAGAAAAACUAAUAGCUAACAUUCAAGAAUCCAUCUUGCACUUGAGUAAGUUGAACACUGUUAAAAUCCCUAGAUAGUCGCGUUAAGAAUCCUAGAGAGAUCUUGAGAAGUCCUCUGGGAAACUUAAUAAGUUGAGUACUGUCAAUGAAUCUUUAAAAAAUAAGGUUAAGAACUUUAUGAGCAAUCUCGAGGAUUCCAACACCCAAUUCAUUACGUUCUCUAGUGGCUCAAUAAUGCUUAAUAACAUUUUAGAAAUGGGAAAGCUUGCUGGUAAUAAGGGAGGUCUAGGAUAUAAGGAGAAUGAUCACAAUGCUGCUAGUACUUCCAAGACCAUUUUUUCCGGUCAUUGACUAGCUGAAGUAUGUUUCUAACUCAGCAUCCAAGAAUAAGAUAAUCAUAGGACAGAGGCAUACUAGAUAGUAUAGGACCUACCAAUUUAGGAAUAGAAAUCAGAGACUACAUAACAUUGGUCCUAGGUAUACCCCUAUUUGUUUCAAUUGUGGUGAGGUACGGUAUAUAAGGCCUAUGGGUCAAAAAUUCCUGAAAAGAAAUAGACAUCAGAACUUUAAUAGAAAUAAAAAUUAGAAUUUUGAUAACCGAAUUAACUUUUUUACUAAUCAGGUAAGUCAAUUAACCGAUUUAAUGACAUAGCUGACUACAAUAAAUUCUUCCGCUAGGCAAGUUACGUGAAGAUAAAAUAGAUCACGAUGCUCUUGAAUGUAAAAGCGUUUGUAUACCUGACUGAUUAUGUGUUUCUGGUACAUAAUUGUGCUCAUUCAGUGUGACUCAUUCAUUAUUACAUGCAUCUCAUUGUGUUUGUGUUGGUACAUGCAUAUUUUUUUGUUUUGCAUGCUGAAAUUUUUAUUUUGUGUGAUUGGUGCUUUCAUAUUUAAAAACAAAGGGGGAGGUUUUUUUAAACAACAAUAUGAUAUAUGAUAUACUUAAACUUGUGUGUUGUGACCAACUAUGAGUUUAAUUGAUGUGUUGUAGCAUAUUUUCUAUUUUUUGUUUAGGUUUUUAUAAAGUACUUAGAAUAGGUUUCUUCGUGUACCAUCUGCACUGCACACACUAUGAUAUUGUGAGUGGAACUUGACAGUGUGUGUGAAAUUUUGGAUGGCAGUCACAUGUUAGUAACGUGACUUUGAGCGUGAAUUGACAUUAUUUUAGUAAACCUAAGCUCAAGUAUAUUUUCUUGAAAGAAAAAAGCUCAAUAUUUUAUACUCUUCUUCGGAACCUAUUUGACAUGAGCAAUUAAGUUUGAGGGGUUUCUCAUCACUUGGUGCAUAUGGCCAACUGACUUGGUUUAAUCGGCCUAAAGCUCGUACAAGGGUCAUCUCAGUCACUUAAUGGAGAAGAGCCUGUAUAUAAGAUUUAAAAAAUUGAUGAGAAAAAAGAUGAGCUUAAAAUUUUAGAAAAUGUAUAAAAAUAUAUAUGUUCAAAGUUAGGGGGAGAAAAGAAUAAUAUACACAUGCAAAACGAGCUUCUUUUAUAGGUUCUAAUGUGCUAUUACUUGUUUGACUUUCACAAGUAGAAGGACAAAUUAUUGACAAUGAUGUUUAGCAUGUCCUUUCUCGCAAAAUUAAUGUUUGGAGUCCUGCUUAGAAAGGAUUAGUGACACUUUACGUACAUAGGUCACGUAUACAAUUUACUCCAUUUUAACUUGAACUGAGUAUGUGGGAAUGUUUACUGAUCAUUGAUUAUGCUUUUACAUGCUAUCAACUACCUCUUCGAUUAUAUAUUGGUGUUCAAUUGUAUUUGACAAAGUUCCCUUAGUCAUUUGUGACAAAAAGGGCGAGAGAGUUAGAGUUUUGAUUAUACGGUUUUUGCAGUAAGGGGGAGAUAAAGAUAAAGCAUUCCAUAUCCUCUACAUUCUAUAUCAUCUGCAUUUUUGGGAGAGAUGAGUGUGAAAGGGAGAGAUAAUUGUAUGCCCACUUCUUUGUGUUUUGAUGUUUGGUGAUAUUAAUGUUUUAGUUGUGUUUUGGUUAACAAUAGUUUUACUUUUCAAUCUAGCUAGCAUAUUUAUGAUUAUGUGUUUUAAUUGUUAUAUUUUCUGUAUCACGUAUUGCACUUGGUAUUUGAGGUGUUGAUUUCAGGAAACAUGUUUAACAAGGAAUGCAAGAGAGGACAUUCAAUUCGGGUUUAAGUAGAUUAGUAUGAUUUUAAUUCAUUGUAUUUAUUGUAUAAUUUUGUCAUAGAAUUCUAAAAGGAGAGAUUGCUAGGAUUUGUAUUGUAUUGACAAUUCUUUGGACAAAAUGACUAAUAUGAAAAGUUGUAAAAGUCAAUGAAUCAAUUGAAAUAUUGUAUAGAUGAAAUAAUAGGUCACUUAGGGUUUGAGUUUGGAACAAGAAGGAAAGAGUUUCUGGAUUUACGCUAGUCUAUCGCCCAUUUGAUGCUUGAGUGAAAAAAAUAGAGACACUAUUGCCCUCUUGUCACUGAUCUCUCACUCGAGUGACAGUGUUAGGCCCAAAACUCUAGUUCGCAUUUUCCAAGGGUUUCAACUGGCCAAUACUACCUAAAUGUCUUCUACUAUAUAUACCCUUGCCCUAUCACUUUUUUAGAGUGGUUGUUCAUUACAAUGCUUCUUCAUAUCAUCAUUCAAAUAUUCAAGAACAUAUUCAAGCAUUAGAUUGAUCUUUUGAUUCUUGAGUUCAUACAACUACAUCUUUGAGAGUGGAGUUGCUGAAGAUUGAGGAAAGUUGGACCAGAAGCACAGGAAAAGUACAAGAACAAGAAGUUCUUGGUAAUCCAUAGGAAAUAGAUAUUUCAAAAAAUCGGGAGAAAAUGUGAGUAAAGCACGUUCCAGCGGGUAUUGGAGAUUGCAGGAAUUAGAUCAACGAGUCUAGUGGGUUUUCUCAACUGAUUGAUACUGUAAGUUCAUAUUGUCUAUAAUGGAAGUUACUGGCUUGGUCUCGGAGUUUUUACUCAGCUGGAUUUUCUCCGUCAACCAAUUUGGUGUUGUUUAUAGCUUUCAUUAUUGAUUAUGGUAUUCAAACCAUAGGAUAAUUUGAUGUGUUUGAAUAACCAUCUAGAAACAAUUAAAAAGUGACUUGUUCUUUUUAAUUGUAUAAUUACGAACUUGAGGUCAAAAUAAAUUGGCUAAAUCAGGACUUUUCAAGUGGUAUCUAAACUUACAAGUUGUAUCAGAUCUUUUCAAGUGGUACCAGAGCUUUUCAACCGUCAAAACCAUCGUCGCAAGAACAAAGUGUACAUAUAUAUAUGAAUCUAGGAAAAAUAAUUCCAAGGUCAAUGUUUGUCUUGAUUGCGAAUGAUUUAACAUACCAAAGGAAUGAUAAUAACCAUUUCAUAUAAUCGAUCAGAAAUUUAUUAAAAAUUAAAGAUUUUAAUUUAUUGUCGUUGUCCUUCUAGACCAAAGAUACUUGUUAACCGUGAACAAGUCCACCUUGUGAGAAGAAAGAGUAUCUACAUAUUGUGUAUGGAACAAUAUACAUUCUUAUGUUCAAGCUUUUGUGCCAAACAAAUCGAAUAAUGUUUGAUUUCAAGAUUUCCAAACAGUUAAAAUUUACAAACUAAAAAUGUGAUUAAACUCGCCACAUUCGACCAUAUACUUUUCAAAUACAUUUAUUGUUAAAUCUCUAUUUAGUUUUUGUUUUUAAUUUGGGGUUGAGCUUUGAAUCAUGGUGCAAGGUAUCUUCCAUUUAACUUCAAGACAUGUAUCAUGUUUCAAUUCCACAAAAUUCAAUGUAUAUAGAGAACUUGAAUUUUCGUUUUCAAAAGUCUUCAUGUUUGAUCUUUCAAUCUUGGUGCAAAUGGAUCAUAUUUCAAUUUCACAAAAGUCGAAGUAUCUGGAGAACUUGAAUUUUCGGCUCCUUGUUACUGCACUGCUUUAGAUUCAAGAGUAGUGAAAAUUUCCAGGGCAACUUCAACUUUUAUUUUCAACGCUUUGAUGCAUCCAUUAAAGAAAAUUAUAUCCAAUAAUAAAACCUUGCAAUGAAUCAUCUCAAGGAUUAUUUUGAAUCAUUCAAUUUAUUAAAGGGUAUAGAAAAUAAUAUAUGUUGCGAAUUUCGACUACAUCAUCAUUCAUAUCUUAUUAAAAUUAUCCUUAAUAUUGUUACAAUUUGGAAUCUCUAACUGAUUUGUGCCUACUUCAGAUUAAUAAAUCAAUGGCUGAGAUUUAGCCUUGAAUGUUUAAGUUGAGGAAAUAAAGUCAACCUUCAAAUUUCAUCAAACACAGUUUCUACACUAACAAUGAAUUUGAAGCUUUUCAUACUAAUUCUGUUCAUUAAACUAAACUCGCCAGAAGCUGUCAAAACCAAUAUAAUAAUAUAGAGAGAGAUUAGAGCCUUUUAACUCUGAACAUUUGUAAGCAUAUUGCACACUUUUUUAAAACCCGUAUUUAUAAAACCCAAGAUUUGGAAGCAAUAAGCAUAUUAUAAAGUUUUCAAAAUCCAACAUUAAUUGCUAAAAUUCUUGAUUUGGAUCUUCAAAUGUAUCUCCAUUUCCAACGAAAUGUUGUGAAUAACAGAUUUAGUUCUUCAUUUUAUUUAUCAUGUUGUCGAAGUACUUUUAUUUCGAUCCCCUAGUUGAAUCCAUUAUAUUCCAGUUUUUCCUCUUAGGAAUACCUCUUAGCAAGUUAGUAAAUAGUUUGUUGUAGUUUAACCCAAAUUCUAGUGAGUGUUGGAGUUGUAUUUAAGGUUGUCUUGGAUAAAUAAAAAUUAUGGACUGGGAAAAUCGUUGUUGCAUUUUCGCUAGCUGCAUGCUCAAGCGAAACUGUCAAAUUUGGAACAAAGAAUUUUCAACUACUUCUUGCCCCCUAUCGCUCGACACUGCUCGAGCAAAGAUGCUUCCUGACUUUUCGCUUUGGAACGCGUUUUGGACUUCAGAUCAUCUACAACUUGAUUUCUAGGGUUUUUUUUUAUAUAUAUAAUAGUGUGUGUUGUUCAUACAACAGAACAUACAACAUUUCGAGAGAUUUAGAUCUUAGUUGAGAGUAUUGAGAUCUUGUAAAUAUAAUUGUUAUUGAUUAUAAUGGAUAACUUCUCCUCUGCCCGUGGUUUUUUCCAGUCUUAGAUUUCCAUGUAAAUCUUCGUAUUCUUUAUUUUGUUCUUGUUUACUUCAUUAUUAUCAUAACCUUUCGGUCAAUUAACAACAUAGUUGCAAUCUAAAUUAGAUUUGUAAAGCUUUAUUCUCGUUGUUUCUGAUUGCACAUGGUAAAAAGUCAGCUCCUUUUCUAUUCCAGUUUAACCUUUGCGACUGCACUUUGGAUUUUAAGAUGGGGAUGCUCGAGGUCAUAGGAAAUUUCUUUGUUAUUUCAUUGCAACUUCAGCUUGUAUUUUCUACCCCUUGAUGUAUCCAUUGAAGAAAAAUAUAUCCCAUAACGCGUUGAUGUAUCCAUAAAGAAAAACAUAUCCAAUAAAUUAUUGGGUGAGGUUUGGAGUGGGAAUUCUUUUGGACUAAUAAGAGGAAAUACCCAGGCCCUCAGCCUUGAAUUUUUAGUUAUAUCCUGCUUAAUAAGAAUAAGUUAUCAUUCACAUGUUAAUGCUCAUAAUAUUAUAUUAAUUGUUGAUUGAUUUAAAUUUUUAUAAACUAUUUAAGCUAAGCCUAAAAGGGACAAAGUUAGUAUAUGAAAUGAAUUAUGUUUUGAAAAACAUAACUUGUCACACAACUACCCUCUUAGACUGUGCCUUUGAUACAUAGAGGAUGUUUGGUGAGGAUGAAAAUUAGAUUUUUAGUAGAUUGUAAUAGAAGUUUUUAAAAUAUGUGAUUUAAAAGUUGCGAUACCCAUGAAAGAUGUAUUUAAUAUUUAUUGUUUGACUUUAACUUAGAUUCAAAACCAAACAUGGGCAUAAUACCUCUAAUAAAGUAAACUCUUUUAUUUAUUGAACAUAGAAAUUCUAGGAUAUGAAAAACCAUUAUCUACAUUGUUUAAAUUGAAAUUUCAACGAGAGUUACACAUUUUCAUCUAAAAUAACAUUUCAUUAAUGACCAUUAAAAAUUGAAUCCCAAAUAAACCACUUAAAUUGAGAGAUACAUUUUCAACUGAUUUUCAAUGAUUUGCUUGGACUAAUUAAAACCUAAAUUUAUUAAGCAUAUUGUAAACUUUUUAAUAUCCGAAGGAAUUUGGGUUUGACGUUGUGGUCUAAAUAUGAAAAUUUAAUUAAUUUACGAAAAACAUAACGUCGCUAAAAUAUCAUCCCAAGUUAUGACAUUGAUUAAGGUAUCAUAUGAAAUUAUACUCAUUCAUCUAUUGAAAUUUUCGAGUUCUUGUAUCUGAAGAUCAUUGUCUAACAUAUUUACAUAGUUAAUAUCUUAAUGAUAGUACUAAUCUUUUUAAAAUAACAUUUCAUGAUUGUUCAAAAAAUGAUGUGGCAGUAAAUUAUCAAUGGCAACAUCAAAAUAUAUUUUAAGUUGUUGAACAAUGUAACAUUGACCCUACUGACACGUAGACAUAAUAUGAAGUCCAGAAUAGUUCUCCAUGCAUUCUAUAAAGCUAGACUUGCUUCCAUUUUCAUACAAAUUAAGAAAAUAUAAUUGAAAUUAUAAAUUUUAUUAACAUUUUCCCUCUCUUUUUAUACUUCUCGUUCUCAGGUUGGUUGAAUUAAAAAUUAAAUUAUAAUAUUUCCUAAUUAUAAUUGAAUAAAAAAGAAAUUAAAAAAUAGAAUUAUAAUUUUUUUUGUCAAUUUUUAUAAUAAUAAAAUCAAAAUAAAGGACUUUUGACAAUAAGAAAAGUGGGGAAAAAAGCCCUUUCACAUGGGCUCAACUAAAUUUUCAAUGAAUUCAAAAAAGAGGAAAAUACACACGUGUGAUUUUUAAAUUUCCAAUUCAAAAAUCAGAUUUUAAAGUUUUUUGCUCAAAAAUCAAAAGAUAAUUUAACUUUUGAAUGUUGAUAAUAAUAUUAUAAAAUAAAAUUAAUAUACAUCCCCAUAACCCAACACCCACCCUACCCGAUUUCACUCCCAACUUGUAAAUCAUUUCUCAUUUGUGAUUCUUUUGAAACGAAGGAAGAUCAAGAGAAUGUGGCACCGCUGUUCGCCCAUCGAACCGAACAACACUAAACCCAACCCAUGAUUGAAACCAACAACCCGAACCAACUCUUUAUUUAUCUCAUAGUACUUUUAAUCUCAUCAAUUAGCCGAGGGAUAAAAUCUAGUUGAGAAUUGGGAAGCUUAGAAGAUUCAUGUGUAAAUUGGUCAUGAAAGUGAUUAAUCACUAAAAUUGUUGAUUUGGAUCUUCAAAUAAUGUAUCUUUAUUUCCAAAGAAAUGUUGUGAAUAAUAUACUUAGUUCCGCAUUUUUUUUUAUCAAAUUGUCGAAGUACUUAGUUUUUCGAUCCCCUAAUUGAAUCCAUUUUAUUCCAACUUUUUGUCUCAGGAAUACCUCUUAGCACGCUAGUAAAUAGUUGUAGUCUAAAUUAGAUUUGUAAAGCUUUAUUUUGAUUGCACAUAGUAAAAAGUUAGCUCCUUUUCUUUAAACCUUUGUGAAGAAUUACAAAACACUUGUUUAUUCCACCACUUAAGGCCAAUUUUUUGUCUAGAAAAAUUAUUCUAGAAAACCAAGAGCCUUUGUCUCUGCUAUUGAUUGUUUCUAGCUCCUUACAAAAAUGUACUGAAAUUGGUCACCUCAAAUCCACAUGUUCCAGAUCUGGAAAGUAGAUGGGCAGUUGGCGAUUCCAUUUAUCAGUAGUCUACAGUAGGAGGCAAUGGUCUAAAGUGUUCCGAUUAAAGUGUUAAACAAGAAUGAUCGAGCAAAGAUCCAAAGCAAAGGAAUUACUACAUACCACAUAUGCCAGUUUGUACAAGUAUAUUGUGAAUCUUCAUAAUCUGCAUUUUCUAGGUUACAAUACCUUAAAAACUUCUAAAAAAUCAUCGAUAACACCUGGAUUUGGCAGUUUGACACCGAAUCUUUGCUGGCUGAUAAAAGAGCACAUUAAAAUCACCUCUGAAAAAACCAAGGUGGAUCAUAUUACUUGAAAGAACUUUUAGACUAUCCCAAAGUUCCACCCUUUCAUGCGUGGUUGAUUUUGCAUUUACUACAAUAGAAUGGAAAGAGUCCGGCUAAUAGAGUUUGUACCUCAAAGAUAACUAAAUCCUUGUUUGAAUCCUAUUUUUUGAGUAUAGAUUUUGUAAGAAUGAUUUUUUUGGAGAAUGUCGGAUUAAAAUAUAAGAGAAAUUUUUUAUUGCUUGCAAAAUUAUUUUAUAGAGAGAAUGUGAGUAAGCCACAUGCAGAAAGUAUUAAUAACUAGUCAUAAAUAACCUUAUCCCAUGCUGAACAAGUUACAUUGUUUUUCCUCCAUCAUAAACCACUAUACUUUGAACUUCAAUUUCUUAUAUAACAAAGCAUUAUUUUAUCAAGUUAUAUAUGAUUUUGAUAUUCUCAUGUAGGAGAACAUCGGUCUAUUUUGAUAUUCCAAAACAAAGAAUCAAGGCCCCGCUCAAAACAAUGCUACAACAGCACUAUUUUCAAAACAAAGAACGAAUUCCUAACUACAUUAAUCAUGCAUAUAAAACCUUAAAAUAAUUUGAAUUACACAUCAACUACCAUAAAAAAAUACCUUGGAUAAUUUAUGAACGUUACAAAUUUUGUCAAACUAGAGUAGGUUCCUAGGAGAAGUGUUAGACUUGGUCUAGAUUUAACAUACGUAUUCACUGAACAUCCAAUACCAAAUCUUUAAAAUCCUUCGAAGCCCCCUAAGACAUCUGCACAAUCUUUUGCAAUACCCUAAACCAAUGGUUCAUCUUCCCAAAUUGAUUUACCUAAAGUUCUGAUACCACUAAUAUAAAAUUUUCAUGUGAAUUAAAGAUAAACUACAUAACAAUUCUACAUCUCAUUAUAGCACUUAAAAGUAGUAAUCAGUACCAAGAUGUACACAAUUUUAGGGCUCAGAUUUUGUACACGUGUCACACACAGUCAACCCUAGUGUUGGACACAACCCAAAUUUUUAGCACAUAAAGUUUUGUAACUUACAAAAAUAGAGAAACAUGUUUUCAUCUCAAACGCUAGGACAACAGAUUAGCUUUAAAAUAAUUGACCAUGCUUCAAAUCUAAUGAUCUAGAUUGCUCUAAACACACUGAAGUUGUUACAGAGUGGCAAUCCAAGUAAAACAUGUUCUUAAAGUAGCACUUUAAAUGGGACCAAUUUUGGACUGAUCUUGUGAGGGUUGGACUUGGACUUGGACUUGGACCACUCGGUUCAUCUCCAAUUUAGGCCUAAGCCUGAAGAUCAAUCGUGGAUCAUUACAGCCCAAGGACCUGUUUGUCAUCACAUCUGAAAUUAUCUAUUUUAUUCAUCCACAAAUUAUAACAACCUAACAAUAUUACAUAGCACUUUUAAUGUUCACAAUAUGCAUAAUAACGUCUAAUAAUAUGACAACAUUAGGUGCUACUAGAUUUCCAUGAUUACGCAAUGUUACUGAAUGACUCACAAAUCACAAGAGUUGCAUGGCAAGCUCCAAUAAACACACAAAAAAGAUGCUUAUAAAAGAACGACUUCCUAAAAGUGGAAAUGCUAGGGUUUAUGUUUGGUGGUUCUCUUUUUCUUCUCCAGACUCUUCCACUUCCCCGCUAACGUGAGACCCUGCAUUGCCUUCAUCGGUUCCCAAGGCUUCUGAAAACACCAAAAGUAAGUAUACUUCAUUUUUUUAAUACUAUUUAUUUUUAAAAGAGUUAUCCUCCAAAAUUCAAUUUAGAAUAUAUGUUAGGCAUUACUAACAAAAGAACUUGUUUAUUAAUUUUUACUUGGUGAAAUGUAAAUUCAAUAAAAACUAAUAUAAUUGUAAUGGUAACAUGAAUAAUAAAAAAUUUUGACACUAAAUCUGAAUGUAACUAGAGAACAAGGGUAUAUUUAUACCCGCUGUAGCACUUGCACGAAGUUCUUGUAUGUCCAAAUGUACCUCACCACUUAAAGCAGUAAUAAUAUUCUCACUACUAGGAGUUGAGUCCAAAGUACCAUGAUUAGGGUGUUUGAGUAAAGUACGCCAUUCAUCAAUAUAUAUUGAUUGGUCAAGCGAUAGAUUAGGAAUUUCACGCUUUUGAAGAGCUUUCAGAAUUUCUUGAGUCUCUCCGAGAAGGUGAGUUGUUUCCUUUAUAAUUUUUUCCCGUUCUUCUAUGGCGCUAUUGUUGCAUUUCUUGAGUAUAGCAUGAGGUAAAUUGGUCAGGCAUGCAGCAAAUAUAUCUGCAACAAUAACUGAAAAUCUCUCAAAUACUUGAGUAUCUGAUGCUGAAUGAUAGCUUUCCUCAUGGACCAAUAGCAAACUGUUGCUUAUUUUGUACAUUGAAUUGGCAAUUAUGAUAUUUUCAGGCAAGUCAACUGAGCUUUCCAUAGCAUUUCCAUUCAUACUACUAGUAAAUUUCUUCAAAAUUUCUUCACUUCUAUUUGCAAGAUUUUGAAGAGUUUCUUUAGAGGAUUUGGAUACCCUGGCAAUUUUUUGGAGAUCCAUGUCUAACCACUUGCGCCUCAAUUCAACUAAAACCCAUGCAAAAUCUGCAGCUCUCGUGCUGCUCACCAAUUUUUUAUGAACAUCCAGACUUUUCUCCGUUAGGCGCACAUACUUAAAACCUUCAAUGACACCUCUCAACAACUGAUUCCUCUUCUCAUUUUGAACAUUGGGAAGAGCAAUCAUGAUGCUAGUUAGCGUUGUCACAGCUAGACUCCAGCAAUUAAGAGGUUCUGCGCAAAUAAUUGGAGAGACUUGAACACUUUCAAAUUUUGAUACACCCUCGAAGCUGGUGGAAUUGUCCAUAAGCUUCAUUAGAUAUCUAGGCUGAUUAUUUGAGUCCAUAUUUAUGGAUGAAUUAAUAGAACUGAUAAUGGACAUCAGGUAUCCAUCAUGUAUUGGCUCACUUUCUAGAUGUAAAACAAAAUUUCUAAGAUCUUGCUCAUAACCAACCGUGUGUUCUGCUUCAUUGAAAUUGGCCGAGGCCUCAGAUUGCCUUAAGAAAAAAAAUUUUAUCAUCAACAAGCAUCUAAUGAUUUUCAUCCUUACGGUAUUAAAACAGAGUAUGAUGGUAAAUGGGAUCAUAAUUUCCAUGGUACUGAUAACUGGAUUCGUGGCCAUUAAGUAGAGAAUUCCACCAAUUGAGAUGGGAACAAGCAAUUUAUUCACGAUCACAGUCACUAUCUGACUUCCAAUACAAAUGUUGAUGAGUAGAUUUCUGAUGUGAUAAAUAAUUUUUCUAUGUGCAUGGUAUCGAACAUGUAAUGGUAGGAGUCUCCUUUUCCACUCUGCCAAUCUUUUGAUCCCGUAAUUCUUUAUUUCAAAGGAAAUGCUAGAAAUGGUAUAUUUUCCAAUAUUCCGUGCAGUGUGAAAUAAAGCUACUAAAAGUCUUCCCAAAGACAUGAUAGUGCAAAGAAUCGAUCCUACAUAUUGAGUCCAAUAAACAAAAUAUACUGACCAUUUAUAAUCAGAAGCAGCAUUUGGCAUAUAGGGACUGUAAGACACACCUCCGUUAAAAGUAUAACUUAUGGUGCAGAUCAUGAAUAAAACAACGCUGGCCUCAGAUCGUGCCAACACAAACUGAGGGUUAGCUGUUUCUGUCAUCACCCAGUACUUCUUCACGCACAACUUUAACUUGUCAAAGUCCAUUAUUUGGUCUCCUUGUGGUUCCGCUGCCAAAAUUCUUGUUUGCAAUUCUUUGUACUUACUUUCCAAAUACCUUUUACUUGUAAAUACCGUUAAAGCAGAAGAACUCAAUACAAUGAACGCGUAAACAUUCAUGCAGACAAUCACCACUUGGAAAACAUCUUCAAUCACGCCUGUGAAUGCUUGGAUGAUAACAUUUACUGUAAGCGUCACUAUAAGGAUACCCAAUGCUGUCAAGUUCACUAUUAUAUCUCUAUCACUCAUGGAUCCUAGAGAAGGCAUGAAAUGAGUGGUUGAAACACACAAGAAAACAGUGCUACUAAUUUUAGCGCCUUGAUCAUACACACCUUCCAUCGGGGUAGUUAGAUCCAUUGACAACUUCACUGCGACGGCUAACACAGUCAAGGAAGCGGCGUUGAGAGAAGAAAAUCUGCAAGGGAACCAUAACUUUCUAUGGCGGACAGAGAUCACUGCAUCAAUGAAUAGUGAAACAUCCAUAUUAGAGACGCUACAGCAGCGUAUAGGCCUAUCCAUGGCAUUGGUGCUUUAGAGUCCAUCAUUUUGUUCAAUUAUUCAGCUCUCUUCCCACGGCUGCUUUACUUUUGAUUUAAGAUGAGGAUAUGCUCGAGUGGUGGAAAUUUCUUUGUUNGGAUUCAAGAGUAGUGAAAAUUUCCAGGGCAACUUCAACUUUUAUUUUCAACGCUUUGAUGCAUCCAUUAAAGAAAAGUAUAUCCAAUAAUAAAACCUUGCAAUGUGUCAUCUCAAGGAUUAUUUUGAAUCAUUCAAUUUAUUAAAGGGUAUAGAAAAUAAUAUAUGUUGCGAAUUUCGACUACAUCAUCAUUCAUAUCUUAUUAAAAUUAUUCUUAAUAUUGUUACAAUUUGGAAUCUCUAACUGAUUUGUGCCUACUUCAGAUUAAUAAAUCAAUGGCUGAGAUUUAGCCUUGAAUGUUUAAGUUGAGGAAAUAAAGUCAACCUUCAAAUUUCAUCAAACACAGUUUCUACACGAACAAUGAAUUUGAUGCUUUUCAUACUAAUUCUGUUCAUUAAACUAAACUGGCCAGAAGCUGUCAAAACCAAUAUAAUAAUAUAGAGACAGAUUAGAGCCUUUUAACUCUGAACAUUUGUAAGCAUAUUGCACACUUUUUAAAACCGGUAUUUAUAAAACCCAAGAUUUGGAAGCAAUAAGCAUAUUAUAAAGUUUUCAAAAUCCAACAUUAAUUGCUAAAAUUCUUGAUUUGGAUCUUCAAAUGUAUCUCCAUUUACAACGAAAUGUUGUGAAUAACAGAUUUAGUUCUUCAUUUUAUUUAUCAUGUUGUCGAAGUACUUUUAUUUCGAUCCCCCAGUUGAAUCCAUUAUAUUCCAGUUUUUCUUCUUAGGAAUACCUCUUAGCAAGUUAGUAAAUAGUUUGUUGUAGUUUGACCCAAAUUCUAGUGAGUGUUGGAGUUGUAUUUAAAGUGGUCUUGGAUAAAUAAAAAUUAUGGACUGGGAAAAUCGUUGUUGCAUUUUCGCUAGCUGCAUGCUCGAGCGAAAUUGUCAAAUUUGGAACAAAGAAUUUUCGACUACUUCUUGCCCCCUAUCGCUCGACACUGCUCGAGCGAAGAUGCUUCCUGACUUUUCGCUUUGGAAUGCGUUUUGGACUUCAGAUCAUCUACAACUUGAUUUCUAGGGUUUUUUUAUAUAUAUAAUAGUGUGUGUUGUUCAUACAACAGAAUAUAAAACAUUUCGAGAGAUUUAGAUCUUAGUUGAGAGUAUUGAGAUCUUGUAAACAUAAUUGUUAUUGAUUAUAAUGGAUCUCUUCUCCUCUGUCCGUGGUUUUUUCCAGUCUUAGAUUUCCAUCUAAAUCUUCGUAUUCUUUAUUUUGUUCUUGUUUACUUCAUUAUUAUCAUAACCUUUCGGUCAAUUAACAACAUAGUUGCAAUCUAAAUUAGAUUUGUAAAGCUUUAUUCUCGUUGUUUUUGAUUGCACAUAGUAAAAAGUCAGCUCCUUUUCUAUUCCAGUUUAACCUUUGCGACUGCACUUUGGAUUUUAAGAUGGGGAUGCUCGAGGUCAUAGGAAAUUUCUUUGUUAUUUCAUUGCAACUUCAGCUUGUAUUUUCUACCCCUUGAUGUAUCCAUUGAAGAAAAAUAUAUCCCAUAACGCGUUGAUGUAUCCAUAAAGAAAAACAUAUCCAAUAAAUUAUUGGGUGAGGUUUGGAGUGGGAAUUCUUUUGGAGUAAUAAGAGGAAAUACCCCAGGCCCUCAGCCUUGAAUUUUUAGUUAUAUCCUGCUUAAUAAGAAUAAGUUAUCAUUCACAUGUUAAUGCUCAUAAUAUUAUAUUAAUUGUUGAUUGAUUUAAAUUUUAUAAACUAUUUAAGCUAAGCCUAAAAGGGACAAAGUUAGUAUAUGAAAUGAAUUAUGUUUUGAAAAACAUAACUUGUCACACAAAUACCCUCUUAGACUGUGCCUUUGAUACAUAGAGGAUGUUUGGUGGGGAUGAAAAUUAGAUUUUUAGUAGAUUGUGAUAGAAGUUUUUAAAAUAUGUGGUUUAAAAGUUGCGAUACCCAUAAAAGAUGUAUUUAAUAUUUAUUGUUUGACUUUAACUUAGAUUCGAAACCAAACAUGGGCAUAAUACCUCUAAUAAAGUAAACUCUUUUAUUUAUUGAACAUAGAAAUUCUAGGAUAUGAAAAACCAUUAUCUACAUUGUUUAAAUUGAAAUUUCAACGAGAGUUACACAUUUUCAUCUAAAAUAACAUUUCAUUAAUGACCGUUAAAAAUUGAAUCCCAAAUAAACCACUUCAAUUGAGAGAUACAUUUUCAACUGAUUUUCAAUGAUUUGCUUGGACUAAUUAAAACCUAAAUUUAUUAAGCAUAUUAUAAACUUUUCAAUAUCCGAAGGAAUUUGGGUUUGACGUUGUGGUCUAAAUAUGAAAAUUUAAUUAAUUUACGAAAAACAUAACGCCGCUAAAAUCUCAUCCCAAGUUAUGACAUUGAUUAAGGUAUCAUAUGAAAUUAUACUCAUUCAUCUAUUGAAAUUUUCGAGUUUUCGUAUCUGAAGAUCAUUGUCUAACAUAUUUACAUAGUUAAUAUCUUAAUGAUAGUACUAAUCUUCGUUAAAAUAACAUUUCAUGAUUGUUCAAAAAAUGAUGUGACAGUAAAUUAUCGAUGGCAACAUCAAAAUAUAUUUUAAGUUGUUGAACAAUGUAACAUUGACCCUACUGACAUGUAGACAUAAUAUGAAGUCCAGAAUAGUUCUCCAUGCAUUCUAUAAAUCUAGACUUGCUUCCAUUUUCAUACAAAUUAAGAAAAUAUAAUUGAAAUUAUAAAUUUUAUUAACAUUUUCCCUCUCUUUUUAUACUUCUCGUUCUCAGGUUGGUUGAAUUAAAAUUUAAAUUAUAAUAUUUCCUAAUUAUAAUUGAAUAAAAAAGAAAUUAAAAAAUAGAAUUAUAUUUUUUUUUGUCAAUUUUUAUAAUAAUAAAAUCAAAAUAAAGGACUUUUGACAAUAAGAAAAGUGGGGAAAAAAGCCCUUUCACAUGGGCUCAACUAAAUUUUCAAUGAAUUCAAAAAGAGGAAAAUACACACACGUGAUUUUUAAAUUUCCAAUUCAAAAAUCAGAUUUUAAAGUUUUUUGCUCAAAAAUCAAAAGAUAAUUUAACUUUUGAAUGUUGAUAAUAAUAUUAUAAAAUAAAAUUAAUAUACAUCCCCAUAACCCAACCCCCACCCUACCCGAUUUCACUCCCAACUUGUAAAUCAUUUCUCAUUUGUGAUUCUUUUGAAACGAAGGAAGAUCAAGAGAAUGUGGCACUGCUGUGCGCCCAUCGAACCGAACAACACUAAACCCAACCCAUGAUUGAAACCAACAACCCGAACCAACUCUUUAUUUAUCUCAUAGUGCUUUUAAUCUCAUCAAUUAGCCGAGGGAUAAAAUCUAGUUGAGAAUUGGGAAGCUUAGAAGAUUCAUGUGUAAAUCGGUCAUGAAAGUGAUUAAUCACUAAAAUUGUUGAUUUGGAUCUUCAAAUAAUGUAUCUUUAUUUUCCAAAGAAAUGUUGUGAAUAAUAUACUUAGUUCCGCAUUUUUUUUUUUUAUCAAAUUGUCGAAGUACUUAGUUUUUCGAUCCCCUAAUUGAAUCCAUUUUAUUCCAACUUUUUGUCUCAGGAAUACCUCUUAGCACGCUAGUAAAUAGUUGUAGUCUAAAUUAGAUUUGUAAAGCUUUAUUUUGAUUGCACAUAGUAAAAAGUUAGCUCCUUUUCUUUCAACCUUUGUGAAGAAUUACAAAACACUUGUUUAUUCCACCACUUAAGGCCAAUUUUUAGUCUAGAAAAAUUAUUCUAGAAAACCAAGAGCUUUUGUCUCUGCUAUUGAUUGUUUCUAGUUCCUUACAAAAAUGUACUAAAAUUGGUCACCUCGAAUCCACAUCUUCCAGACCUGGAAAGUAGAUGGGCAGUUGGCGAUUCCAUUUAUCAGUAGUCAACAGUAGGAGGCAAUGGUCUAAAGUGUUCCGAUUCAAGUGUUAAACAAGAAUGAUCGAGCAAAGAUCCAAUGCAAAGGAAUUACUACAUACCACAUAUGCCAGUUUGUACAAGUAUAUUGUGAAUCUUCAUAAUCUGCAUUUUCUAGGUUACAAUACCUUAAAAACUUCUAAAAAAUCAUCAAUGACAACUACAUUUGACAAUUUGACACCGAAUCUUUCUUGGCUGACAAAAGAGCACAUUAAAAUCACCCCUGAAAAAACCAAGGUGGAUCAUAUUACUUGAAAGAACUUUUAGACUAACCCAAAGUUCCACCCUUUCAUGCGUGGUUGAUUUUGCAUGUACUACAAUAGAAUGGAAAGAGUCAGGCUAAUAGAGUUUGUACCUCAAAGAUAACUAAGUCCUUGUUUGAAUCCUAUUUUUUGAGUAUAGAUUUGUAGGCAUGAUUUUUUUGGAGAAUGUCUGAUUAAAAUAUAAGAAAAAUUUUUGAUUGCUUGCAAAAUUAUUUUAUAGAGAGAAUGUGAGUAAACCACAUACAGAAAAUAUUAAUAACUAGUCAUAAAUAACCUUAUCCCAUGCAGAACAAGUUACAUUGCUUUUCCUCUAUCACAUAAGCCACUAUACUUUGAACUUCAAUUUCUUAUAUAACAAAGCAUUAUUUUAUCAAGUAAAUAUAUGAUUUUGAUAUUCUCAUGUCAGAGAACAUCGGUCUAUUUUGAUAUUCCAAAACAAAGAACCAAGGCCCCACUCAAAACAAUGCUACGCAGCACUAUUUUCAAAACAAAGAAUCAAGUCCUAACUACAUUAAUCAUGCAUAUAAAACCUUAAAAUAAUUUGAAUUACACGUCAACUGAACGUUACAAAUUUUGUUAAACUAGAGUAGGUUCCCAGGAAAAGUGUUAGACUUGGUCUAGAUUUAGCAUGUGUAUUCACCAAACAUCCAAUACCAAAUCUUUAAAAUCUUUCAAAGCCCCCUAAGACCUCUGCACAAUCUUUUGCAAUACCCUAAACCAAUGGUUCAUCUUCCCAAAUUGAUUUACCUAAAGUUCUGAUACCACUAAUAUAAAAAUUUCAUGUGAAUUAAAGAUAAACUACAUAACGAUUCUACAUCCCAUUAUAGCACUUAAAAGUAGUAAUCAGUACCAAGAUGCACACAAUUUUAGGGCUCAGAUUUUGUACAUGUGUCAAACAUAGUCAACCCUAGUGUUGGAUCCAACCCAAAUAUUUAGCACAUAAAGUUUUGUAACUUACAAAAACAGAGAAACACGUUUUCAUCUCAAACGCUAGGACAACAGAUUAGCCUUAAAAUCAUUGACCAUGCUUCAAAUCUAAUGAUCUAGAUUGCUCUAAACACACUGAAGUUGUUACUGAGUGGCAAUCCAAGUAAAACGUGUUCUUAAAGUAUCACUUUAAAUGGGACCAAUUUUGGACUGAUCUUGUGAGGGUUGGACUUGGACCACUCGGUUCAUCUCCAAUUUAAGCCUAAGCCUGAAGAUCAAUUGUGGAUCAUUACAGCCCAAGGACCUGUUUGUCAUUACAUCUGAAAUUAUCUAUUUUAUUCAUCCACAAAUUAUAACAACCUAACAAUAUUACACAGCACUUUUAAUGUUCACAAUAUGCAUAAUAAUGUCUAAUAAUAUGACAACAUUAGGUGCUACUAGAUUUCCAUGAUUACGCAAUGCUACUGAAUGACUCACAAAUCACAAGAGUUGCAUGGCAAGCUCCAAUAAACACACAAAGAAGAUGCUUAUAAAAGAACGACUUCCUAAAAGUGGAAAUGCCAGGGUUUACGUUUGGUGGUUCUCUUUUUCUUCUCCAGACUCUUCCACUUCCCCGCUUAUGUGAGACCCUGCAUUGCCUUCAUCGGUUUCCAAGGCUUCUGAAAACGCCAAAAGUAAGUAUACUUCAUUUUUUUAAUGCUAUUUAUGUUUAAAAGAGUUAUCCUCCAAAGUUAAAUUUAAAAUAUACGUUAGGCAUUACUAACAAAAGAACUUGUUUAUUAAUUUUUACUGGGUGAAAUGUAAAUUCAAUAAAAACUAAUGUAAUUGUAAUGGUAACAUGAAUAAUAAAAAAUUUCGACACUAAAUCUGAAUGUAACUAGAGAACAAGGGUAUAUUUAUACCUGGUGUAGCACUUGCACGAAGUUCUUGUAUGUCCAAAUGUACCUCACCACUUAAAGCAGUAAUAAUAUUCUCACUGCUAGGAGUUGAGUCCAAAGUACCAUGAUUAGGGUGUUUGAGUAAAGUACGCCAUUCAUCAAUAUAUAUUGAUUGGUUAAGCGAUAGAUUAGGAAUUUCACGCUUAUGAAGAGCUUUCAUAAUUUCUUGAGUCUCUCUGAGAAGAUGAGUUGCUUCCUUUAUAAUUUUUUCCCGUUCUUCUAUGGCGCUGUUGUUGCAUUUCUUGAGUAUAGCUUGAGGUAAAUUGGUCAGGCAUGCAGCAAAUAUAUCUGCAACAAUAACUGAAAAUCUCUCAAAUACUUGAGUAUCUGAUGCUGAAUGAUAGCUUUCCUCAUGGACCAACAACAAACUGUUGCUUAUUUUGUACAUUGAAUUGGCAAUUAUGAUA